CCCAUGUACGACAUUGUACUCCCAAUCUUCUCUAGAUCUAUGAUAGCCUUGAAGCUGUUGAUGUAUCUCACUGGUAGGGGUCCAGAAAAAUAAUUACUUGAGAGGUCAAAAAUUUGGAUUUUAGAGAAAAAAGGGCUAGACUUGGAGCUAUUGACACGCAAGGAACCAUGCAUAUGGUUUGACUUCAAUACAAGAACUUGCAAAUAUGGAAGACUUCCCAACCAAUGAGGAAAUGUAUCAUUGAUCUUGUUGUUACCAAGAUCUAGCACUUCUAGACCUCUACAAUUAAGGAUGGAUGGUGUCAAUGGCCCUUCUAACAGAUUUCCAUUUAAGUUGAAAUUAGUCAAUCGGCAUCCCUGUGCAAAAUUUGGAGGAAUCGUCCCAUAGAACUUGUUCUUCUUCAGAUUCAAGAAUUCAAGGCUGUUGCUCAAAUUUCCAAAACAUCGCGGAAUUGUUCCACUCAAGUUAUUGUGGGACAAAUCAAGAACUCGAAGAGAAGUGGCAUUGCAGAUUAAAGAAGAGACCUCUCCAUUCAAACUGUUAUUUGAGAUCAAAAAGAAAUUGAUGGUCGAAGCUGGAAUCGGAAGAUUUCCACUGAUCAAAUUGGAGCUUAAGUCAAGAACUUCAAUAUUCUUCCAUGGAAAGUGCUCAACUUCUGUCAAAGAGUUGUGAGAUACGUUUAAGUAAGUCAAAGAGCCAUUCCCCACCUCUUGCAUCCACUGUGGAAUCUUGCCUUCAAUUUUGUUGCAAGAGAGGUCUAAGCUUUCCAAACUUUUAAGCCCUUUUAAAAAUUGGGGGAAUUCACUAAGAUUGCAAGAUGACAAAAGUAAGUCUGUAACAUUAGGCAAUAUAUGAUUAACACUAGAUGUAGCAUUAGAUGUUAAGGAUAGGCUGUUAUAUGAAAGGUCGAGAUGUUUUAGAUUUGGAACGUUUGAGAACAUGCGAAACUCUAUGACACCACUAAGAUUAUUUGAGGAUAAAAGGAGCCAGGUAAGAUUGAGAAGUUGGAAUAUUGAAGAUGGAAGAGGACCUUGGAGUUUAUUAUUUUCUAGAUCUAAAUAUUCUAGUGAUUUGGUUUGGAAUUCUUUGAUAUGCCCACUGAAUUGAUUUUGAGAGAGAAUUAUACCCUUUAAGGAGGGAGCAGUAUACAACCAUGACGGAAGUGUUCCAUUGAGUACAUUGUCAAAUAAGACUAAAUAUAUUAGAUUCGGAACAGCGGUUACCUCAUCUGGAAGAGAACCUUCUAAAGAAUUUUCAGAUAUUUCCAAGUAUUCCAACUGCGUUAGGUUUAGAAUUGACAAUGGAAUUUGUCCACUCAAUUUAUUUGAUCCCAAGUCUAAAUGAGUGAGUUGCAAGAGGUUUCCAAGUGAUUUUGGAACCGGUCCUGAUAAGUUGGAAUAGGAGAGAUCUAAAAACUUCAAGGACACAAGAUUCCCCAUCGAGUCAGGCAAUCCUCCAAAAAAAUUUGCGCCUCUAAGAAUCAAGUACUCCAAAGAUGAUAAAUUUGUGAUUGAGACAGACAAUCCUUGAAAGAAAGAAUUUCCUGAUAGAUCGAAGUACUUUAAGGCCUGUAGAUUAUCAACCGAAUCAAUGAAUUCUGUAGAGAAGGACAUCCACGACAGAUCCAAAUGUUCGAGAUUGCUGCUCCGAUUCAACUUCAAAGGAUCAAGAUUGAGGUUUUGGUUGCCUCCCAAGUUGAGGAGAUUGAGGUUUGGCAAAUCAAAAAUGUUUUUUGGGAAUUUUCCUUGCAAAUCACAACCAGCAAGACUGAGAGACCUUAGAGAAGAGGAUAGAUUCAUGAAGACAUGAGCAUUAACAGAAGUCAUGUUGAUUCCAUCCAAAAACAGAUGUCUGACCUCGGUUAGGUUGUGAACAAGUCCCUCCAGAGCAUGUUUGUCAAUUGUUAGUACAUUAGCCCAAAAGGAGAGAUCAAGUGAAACCAAUUUUGACAGGUGGGAGACUUGGGAUGGGACUUCUCCUGCAAACCCUGUAUAAGAAAGGUUGAGGUAGAAUAGGCUUGUAAACCGACCGAACUCGGAUGGAAUUUUGGAAAGAUUAAAAUCAUUGUAGGCAAGGUUGAGUUUUUGAAGGUGAGGAAGAAGGAAGAGAGUGGUAUUGGAAGGGAAGUUGCCAUAUAGCCAACUGCAGCUCAAGUCAAGGGCAAUAACAUGAGCAUUUAGGUGGUCACAAGUGACCCCAUCCCAUGAGCAGCAAUCUGUACCCUCCUUCCAUGAAUUUGUCUUGGGAUAAGAUUUAAGGCCAGCAUAAUCAUUGCAAUAAGAAGAAACAUCCUCUGUUAUGGAAAAAGAGUCCUUAAACUGGAUUAGGGAAGAGCAGGAGUGAGAUCCUGAAGAAGAAAAAGAAGCAUAAAGAUGGGGAAAGAAGAGGAAUAGGCAGAGAAAGAGAUAGGGGGCCAUGUUAUGUUUGUAGAGGAAGAAGAAGGAUAGGAAUGGUAUUUGUAGGCAACAAAUAGUACCACAACAUUGGUGUUACAGUAUUUUUUUUUUUUUCUUUUACAUUGAAAAGCUAUGGAUAUUAGAUUUUCAAAAAUUUUGUAUUUUUCACCAUCAUCAACAACCACUUAGUCUUCCUUUUACCAUAUAUUUUUCAUUCUGUUUUUUUUAACAAAAUCUUGUAUUUCAUUUCAGCUUCCAAAACAACUAAAAAAUUUAAAAUUGAUGAAAUUACAAAGUAGAUUGACUUAGUCUUCUUUCCUAUAACAUUUAAAAGAAUGUCUUGUCAACCAAAGUUAAUUAAUGUGAAAAUUCUUUUUCACACAAAAGAACAAAAUUGUGCUCUAUUCACUACGUUAGAGUAAAAAGACUGCUAGAUUUUUUAAUUAUUUUUUCUUUGAAAAAUUUAAAAGUUUUUUACUGCCUUAAGCCAAUAAAAAAAAACAUGUAUUAAUUUUGUUUUUAAAAAUAGUGUGUUUGAUUGUGAAAUGAUUCAUCAUCCUCCACCACAAACUAUCCAUGUUUGCAGUGUGAAAGCAGCUACUUUCAUAAAGAAACUACUAAGGAGAUGGGAUCACCAAUUUUACCUAAACUCGCAUCAACAUUGUUUAGCAAUUUCAAAAUAGACUAAUUAGUCUGGUUCAAAUACCAAGACUACAAUAUCUAUUCACUUCACUUGGUCUUGCUGCCUAUCACUGUCAACCAAACUUGAUCGACUAUCAGUAAGGAAAUUUCAGUCAUUUGCAGCAUAAUGUACAAGAAUUCCACUCCCACAAAAUAAUUUACAAUAUGGACUAACACUCCUUUGUUUCACUAAAAAUAAUUUUUAAAAAAUGAUUUUUAGAAAGUAAUUUUUGAAAAAUGGUUAGAAGAUAAUUUUUGUUUCUGAAAUAGUUAAUUUUUUUUGGUGUUUAGAUAAAUUUUGUUAUGUUUUCAUUGUUUACUUGAGUUUAUUUCAUAAAGCUUAUUUAUAUUUUAAUUAAUCAUGUUUUAGUUUUAAUUAAGCUUAAUUUACUUAAUUAAACUUAAUUGUUAAUUUCGUACAUUAAAAUAUAAAUUUAUGUUUAAUUAAGUUGAAAGUGAUAAAUAUUUAUUUUGAAUAUUAUUUGAAUAAGUUGAAAAAUGAUUUAAUUUGAUAAAAUUGAAGUCAGGGCCAUAGAACUAUGCUUUUUACUGACAAAAUCUUGGAUGCAGAGAUUAUUGAGACUAAAAAAUGAAAGUCAUGAAAGAAUACAUAAAUAGUUGAACCAUACAAAAUGUUACAUUUUGUAAUGCAAUGAAAUAUAGAUGAAUUGUUACAAAAAUAAAGACAGAUGCAUUGCAAUGCAACCUUUCUCCAUAGGAAAAAAAUUUGACAGACUUCAAAACAAGAAAUUAUGAAGAUACAACAUACACACUUGAACAUCAUUUCCACUAACUAGAUCCUUCUUCGUCCAUUGCUGCGACUGCCAUCCUUUGACUUUCUUCUUCGCUUCUUCUCAUGUUGGAUUUCAACCAAAUUCACCAACCAUUUUGGCUUACCAAUUUGGAAAACAACAUAUCUCACGACCAUUCCAAACACUACUCCGCAUCCAUAACCUAUCAACACCAAUUUCCAACCAAAAGAGAUGUUUGAUUUUGAACCAUCUUUUCCAAGCACAUUUGGAGGUGGUGGCUCAAUGAUGUUGCAACCUUUUGAGACCGGAAAUCCACAUAAUCCCUAGUUUCCUUCAUAUGAAUCAUUUCCAUAUGUGUUGAACUGUUUGCCUUGAGGAAUCUGACCAUGGAGUUGAUUUUCAGAAACAUUGAAGGACGAAAGAAAUGCCAGAUCUGCAAAUCUAUUUCGAAUUGUCCCUGACAACCUGUUUGAAUAUAGGUCCAACCAUUCAAGACUCGUCAAAUUCCCUAUUGAAGUGGGGAUACCACCGUUAUAAACACUGUCACAUGGCAUGAAAAACACACCCUCAUAUUCACUUUCACAUUAGUCAUCAUAAGCUUAUAACAUAUGUCAUAGCAAUCUCAUAUAUAUUCAUAAUUUCACAAUUUCACAAGCGUACAUAUAUCACAUUUAAUCAUAUGCGCGAGAAAACUUACUCUCACUUACUCUUGGAAUUUAGAGUAGGAAUUUAGGCUACCACUAAAUUCUCAUCAAUUAAACAAUGAAACAUCUACGAGCAACAAUUUCAAACCACAAUGAAUCGAGAGCUCAAACUAGCUCUUCCUCUAACUCGUAGAAGGCUUUAAUGAAUCCGAGGCUUCACACGUGACAAUCACACAAUACUCACAGUCAAAUGACAGCCAAGGACCCACUUAAACUAACCAAAAUAAAAGCCUAAGCUACCUUCUAAUGUAACCAAACCCUUUAGCAUGACGAACUUAAAAUGCAAAUAUAUCAAUCUACACUUAAACAUUUUCACAUGAAACAAGUUUCAGUCAUCCCCCAUAUUCAUUUAUAGCUAAACUCCAAUCUUUAAACCACACAAAACUACAAGUUUCAAGGUAUAACAUUUUUCGACAAAUUUUGACCAUAAUAAUGAAAAUUCAUUAAAACACGGGAAAUCUAUAAUGAAACUUAGAAGUAAUUUUAAAAAACUUCUAAUUAAGUUAAAACAAGUUGAAAAACACUUUUAAAUCACAUUUUCAUCCACAAUCUCGAAUUCCACCAUUAAUGACCCAAUUUUUAGGUUUAAAUUAAAACAUGCAAUUUCAUAACUAAAAUCUCAAUUUUAAAGUCUAGAUAACAUUAAAAACUAAUGAGAAAGUAAAUGGUUACCUUUGAUGAAAGAUUAAACGAGUUUUGAAGUAUAUUUGAAAAACCCACAAUUGAAGAAGAUGAUGAAAUCUAUGGCGUUUUUGAGUGUUUUUCUUGGAGAUUUAUGAAGGUAAUUGACUUGGGAAUUAUAAGAAAUCAAAGUACUAUGGUUUGGGAAUAAAAAUUAAUUGAAAGAUCAAGGGAAUAGCAAAGGACGGCAAUAGCAAACUUUGGAGAGUAACUAUUGUGAAAUAGAACAGGGAAUGGGGUUUAUUAGGUUCAAUUUAAAGCAUUGGUAAAACUGCAAUCUAAGUGCUCACUAUUUUAACUUUGUUACAAAUUAGUCCUUUUUCUAAAUUUUAGGUAUUUAAAACUCAUUUUCAGAAAUCGGCUCAAUUCCCUAAUAGCCAUUGUCGAAAACAUUAUCGAAUACUAACCUUACGAAAUUUUGAGUACAUAUAGGCUAAAAUUCCUAAAAUACACUCGAAACUCUUAAACCUUAUUUUGGGGUGUUACGCGCAUGGUCAUGAUUCAUGUUGAAUUAAUACAUCAUUCACCGUAAUAAGGCUUAUCGUUGUAAUAAUUAGUUAAAUCACCUAAUAUCUAAAAAAUAAUUAUUAUUUUCAUAAAAUCAUUGAUCAAAUUUUUGUUUUCAAAUUUCAUACAUGAAAUUAACAAAUAAAGAUAGCUCUAAAUAGCAAAACCCAAUAUGUGUAACAAGUAUUUUUAUUAAUCCAUUUGGAACUAGAUUUUGUUUUCUAAUGUUAAGGUUUGCUGCAGCAAAUAAAUUGAUUAAUGCUUAUGAAUAUAAUGUUGGAUUAAAAUCCUUAAUUAUGAGUACAUAUGUAUAAUGUUUGAUAUUACAAUUAUCUUAAUAAUUUUUUUCUGUUUUUGUUGAUUGAUGAUUAUAAAAAUCAUUAUUCUUUUGAAGGCAUACUUUGUUGUCAAUAACAGUACCUGCACCCUAAGAAAUCACCAGGAAGCACAUUGUCAGGAGAUCCUUGCUGGAAAAAACAUUGUGCAAACUUAGGAUUUCAAUUCUCAGCAAGGAACUUGCAAGCCUAUUAUAGUAGAAAUGUUUUAUCCAAAUGAUAAAGAUGUUGAUGCAACAUUUUAGAUUGCAAAUUCCUUCAUCACAUUUGGAAUCCUAACCACAGGGACUUGCAAGCCUAUUAGCUCCAGGAACUUUAGAUUGUACCUGUUCAAUACAUUUUUUCAAAGAAGGAACCAUAGGUGAAAUGCGUACGUCUACUCUGGUUCAUCUCAUUGAAUACAUCAAAUGGAGGAUCAAUACGCUGAAAAAGGGACAAUGGAAACAACUUUAGUCAGCAACUUGAGUUUUAUAACUACUGCUAUGCUAACCAGCAGACCAUAACAGCAUACAUAAAAAAAAAAGAUGCUGACUUACAAUUUCUUUCAUUUCAUCACAACCAAUCAAAUCCCUUGCAAUGUUGUUUGGAUCACAACAGCUCAUCUUUCAAUCCUAGAUGGCUCCGCCAAUUUUUUUAAAGCAUACAUAAACUGUUAAAGAAAUAAAUGGAUAAAACAACUACAGGAUACAUGUCUGGACUGCAUGAGCUAACUUGUAAAAAAAAAAUUAUGAAAAUACAACAGAGAUCAUUGAGACAUUGUUGAAGUUGGCUUGCGUGCACACCAAGAAGCAGACCAAGCUGUCCGAGCCAUGCAAGUUGCGGCUGAAGCUUAUGCUGCUGUUUUGUUACUUUCAAAUAGAUAUUUUAUUACUUAGUUAGAUAUGAACUAAGUUGUUGAUAUGCUUGAUGUAAUUAGGUGCUGAUAGAUUGAUAAAUCAGCUUUACCAAGUGUACAAGCAAUGUUUAUCAAGUUACUAAGCCACUUAUUGGAGUUAGGAAUGUGUUUAGGUAACAUUUUCUUAUUUUUGACCAGCUGAUUGCUUGGUAUAUGUAAUGGCAUUGUGCCUUCAUUCAAAUGUAAUGAAAUCUUUCAGAAAAUUCUUCUUCAUUUGGUCUUUAGUUAAGCAUUUUUAUUCACAAAGAUCUUGCUGCUUUUGUUUUGUUUGUUGAGCAAGAUAUUAAUGCUUUAUGCUUAAGUUUCUGUCAAAAUAUCUCAUUCUUUUUUCUUAGUUCCUACAGACAUUUUGUUCUCCUUUCUCCUUUACUGAGCAGUAGCAAAGAUUAUUGAGACUAAAUUGAAAUCCAUGAAAGAAGACAUAAACAACACCACCAUACAAAAUAUUACACUCAAACAAACCAUUGCAGAUAGUACGAAAUGCAAUGAAAGACAGAGGAAUUGGUACAAUAAUAAAGACAGACACAUACCAAUGCAACCCUUCACCAUAGGCAAAACGGUCUACAAAACAAGAAAUUAUGAAAAUACAACCCUAAUUCUUGAACAUCAUUUGCAGUAAUUAGAUCCUUCUUCGUCUACUGCUGCGAUUGCCUUUCUUUGACUUUCUUCUUUGCCUCUUCUCAGGUUGGUUUUCAACCAAAUUCACCAACCAUUUCGGCUUUCCAGUUUGGAAAACAACAUAUCCCACGAACAUUCCGAACACUACUCCGCAUCCAUAACCUAUCAACACCACUUUCCAACCAAAAGCAAUGUCUGAUUUUGAGCCAUCUUUUUCAAGCACAUUUGGAGGUGCUGGCUCAAUGAUGUUGCAACCUUUCGUGACCGGAAAUCCACAUAGUCCCUUAUUUCCUUCAUAUGAAUCAUUUCCAAAUGUGUUGAAUUGUUUUCCUUGAGGAAUCCGACCAUGGAGUUGAUUUUCAGAAACAUUUAAAGACGAAAGAAAUGGCAGAUCUGCCAAUCUAUUUGGAAUCGUCCCAGACAACCUGUUUGAAGAUAGGUCCAACCAUUCAAGAUUCGUCAAAUUCCCUAUUGAGGUGGGGAUAUCACCAUUAAGGUUAUUAUGAGAAAGGUUGAGCCCUUUCAGUAAGUUAAGCUUCCCAAAAACCUUUGGAAUACCCCCUUCAAACUGAUUGUUUGAUAGAUCAAUGAUCAUCCACAUGGUGAAAAUUUUCACCAAUUCCCUCUCCUGUCCUCUCAUAACAAUUCCAAUGGAAUAGGUAUAGAAGCCACUACCUCUCUGAACAUACACCCCCAUGUACGACAUUGUACUCCCAAUCUUCUCUAGAUUUGUGAUAGCCUUGAAGCUGUUGAUGUAUCUCACUGGUAGGGGUCCAGAAAAAUAAUUGCUUGAGAGGUCAAAAAUUUGGAUUUUAGAGAAAAAAUAGCUAGACUUGGAGCUAUUGACACUCAAGGAACCAUGCAUAUGAUUUGACUUCAAUACAAGAACUUGCAAAAAUGGAAGACUUCCCAACCAAUGAGGAAAUGUAUCAUUGAUCUUGUUGUUACCAAGAUCUAGCACUUCCAGACCACUACAGUUAAGGAUGGAUGGUGUCAAAGGCCCUUCUAACAGAUUUCCAUUUAAGUUGAAAUUACUCAGUUGGCACCUCUCUGCAAAUGUUAGAGGAAUCAUCCCAUAGAACUUGUUCUUCUUCAGAUUCAAGGAUUCAAGGCUGUUGCUCAAAUUUCCAAAACAUUGCGGAAUUGUUCCACUCAAGUAAUUGUGGGACAAAUCAAGAAUUUGAAGAUAAGUGGCAUUGCAUAUUAAAGAAGAGACCUCUCCAUUGAAACUAUUAUUUGAGAUCAGAAAGACAUUGAUGGUCGAAGCUGGAAUUGGAAGAUUUCCAUGGAUCAAAUUGGAGCUUAAGUCAAGAAAUUCAAUAUUCUUCCAUGGAAAGUGCUCAACUUCUGUCAAAGAGUUGUGAGAUACGUUUAAGUAAGUCAAAGAGUCAUUCCCCACAUCUUGCAUCCACUGUGGAAUCUUGCCUUCAAUUUUGUUGCAAGAGAGGUCUAAGCUUUCCAAACUUUUAAGCCCUUUCAAAAAUUGGGGGAAUUCACUAAGAUUGCAAGAUGACAAAAGUACGUCUGUAAGAUUAGGCAAUAUAUGAUUAACAGUAGAAGUAGUAUUAGAUGUUAAGGAUAGGCUGUUAUAUGAAAGGUCAAGAUAUUCGAGAUUUGGAAGGUUUGAGAACAUGCGAGACUCUAUGACACCACUAAGAUUAUUUGAGGAUAAGCUGAGGUGGGUAAGAUUAAGAAGUUGGAAUAUUGAAGAUGGAAGAGGACCUUGGAGUUUAUUAUUCUCUAACGCUAUCAAUUCUAGUGAUUUGGAUUGGAAUUCUUUGAUAUGCCCACUGAAUUGAUUUUGAGAGAGAUAUACUGUCUUUAAGGAAGGAGCAGUAUACAACCAUGACGGAAGUGUUCCAUUGAGUAAAUUGUUAGAUAAUUCUAAAUAUUUUAGAUGAGGAAAAGCGGUUACCUCAUCUGGAAUGGAACCUUCUAAAGAAUUAUAAGAUAUUUUCAAAUGUUCUAGCUGCAUUAGGUUUAGAAUUGACAAUGGAAUUUGUCCACUCAAUUGGUUAUGCCACAAGUAUAAAUCAGUGAGUUGCAAGAGGUUACCCAAUGAUCUUGGAAUUUGUCCACUCAAAUGGUUCGCCGUCAAGUCUAAAUGACUAAGUUGCAAGAGGUUUCCCAGUGAUCUUGGAAGCGGUCCUGAUAAGUUGGAAUGGGAGAGAACUAAAAACUUCAAGGACACAAGAUUCCCCAUCGAGUUAGGCAAUCCUCCAAAAACAUCUGCGCCUAUAAGAAUCAAGUACUCCAAAGAUGAUAAAUUUGUGAGUGAGACAGACAAUCCUUGAAAGAAAGAAUUUCCUGAUAGAUCUAAGUACUUUAAGGCCUGUAGAUUAUCAACUGAAUCAAUGAAUUCUGUAGAGAAGGACACGGACGACAGAUCCAAAUGUUCAAGAUUGCUGCUCCGAUUGAACUUCAAAGGAUCAAGAUUGAGGUUUUGGUUGCCUCCCAAGUUGAGGAGAUUGAGGUUUGGCAAAUCAAAAAUGUUUUUUGGGAAUUUUCCUUGCAAAUCACAACCAGCAAGACUGAGAGACCUUAGAGAAGAGGAUAGAUUCAUGAAGACAUGAGCAUUAACAGAAGUCAUGUUGAUUCCAUCCAAAAACAGAUGUCUGACCUCGGUUAGGUUGUGAACAAGUCCCUCCAGAGCAUGUUUGUCAAUUGUUAGUACAUUAGCCCAAAAGGAGAGAUCAAGUGAAACCAAUUUUGACAGGUGGGAGACUUGGGAUGGGACUUCUCCUGCAAACCCUGUAUAAGAAAGGUUGAGGUAGAAUAGGCUUGUAAACCGACCGAACUCGGAUGGAAUUUUGGAAAGAUUAAAAUCAUUGUAGGCAAGGUUGAGUUUUUGAAGGUGAGGAAGAAGGAAGAGAGUGGUAUUGGAAGGGAAGUUGCCAUAUAGCCAACUGCAGCUCAAAUCAAGGGCAAUAACAUGAGCAUUUAGGUGGUCACAAGUGACCCCAUCCCAUGAGCAGCAAUCUGUACCCUCCUUCCAUGAAUUUGUCAUGGGGUAAGAUUUAAGGCCAGCAAUCCCAUCGCAAUAUAAAGUAGGAAGCAUUGUCUGAGUAAUGGAAAAAGAAUUCUUGAACUGGAUUAGUGAAGCAGCUUCAGGGUGAGAGCAGGAGUGAGAUCCUGAAGAAGCAGCAUAAAGAUGGGGAAAGAAGAGGAAUAGGCAGAGAAAGAGGUAGGAGGCCAUGUUAUGUUUAUAGAGGAAGAUGAAGGAUAGGAAUGGUACUUAUAGGCAACAAAUAAUACCACAACAUUGUAGUCUUCUUUUUACCAUAUAUUUUCCAUUCUUAAAAUUUGAUGUUUUUCUUUUAGCAAAAUAUUGUAUUUCAUUUGAAGUCCUAAACAACUAAAAAAAUUAAGAUUGAUGAGAUUACAAAGUAGAUUGACUUAGUCUUCUUUCCUAUAACACUUAAAGAAUGUCUUGUCAACCAAAGUUAAUUAAUGUGAAAAUUCUUUUUUACACAAAAGAACAAAAUUGUGCUCUAUUCACUACGUUAGAGGAAGAAGACUGCUAGAUUUUUUAAUUAUUUUUUCUUUGAAAAAUUUGAGAGUUUUUUACUGCCAUAAGCCAAUAAAAAAAAACAUGUAUUAAUUUUAUUUUUAAAAAUUGUGUGUUUGAUUGUGAAAUAAUUCAUCGUCCUCCACCACAAACUAUCCAUGUUUGCUGUGUGAAAGCAGGUACUUCCAUAAAGAAAUUACUAAGGAGAUGGGAUUCACCAAUUUUACCUAAACUCGCAUCAACAUUGUUUAGUGCUCCCUCAAUUUCACAUCAAUGCAUUCAAUUUCAAAAUAGGUUACCAAGACUACAAUAUCUAUUCACUUGGUCUUGCUUCCUAUCACUGUCAACCAAACUUGAUCGACUAGCAGUAGGGAAAUUUCAGUCAUUUGCAGUAUAAUGUACAAGAAUUACACUCCCACAAAAUAAUUUACAAUAUGGACUAACACUCCUUUGUUUCACUAAAAAUAAUUUUUAAAAAACGAUUUUUAGAAAGUAAUUUUUGAAAAAUGGUUAAAAGAUAAUUUUUGUUUCUGAAAUAGUUAAUUUUUUUUGGUGUUUAGAUAAAUUUGUGUAAAAUAUUUUUUGAUGUUUAAAAAAAUUCGAGAAAAUAUUUCAUAAAAGUUGUCUUUAAUGAAAUCAACAUAUAUUUGAAAUUUUGUUAUGUUUUCAUUGUUUACUUAAGUUUAUUUCAUAAAGCCUAUUUAUAUUUUAAUUAAUCAUAUUUUAGUUUUAAUUAAUUUUAAUUUACUUAAUUAAGCUUAAUUGUUAAUUUCGUACAUUAGAAUAUAAAUUUAUGUUUAAUUAAGUUGAAAGUGAUAAAUAUUUAUUUUGAAUAUUAUUUGGAUAAGUUGAAAAUGAUUUAAUUUGAUAAAAUUGAAGUCAGGGCCAUAGAACUAUGAUUUUUACUGACAAAAUCUUGGAUGCAGAGAUCAUUGAGACUAAAAAAUGAAAGUCAUGAAAGAAGACAUAAAUAGUUGAACCAUACAAAAUGUUACAUUUAAAACAAACCCUUACAAAUACUACCUAAUGCAAUGAAAUAUAGAUGAAUUGUUACAAUAACAAAGACAGAUGCAUGGCAAUGCAACCUUUCACCAUGGGAAAAAAUUUGACGGACUUCAAAACAAGAAAUUAUGAAGAUACAACGUACACACUUGAACAUCAUUUCCACGAACUAGAUCCUUCUUUGUCCAUUGCUGCGACUGCCAUCCUUUGACUUUCUUCUUCGCUUCUUCUCAUGUUGGAUUUCAACCAAAUUCACCAACCAUUUUGGCUUACCAAUUUGGAAAACAACAUAUCCCAUGACCAUUCCAAACACUACUCCGCAUCCAAAACCUAUCAACACCAAUUUCCAACCAAAAGAGAUGUUUGAUUUUGAACCAUCAUUUUCAAGCACAUUUGGAGGUGGUGGCUCAAUGAUUUGCAUCCUUUUGAGACCGGAAAUCCACAUAAUCCCUAGUUUCCUUCAUAUGAAUCAUUUCCAUAUGUGUUGAACUGUUUGCCUUGAGGAAUCUGACCAUGGAGUUGAUUUUCAGAAACAUUGAAGGACGAAAGAAAUGCCAAAUCUGCAAAUCUAUUUGGAAUUGUCCCAGACAACCUGUUUGAAGAUAGGUCCAACCAUUCAAGACUUGUCAAAUUCAUACCACAAUUAUAAACACUGUCAUAUGACAUGAAUAACAUACCCACAUAUUUACUGUCACAUGGCAUGAAAAACACACCCUCAUAUUCACUUUCACAUCAGUCAUCAUAAGCUUAUAACAUAUGUCAUAGCAAUCUAAUAUAUGUUCAUAAUUUCACAAUUUCACAAGCGUACAUGUAUCACAUUUAAUCAUAUGCACGAGAAAACUUACUCACUUACUCUCGAAAUUUAGUGUAGGGGCUUAGGCUACCAUUAAAUUCUCAAUUACACAAUGAAUCAUCUACGAGCAAUGAUUCCAAAACACUCAUAGAUAUCAACUUUAGCCAAAAAUCGAGAGCUUGAACUAGCUCUUCCUCUAACUCGUAGAAGGCUCUAAUGAAUCCGAGGCUUCACACAUGACAAUCACACAAUACCCACAGUCAAAUGACAGCCAAGCACCCACUUAAACUAACCAAAACACAAGCCUAAGCUACCUUCUCAUGUAACCAAACACUUUAGCAUGACGAACUUAAAAUGCAAAUAUAUCGAUCUACACUUAACAUUUUUGCAUGAAACAAGUUUCAAUCAUCCCCAUAUUUAUCUAUAAUUAAACUCAUACAAAACUGAACGUUUUAAGGUAUCGAUAUUUUUCAACAUGUUUGGCCAUAAUAAUGAAAAUUCAUUAAAAGGCGAGAAAUUGUUAAUGAAACUUGUAAGUAAUUUUAGAAACUUUCUAAUCAAGUUAAAACAAGUUGAAAAACACUUUCAAAUCACAUUUUUAUCCACAAUCUCAAAUUCCACUAUUAAUGAUCCAAUUUUUGAGUUUUAAUUAAAACAUGCAAUUUCAUAACUAAAAAACUCAAUUUUAAAGUCUAAAUAACUUUAAAAAUUAAUGGUAAAGUAAAUGGUUACAUUUGAUGGAAGAUUAAACGAGUUUUGACUAAAUUUGAAAAACCCACUAUUGAAGAUGAUGAUGAAAUCUCUGGAGUUUUUGAGUGUUUUUCCUGGAGAAUUAUGAAGGUAAUUGACUUGGGAAUUAUAAGAAAUCAAAGUAUUAUUGUUUGGGAAUAAAAAAUCAAUUGAAAGAUAAAGGGAAUAGCAAAGGACGGCAAUAGCAAACUUUGGAGAGUAACCAUCGUGAAAUAGAACUGGGAUUGGGGUUUAUUAGGUUCAAUUUUAAAAAUUGGUAAAACUGCAAUAUAAGUGCUCACUAUUUUAACUUUGUUACAAAUUAUUCCCUUUUUUUUUUUUCUAAAAUUUAGGAAUUUAAAACUUAUUUUCAGAAAUUGACUCAAUUCCCUAAUGGCCAUUGUCGAAAACAUUGUCGAAUACCAAGCUUACGAAAUUUUGAGCACAUAUAGGCUAAAAUUCCUAAAAUACACUCGAAAUUCUUCGACCCUAUUUUGGGGUGUUACACACAUGGUCAUGAUUCGUGUUGAAUUAAUCCAUCAUUCACCGUAAUAAGACUUGUCGUUGUAAUAAUUUAUUUUGAUAUGUAUUAUUUUAUGAUGCAUAAACAUCAUAAAUUUUUAUAUUAUGAAAUAAUAUAAUUAGUUAAAUCAUCUAAUAUCUAAAAAAUAAUUAUUAUUUUAAUAAAAUCAUUCAUCAAAUUUUUGUUUUCAAAUUUCAUACAUGAAAUUAACAAAUAAAGAUAGCUCUAAAUAGCAAAACAUGGUAGGAUGGUUUUUUUGUGCAAACUUAGGAUUUCAAUUCUCAUCAAGGAACUUGCAAGCCUAUUAUAGUAGAAAUGUUUUAUCCAAACGAUAAAGAUGUUGAUGCAACAUUUUAGAUUGCAAAUUCCUUGCUCACAUUUGGAAUCCUAACCACAGGGACUUGCAAGCCUAUUAGCUCCAGGAACUUUAGAUUGUACUUGCAAAUUCCUUGCUCACAUUUGGAAUUCUAUUCUGGUUCAUCUCAUUGAAUACAUCAAAUGGAGGAUCAAUACGCUGAAAACGGAUCAAAUCCCUUGCAAUGUUGUUUGGAUCACAACAGCUCAUCUUUCAAUCCUAGAUGGCUCCGCCAAUUUCUUGAAAGCAUACAUAAACUGUUAAAGAAAUAAAUGGAUAAAACAACUACAGGAUAGAAGGCUGAAAAUUUACGAAGGGCAAUGACCUUAAUGUUAAAAUUCCAACGUCCAUUCCUUGGAAAGAUAUCUUCACCAUUGCCCACUCAAGAGAACUCAAAUAGCAGCAAGAUCUAGAAUAAAAUGUAACCCUCAACAACACACAAAUGUUUGUUCUGUCAAGGAACAAUACACAGACAUAUUCACCUACCGUUGGUGCUGGCAGAAUAUGCCCAUUCACUUGGGUGAAAUUAGAGUUGAUAUUAACCCCACAAGAUUUCUGCACCAUAAUUACUGCUAAGUAAAACCUGCACAUAAAUUUUCAUUCUUCACUAGAAACUGAAACUAUUUUUGUAAGUAAAAAUUAGUUGUAUUCAUUCUUCGCAUAAUUGAUCUUUUGUUGUGGAAGUAUUGUAUUUCCGGUAAUCCAUUAAGUAUUCAGUGUUUGAUACAAUAGAUUUGCAUUUUACUAUUGUAUUUUGUGGAAGGAACCUUUACCUAUUUUGUUUUUUGCAUUUCUGAUUAGUUUACAUUUUUCAGUAAUUAAUUUAUGUUGUUUUUGCCAAACUUUGUAGCGUUUCACUUUUGGUAAAAUUUCACCCUUGGUCCCUUUAAACUCCUUCUUGCUUUAAUUUGAUUGCUUUCUAGCGUUGCAAAUUACAUAACAUUCUUCAAAUGUCUUACUAAAUUCUCACUUUUACGAGUGCUAUGAUAAUCAAUUAAAAUUCAAUUCAGUUUUAAGUUCAAUAUAACACUUACAUGGCUACAAAAUGUGUCCUUAACCCCAAACAAUCCAAAUUUGCAGAGAAACCACCCAUUAUAUAUAGGUUUGCCAAUGAGACGGCAAGCAGACUGCUAGCUAGAAAUUCAUGCAUCUUUGAAUCACCAAUUCAAUUAAUAAGCUUAAGUAAAGGAAAUAAGGACUUUACAUCCUCCAAUUAAAGCAACCUAUAUGUACCCUUUUACAGUCUGCAUUGUUCCAUGUUUCAAUUCAUUACAUCAUUCCUUCAACUCUGCUAUAUAUUAUUACCGUCUCCAGAUAACCAAACCUUUUACUGCUAACUUGUAAAAAAAAUUAUGAAAAUACAACAGAGAUCAUUGACACAUUGUUGAAGUUGGCUUGCAGGCAGACCAAGAAGCAGACCAAGCUGUCCGAGCCAUGCAAGCUGCAGCUGAAGCUUAUGCUGCCGUUUUGCUACUUUCAAAUAGAUAUUUUAUUACUUAGUUAGAUAUGAACUAAGUUGUUGAUAUGCCUGAUGUAAUUAGGUGCUGAUAGAUUGAUAAAUCAGCUUUACCAAGUGUACCAAGUUACUAAGCCACAUAGUGGAGUUAGGUAUGUGUUUAGGUAACAUUUUCUUAUUUUUGACCAGCUGAUUGCUUGGUAUAUGUAAUGGCAGUGUGCCUUCAUUCAAACAUAAUGAAAUCUUUCAGAAAAAUCUUCUUCAUUUGGUCUUUACUUAAGCAUUUUUAUUCACAAAGCUCUUGCUGUUUUUGUUUUGUUUGUUGAGCAAGAUAUCAAUGCUUUAUGCUUAAGUUUCUGUCAAAAUUUCUCAUUCUGUUUUCUUAGUUCCUACAGUCAUUUUGUUCUCCUUUCUCCUUUACUGAGCAGUAGCAAAGAUUAUUGAGACUAAAUUGAAAUCCAUGAAAGAAGACAUUAACAACACCACCAUACAAAAUGUCACACUCAAACAAACCAUUACUGAUAGUACGAAAUGCAAUGAAAGACAGAGGAAUUGGUACAAUAAUAAAGACAGACACAUACCAAUGCAACCCUUCACCAUAGGCAAAACGGUCUACAGAACAAGAAAUUAUAAAAAUACAACACUAAUUCUUGAACAUCAUUUGCAGUAAUUAGAUCCUUCUUCGUCUACUGCUGCGAUUGCCUUUCUUUGACUUUCUUCUUCGCCUCUUCUCAUGUUGGUUUUCAACCAAAUUCACCAACCAUUUUGGCUUUCCAGUUUGGAAAACAACAUAUCCCACGAACAUUCCGAACACUACUCCACAUCCAUAACCUAUCAACACCACUUUCCAACCAAAAGCAAUGUUUGAUUUUGAGCCAUCUUUUUCAAGCACAUUUAGAGGUGCUGGCUCAAUGAUGUUGCAACCUUUCGAGACCGGAAAUCCACAUAGUCCCUUAUUUCCUUCAUAUGAUUCAUUUCCAAAUGUGUUGAAUUGUUUUCCUUGAGGAAUCUGACCAUGGAGUUGAUUUUCAGAAAUAUUGAAGGACGAAAGAAAUGGCAGAUCUGCCAAUCUAUUUGGAAUCGUCCCAGACAACCUGUUUGAAGAUAGGUCCAACCAUUCAAGAUUUGUCAAAUUCCCUAUUGAAGUGGGGAUACCACCAUUAAGGUUAUUGUGAGAAAGGUUGAGCCCUUUCAGUAAGUUAAGCUUCCCAAUAACCUUUGGAAUCUCUCCUUCAAACUGAUUGUUUGAUAGAUCAAUGAUCAUCCACAUGGUGAAAAUUUUCACCAAUUCCAUAUAUUUUCCUUUCAUAAUAAUUCCAAUAGAAUAGGCAUAGAAGCCGCUAGUAUAAUCUCCCACACCCAUGUAUGGCCUUGCACUACCUUUUUUCUUGAGAUUUAUGAUAGCCUUGAAGCUGUUGAUGUAUCUCACUGGUAGGGGUCCAGAAAAAUAGUUACUUGAGAGGUCAAAAUUUUGGAUUUUAGAGAAGAAAGGGCUAGACUUGGGGCUAUUGACACGCAAAGAACCAUGCAUAUGAUUAGACUUCAAUACAAGAACUUGCAAAUAUGGAAGACUUCCCAACCAAUGAGGAAAUGUAUCAUUGAUCUUGUUGUUACCAAGAUCUAGCACUUCCAGACCUCUACAAUUAAGGAUGGAUGGUGUCAAUGGCCCUUCUAACAAAUUUCCAUUUAAGUUGAAAUUACUCAAUUGGCAUCCCUCUGCAAAUGUUGGAGGAAUCGUCCCAUAAAACUUGUUCUUCUUCAGAUUUAAGAAUUCAAGGCUGUUGCUCAAAUUUCCAAAACAUUGCGGAAUUGUUCCACUCAAGUUAUUGUGGGACAAAUCAAGAAUAAGAAGAGAAGUGACAUUGCAGAUUAAAGAAGAGACCUCUCCAUUGAAACUAUUAUUUGAGAUCAGAAAGACAUUGAUGGUCGAAGCUGGAAUCGGAAGAUUUCCACGGAUCAAAUUGGAGCUUAAGUCAAGAACUUCAAUAUUCUUCCAUGGAAAGUGCUCAACUUCUGUCAAAGAGUUGUGAGAUACGUUUAAGUAAGCCAAAGAGCCUUUCCCCACCUCUUGCAUCCACUGUGGAAUCUUGCCUUCAAUUUUGUUGCAAGAGAGGUCUAAGCGUUUCAAACUUUUAAGCCCUUCCAAAAAUUGGGGGAAUUCACUAAGAUUGCAAGAUGACAAACGUAAGUCCAUAAGAUUAGGCAAUAUAUGGUUAACACAAGAAGUAGUAUUAGAUGUUAAGGAUAGGCUAUUAUAUGAAAGGUCGAGAAGUUUUAGAGUUGGAAGGUUUGAGAACAUGCGAAACUCUAUGACACCACUAAGAUUAUUUGAGGAUAAAACGAGGCGGGUAAGAUUGAGAAGUUGGAAUAUAGAAGAUGGAAGAGGACCUUGGAGUUUAUUAUCGUUUAACCUUAUGAAUUCUAGUGAUUUGGAUUGGAAUUCUUUGAUAUGCCCACUGAAUUGAUUUUGAGAGAGAGAUAUUGUCUUUAAGGAGGGUGCAGUAUACAACCAUGACGGAAGUGUUCCGUUGAGUAAAUUGUCAAAUAAGUAUAAAUAUAUUAGAUUAGGAAAAGCGGUUACCUCAUCUGGAAUGGAACCUUCUAAAGAAUUAUUAUAUAUUCCCAAGUAUUCCAGCUGCGUUAGGUUUAGAAUUGAGAAUGGAAUUUGUCCACUCAAUUUGUUCCCGGACAAGUCUAAAUAAGUGAGUUGCAAGAGGUUCCCCAAUGAUCUUAGAAUUUGUCCACUCAGUUGGUUCCACGACAAGUCUAAAUGAGUGAGUUGCAAGAGGUUUCCCAAUGAUCUUGGAACCGUUUCUGAUAAGUUGGAAUUGGAGAGAUCUAAAAACUUCAAGGACACAAGAUUCCCCAUCGAGUCAGGCAAUCCUCCAAAAACAUUUGCUACUGAAAUUAUCAAUUGCUCCAAAGAUGAUAAAUUUGUGAUUGAGACAGACAAUCCUUGAAAGAAAGAAUUUUGUGAUAGAUCUAAGUACUUUAAGGCCGGUAGAUUGUCAACUGAAUCAAUGAAUUCUGUAGAGAAGGACAUGAAAGACAGAUCCAAAUGUUCAAGAUUGCUGCUCCGAUUCAACUUCAAAGGAUCAAGAUUGAGGUUUUGGUUGCCUCCCAAGUUGAGGAGAUUGAGGUUUGGCAAGUCAAAAAUGUUUUUUGGGAACUUUCCUUGCAAAUCACAAUAAGCAAGACUGAGAGACCUUAGAGAAGAGGAUAGAUUCAUGAAGACAUGAGCAUUAACAGAAGACAUGUCCAUUCCAUCCAAAAACAGAUGUCUGACCUCGGUUAGGUUGUGAACAAGUCCCUCCAGAGCAUGUUUGUCAAUUGUUUGCUCAUCAUCCCAAGAGGAGAGAUCAAGUGAAACCAAUUUUGACAGGCGGGAGACUUGGGAUGGGACUUCUCCUGCAAACCCUGUAUAAGAAAGGUUGAGGUAGAAUAGGCUUGUAAAGCGACCGAACUCGGAUGGAAUUUUGGAAAGAUUAAAAUCAUUGAAGGCAAGGUUGAGUUUUUGAAGGUGAGGAAGAAGGAAGAGAGUGGUAUUGGAAGGGAAGGUGCAAUAUAGCCAACUGCAGCUCAAGUCAAGGGCAAUAACAUGAGCAUUUAGGUGGUCACAAGUGACCCCAUCCCAUGAGCAGCAAUCUGUACCCUCCUUCCAUGAAUUUGUCUUGGGAUAAGAUUUAAGGCCAGCAAAAUCAUUGCAAUAAGAAGAAGCAUCCUCUAUUAUGGAAAAAGAGUUCUUGAACUGGAUUAAUGAAGAGCAGGAGUGAGAUCCUAAAGAAGAAAAAGAAGCAUAAAGAUGGGGAAAGAAGAGGAAGAGGCAGAGAAAGAGAUAGGAGGCCAUGUUAUGUUGGUAGAGGAAGAUGAAGGAUAGGAAUGGUAUUUAUAGGCAACAAAUAAUACCACAACAUUGGUGUUACAGUCUUUCUUUUCUUUUACAUUGAAAAGCUAUGGAUAUUAGAUUUUCAAAAUUUUUGUAUUUUUCACAAUCAUCAACAACCACUUAGUCCUUUUAUCAUAUAUUUUUCAUUCUUAAAAUUAGAUAUUAGAUUUUCAAAAUAUUUGUAUUUUUCAUUUGAACUCUCUAAACAACUCAAAAAAUUAAGAUUAACUUAGUCUUUUUUCUUAUAACACUUAAAGAAUGUGUGUAAUCUAUUCACAGGUUAACCAAAGCUAAGUAAUGUGGAAAUUCUUUUUCACACGAAAGAACAAAAUUGUGCUCUAUUCACUACGUUUGAGGAAGAAGACUGUUGGAAAUUUUAUUCACCGAUUCCAUAAAUUAAAACGUGUAUACUUAUAUAUAUAUAUUUAUAACCUCAUAAUUCAAAUCUAAAAUCUUAUUUGUUAUAAAUUCUAAUAAAUUUAUUUGGGAAUAGUUAUUUUUCAUUCGUUAAUUAUUUCUCUUUUAAUCAAGUAAAAAAUUAAAACUAAAAAGACAUAAUGAUUACUUUUACCCUUGAAACUUAUAUGGUUCGUUAAAUCACCCAUUGAUGACAUAUUAACCUUUGAGUUAAACUCAAAUUGCUCUUUCCUUUGUUAUAAAUUAAGAGUAUAACUAAUUUUGAUAAGAAUGGUUACUUUUCAUUAACACAGUUUAAAGGACCAUAACACGUAAACUUUGGUCUAUUGCAGAAUUCACAUGCAAUGCAGGACAUUUACAUUAUGCAGAAUUCAACACAUAUAUGGGAAUUUUUGUAUUUCCACAAUCAUCAUGUUUUUAGUGAUCAACAACUACUUCCUUUUUACCAUAUAUUUUUCAUUCAUAAAAUUGAUUACUUCUUUUUACCAAAGAAGUAAAAUAAUUAACAUUCCUGAGAUUACAAAGUCUUCUUCCUUAUAACACGUCAAAUUUGGUCCCAAAUAAAUUUCCACACAAAAUUAAGAAUACACAAAGGCAGGAUGAAUUAUUCCAUGUUUGAACAUCUGCAACAUAAAUGCAUAUGGCAAAAAGGCUCAAACCAUACCUUAAGUUCAUGAAUUCUCAUCAUCACAUGUUUAUAAAUGCAACUCAAACUUGAAUAAUUGAAUCUUUUGUAAUUCUACAUGUAUUUGUUUUUUUUUAUGGUGAGCAGUAUAAUGUUUACUAAAAAUUGAAAUUCAAGAAAGAAGACAUACAUAGUUGCACCAUUCAAGAUAAACUUACCUCGAGUAUUGAUACUCGGGUUGAAGUAUCGAUACCAAAUCUUUUUUAUCAUAUAUUUUUCAUUCACAAAAUUGGAUACAUUUUUUUACCAAAAUUUUGUAUUUCAUUUGAAUUCCCUAAACAACUGAGAAAAUUAAAAUUGAUGAGAUUAUAAAGUAGAUUGACUUAAUCUUCUUCCUUAUAAUACGUAAAGAAUGUGAGUGUCUAUUUACUUAGUAUGUAUGGCUGUCAAGCAAUGUAGAAAUUUGCACACAAAAGAACAAAUUUGUGGACUACUUAAAAAUUCAAAGCAUGUGUGGCCAAUAUUCAUUUAUUUUAUUGCAUAAAAUUCAAGGCAUGUGUGUUGAAUAAUUUUAUCCAAGAAGCAUAUUUUCCACAAAACUUUAAUCGGUUGGCAUUAAAUAUGUCAUUUUCUAUUAACUGCAAGAAAACUAUCCGGUAAACUACAUCUUCUUCUUUUAGAUAAAAUUUUGUAAAAAAAAAUUUGACAUUAUCACUUAUAUAGUUAUAUGGUCCUUCAAUUUUAUUUUUUUUAAAAAAAAAAGUAAUUUUAACUCUCCAUUUAAUAUUUCACCUCUUUGAGUUUUUAAAUUUGUGUUAUUUAUCAAAUCAUCCCAGAAUGUAUGAAAAAGUUAACAUUUGUUAACUUUAUUGACGGAACAUACAUAUCGAUAUCAUAUAAACAAUUAAUUGAUUUUUAAAUUUUAAAAAUUUUAAAAAUAAAACAUAUAUUAAAAUUUCUAAGAAAUGAGAAAAUUUGGAAGCAUUGCAAAAGAAUGUGCAAUAAUUCCAAACAAAUUAACGCAACAUUUUAGUUACCACUUAUAUAGUCCUUCAAUUUUAUUUAAAAAAAAUUAUUUUAACUCUGCAUUUAAUUUUUCGCCUCUUUAAACUUUUAAUUUGUGUUAUUUAUCAAAUCUUCCAAACAAAUUAACGCCGUAAUAACCCAUUUUUCCCGGCCCAUAAUUAACCAAAUUAAAAAAAACGAAAUAUAAAAUUUUAAUAACAGUCCACUACAAACACAAUAAGUAGCAGGCCCAAAACCCAAAUGCACUACCUAAUUACAAACCCAACUAAACCCUAACCCAAUACAAACCCCAAAAGCCCAGCUUGCAGCCCACAACACUAAAAACAAUAGAAACCCUAGCAACAGUUUCAGCCGCCGCAACAGUGGCCCCAGCGCUGCAGACUGUCCUCCGCGCGUGUCAAGCCUCCGCGCGCGUGCGCCUCCAAGCUAGCAUGUACCUGCAACGAACAAUAAACAGCAAGCAGCAAGAGAGGCAAAAUAACAGAUUGAUAGCUAAAAAAUAAAGAGUUUUUUUGUAUUUUUUCUUUUUUUCAUUUUUCGGUUAUAUAAAGCCACUUGUGAUACUGUAAAAGGGAUUACGCAUUCGAAAGAAAAAAAAAAGAAUCAAAUAGCAGCAUAAUUUUAAGGUGGUUUCCGAUUUCUACUUCUUUUUUUUUCUUUUUCCUUUGAUUUGUUUUUAUUUGUUGAUUAAAAGAUAAAAAAAAGGGAAGUUCUUACCUACAUAUUGCGCCGCCAGGAGCCUUCGUCCCUUCUGUUUCAAAUCGAAAUGGGGUGGGCAAUGGUCGAAUCAAAAGCGGCGCACAUAGGAUAGAUUUUAGGGUUGGUUAGAUUUUUUUUUUUUAGAAAUGGAGUGUCUGCUAAUGUUAACUUAUAUAUAGCGUAUGAAACGACGACAUUUGAUGCCAUUUUAGUGGUUUCAAAAUGGCGUCGUAUAGGGCCGAGAUCCGUGCGGUGACCCGACCCGGGGAGGAUCCGCGUGUUUUCACUUUGGUGGGAUAUUUGUGCGCUAGGUUCUCUACCUUUGCACUUUGUUUUAAUUCGGUUUAUUUUGAUUCUUCAAAUUGGGCUGCAUAAUUUCCUGCUGACUACAUUUUAGUCCAUUUGCAGCGGUGCGUUUUGGUGGGCAAGGAAUAUUUCCUAUUUUAGUCCCCAUGUUAUUCGCGGUUUGUAAUUUGGUCCUUUCCUUUUAUAUAUAUAAUAAUUUUAUAUAAUACUAUUUUAUAUAUAUAUAAUUUGUAUUAAGUUUUUUAUAUAUCAUCGAUUUCAUAUUUACGUAUUUUUCUACUUAUUUCAUAUAUAAUCUGUUUCAUUUAAAACUUUACUUUAUUAUAUACUUGAUUUAUAUCAACCUUUUAUACAUACUAUUAUACGUAUACGUAUAUUGUUUAUUUUAAAUUAAUAUGUAUAUAUUAUUUCAUGUAUUUCGGUUUUCUUCAUAUACAAUAUUCACUUUAAAAUUCAUUUUAAUAUUAUUUUUUUCGUAGUAUUUAUUUUUUAUCUUCAUUUUUGACUUAUUUCAAACUCAUAUAUGUAUAUCUAUUAUCUUUGCUAAUGUGCAUACAUAUGCAACUUCAUUUAAAUAUAAAAAAUCUAAAAAUAAUUAAAUAUGUAUAAAUCUAAAAAUAUCUUAAAAUUAAAACUAAAAAAUUUUAAACUAAUGCAAAUUUUUAUUAUUUAAAAAAUCUUAAAAUUUUCAAAUUAAAUUCCAUUUGUUUUCCACCGUUGAAGAACACCUUCAAUCACAUUAACAACUUCAUGCUAUUUUGCCUAGAAAUUAUUUUGCAAAUUUAUUUUGUUUUAUUUAUUUCUAAAUCCAUAUUUCUUUUCUGUAACUCCAAUUAUUAGAUUGUUUAGGGUUUUGAGUAACUUUCGAUUUUGGAAUUUUAGAUUUUUAAAUUUAAAUACGAAGUGCUCUUCUUCUUCUCCAAACCCACAAAUUUUCUACCAAAUUUCAACUCAAGGUUUUACUUUCAGCUAUAAAUAAAACAUAUAUUAUAUUUAUAAUGACCUAAGAAUAGUAGAGUCGACGCCGAUCUACAUGAAAAAGGAGGGAAAAAAACAGGCAAAGAAAGAUGAUAUGAAGAGAGCAUAAAUCAAUAAAGCAAAUGAAAAACGAGUAGAAUUAAAGUAAAUGGGUAUUUAAUAUUUUUUUGUGAAAGUUCAAAGACUAAUUAUGUAUGAGCUUGGAUGUGGAAAAAUUAGUUGGAAAUUUUUUUUCUUGCACCAAUUGAUUUUUUUUAUAUAGAAUUUGUAUUUAUUUUUUAAGAUUUUUAAAUUUUGUUACAAUUAUUUUUAUGAAAAUUUGAAAAUAUAAAAAUACUUUUUGAACUAUAAUUCAAGGAUUAAAUUAGCUAUUAAUCAUUUGAAUAAAUAAAACAUAUACAUGAAUUAAGUAAUUAAUCCACAAGCAAUGUUGGACAUUUUCAUAAUGCCAAAUUUCACUUCAGAUUUAGUUACCCAUAAUCAUAUUUAAACAAACAAAAACAUAACAAUCACACAAAAUAGGCAUAACUAGAAAACAUGAGAAAAAUGAGAAAAGCUUGAAAACAAUUACAAUGGUAGCAAAGGAAAUGUAAAAAAAAAAACUUAAAAAUCAGAUUUUUAAUGAUGAAGGGAAUUGAUCAUUUAUAUUAAAACCAAGGAUUAAACUGAAAAUACAAAGAGUUGAAGGUACUAAACUAGCAAACAAACCCUAGCUGCAAUGUUAAUUAACUUAACUAACUACUAUUGGAACCAAGAAAAACUAAAAGAAAACAUGAAUUACACCCUAGAGUUAUGGAGAAGAAAACAAAAACUCUAAAAAUAAAGAGGAAAUUUGAAAACCAUGAAAUGUUAAGUGUGCCUUUUGUUCAGCCAAUUUUUUGCCCUUUCUAGAAUUACAGAUCCAAAAAUAGUGGCCAAAUUGUCCUUGAUCGUUUAAUUUUGGUUAGGGGACAUGUUGGAAACGGAUUACCCAUACGGUUAUAUUUUGUCUCCUCUCAUCAAUGAUAUUGCCAUACCCAAAGUUUGGUAUCGCGAUAUCCACAACAAUCUUGGGGAUCCUUAGGAGUUUUGAGUAUCGCGAUACCUUAUGACUGGUAUCAUGAUAGCACUGUUGAUGGCUCAAUCUUCCUUGUUUUUAACAUUGUUAUGGGUGUUACGACUUUCAAUCUUCCUUAUUUUUAACAUUGUUAUGCAAUACCCUCUUUCUAGGUGACAUUUUCGCUCCUUCCGGGUCACCAUGGGCUCUCUGCAUCACUCACCAAUCACAUUAGAUUCCCCGGGUGCCAUUUGACCAUCUCAGGUCUCAAAAUAGCAUCAAAAUGCACACUAAUCAUUUAUUAAUAUAAAUAACUAAAACUAAAUAAAAACACAACAAAGAUAUCUAAAUUGCUCGAAAAUAAGCUUUUAAGUGUGAUGGAGAGCCUAAUUUGACAUAUCAAUUUACAGCAUGUCAUAAAUAUAAUUUGCGGAACCUUGUUAAAAUUUUGGGUUUCUUUAUUAGUUUUCUUUCAAUAUUCUGUAUGGUACAUUUGUAUUAAUAUAUUGUGCAGAUCAUAGACUAAAUUGCUUUAUUAGUUUUCUAUUGUUAAUCUCACUUUUUAUUAAUUAAGGAAUACGAAUUAGAAUUAAUAUGAAAUUACUAUUUCAACAUUUCAUAAGAAAAAGCUAAAAUAAUAUUUGUCAUAUCCCAUAUGCUCAUAUAUAGCUUGUCGAAACCAUUUUCUUGUAAAAGGGGGGUUGACUUUGGUUUUAAAACGAAAAUUGGAGUCGUCACCGAUUAUUUUUAUGAGGUGUAAUCGGGUCACCUCGUAACGGUUUAAUUUAUAACAAUUUUGGUCUACGAAAUUUAGAAGAAAAAAAGGGGUUCGGGAGUCGGUUACGUACGAGGAAGGAUUAGCACCCUCAUAAUGUCCAAAAUUGGUACCUAAUUGAUUACUUAAUGUCUUAAUGUCGAAAAUUAAAAAUUCGAAAAGAAUUUAAAAUAAGAUCCCUGUUUAUUAAUGUUAUUUAUUUUAAAAGAAUUUGCUUGAAUAAGUUGCAAUGAAUGUCAAAGACCCUCCCGUCUCGAGAUAACUAGUGUCACGUCCCGUAAGUGAGGAUACGACGCUUGGAAACCUAGAGAAUAAGCCUGGCUUUAACUCUUACUGAGAUUUCGUGUGUUUUGAAAUUUAAAAGGAUAUUUUGUUAUUUAGGUUUAACGAGAAAAUCGAAACCUCGUAAGUUAGGGUACGAUUUUUCUCGAAUUUUCAAAACGCAAAAUUUUUUUUUUGAAUUUAAGUAAAAACUAAUGUAAUAUGUAAUAAGAUAUGUGUUUAAUUUAUUCAAACAUCGCCUGAAAGUGAACAAAUAAUUUUAAAAAAAAUGAUGUAUAAUGCAACAUAUUAACUACUACAACGAAAGUGAAAUGCAAUGAAAGUCAUGAAAUCGAAAGAUUAUCGAGACUAAAUUGAAAGUCAUGAAAGAAGACAUAAACAACACCACCAUACAAAAUGUUACACUCAAACAAACCAUUACAGAUAGUACGAAAUGAAAUGGAAAGACACAGGAAUUGGCACAAUAAUAAAGACAGACACAUACAAAUGCAAACCAUAGGCAAAACGGUCUACAGAACAAGAAAUUGUGAAAAUACAACACUAAUUCUUGAACAGCAUUUGCAGUAAUUAGAUCCUUCUUCGCCUAUUGCUUCGAUUGCCUUUAUUUGACUUUCUUCUUCGCCUCUUCUCUUGUUGGUUUUCAACCAAAUUCACCAACCAUUUUGGCUUUCCAGUUUGGAAAACAACAAAUCCCACGGACAUUCCGAACACCACUCCGCAUCCAUAGCCUAUCAACCCCACUUUCCAACCAAAAGCAAUGUUUGAUUUUGAGCCAUCUUUUUCAAGCACAUUUGGAGGUGCUGGCUUAAUGAUGUUGCAACCUUUAGAGACCGGAAAUCCACAUAGUCCCUUAUUUCCUUCAUAUGAAUCAUUUCCAAAUGUGUUGAACUGUUUGCCUUGAGGAAUCUGACCAUGGAGUUGAUUUUCAGAAACAUUGAAGGACGAAAGAAAUGGCAGAUCUACCAAUCUAUUUGGAAUCCUCCCAGACAAACUGUUUGAAGAUAGGUCCAACCAUUCAAGACUUGUCAAAUUCCCUAUUGAGGUGGGGAUACCACCAUUAAGGUUAUUAUGAGAAAGGUUGAGCCCUUUCAGUAAGUUAAGCUUCCCAAAAACCUCUGGAAUACACCCUUCAAACUGAUUGUUUGAUAGAUCAAUGAUCAUCCACAUGGUGAAAAUUUUCACCAAUUCCAUAUAUUGUCCUUUCAUAACAAUUCCGAUGGAAUAGGUAUAGAAGCCGCGACCUCCAGGAUCAUUCACCCCCAUGUACGACUCUAUAAUACCAAUCUUCUCUAGAUUUAUGAUAGCCUUGAAGCUGUUGAUGUAUCUCACUGGUAGGGGUCCAGAAAAAUAAUUACUUGAGAGGUCAAAAAUUUGGACUUUAGAGAAAAAAGGGCUAGACUUGGAGCUAUUGACACAUAAGGAACCACGCAUAUGAUUUGACUUCAAUACAAGAACUUGUAGCUGUGGAAGACUUCCCAACCAAUGAGGAAAUGUAUCAUUGAUCUUGUUGUUACCAAGAUCUAGCACUUCCAGACCAUUACAAUUAAGGAUGGAUGGUGUCAAAGGCCCUUCUAACAGAUUUCCAUUUAAGUUGAAAUUACUCAAUCGGCAUCCCUUUGCAAAUGUUGGAGGAAUCGUCCCAUAGAACUUGUUCUUCUUCAAAUUCAAGAAUUCGAGGCUGUUGCUCAAAUUUCCAAAACAUUGCGGAAUUGUUCCACUCAAGUUAUUGUGGGACAAAUCAAGAAUUCGAAGAGAAGUGACAUUGCAGAUUACAGAAGAGACCUCUCCAUUGAAACUAUUAUUUGAGAUCAGAAAGACAUCGAUCGUGGAAGCUGGAAUCGGAAGAUUUCCACGGAUCAAAUUGGAGCUUAAGUCAAGAACUGCAAUAUUCUUCCACGGGAAGUGCUCAACUUCUGUCAAAGAGUUGUGAGAUACAUUUAAGUAAGUCAAAGAGCCAUUCCCCACCUCUUGCAUCCACUGUGGAAUCUUGCCUUCAAUUUUGUUGCAAGAGAGGUCUAAGCUUUCCAAACUUUUAAGCCCUUUCAAAAAUUGGGGGAAUUCACUAAGAUUGCAAGAUGACAAAAAUAACCUUGUAAGAUUAAUAGUAGAAGUAGUGUUAGAUGUUAAGGAUAGGCUGUUAUAUGAAAGGUCGAGAUAUUUGAGAUUUGGAAGGUUUGAGAACAUGCUAAACUCUAUGACACCACUAAGAGUAUUUGAGGAUAAGCUGAGGCCGGUAAGAUUGAGAAGUUGGGAUAUUGAAGAUGGAAGAGGACCUUGGAGUUUAUUAUUCUCUAAGCGUAUCAAUUCUAGUGAUUUGGAUUGAAAUUCUUUGAUAUGCCCACUGAAUUGAUUUUGAGAGAGAUCUAUUGUCUUUAAGGAGGGAGCAGCAUAUAACCAUGACGGAAGUGUUCCAUUGAGUAAAUUGUCAGAUAAGGCUAAAGAUAUUAGAUUAGGAAAAGCGGUUACGUCAUCUGGAAUGGAACCUUCUAAACAAUUAUUAGAUAUUUCCAAGUAUUCCAGCUGCGUUAGGUUUAGAAUUGACAAUGGAAUUUGUCCACUCAAUUUGUUCCCUGACAAGUCUAAAUAAGUGAGUUGCAAGAGGUUCCCCAAUGAUAUUGGAACCGGUCCUGAUAAGUCGGAAAAGGAGAGAUCUAAAAACUUCAAGGACACAAGAUUCCCCAUCAAGUCAGGCAAUCCUCCAAAAUCAUUUGCGCCUGAAAUUAUCAAUUGCUCCAAAGAUGAUAAAUUUGUGAUUGAGACAGACAAUCCUUGAAAGAAAAAAUUUCCUGAUAGAUCUAAGUACUUUAAGGCCUGUAGAUUAUCAACUGAAUCAAUGAAUUCUGUAGUGGGGGACAUCCACGACAGAUCCAAAUGUUCAAGAUUGUUGCUCCGAUUCAACUUCAAAGGAUCAAGAUUGAGGACUGGGUUGCCUCCCAAGUUGAGGAGAUUGAGGUUUGGCAAUUCAAAAAUGUUUUUUGGGAAUUUUCCUUGCAAAUCACAAUAAGCAAGACUGAGAGACCUUAGAGAAGAGGAUAGAUUCAUGAAGACAUGAGCAUUAACAGAAGACAUGUCCAUUCCAUCCAAAAACAGAUGUCUGACCUCGGAUAGGUUGUGAACAAGUCCCUUCAGAUCAUGUUUGUCAAUUGUAAAUUGCUCAUGGACAUAAAUCAAAGCGGAGAGAUCAAGUGAAACCAAUUUUGACAGGCGGGAGACUUGGGAUGGGACUUCUCCUGCAAACCCUGUACGAGAAAGGUUGAGGUAUAAUAGGCUUGUAAACCGACCGAACUCGGAUGGAAUUCUGGAAAGAUUAAAAUCAUUGUAGGCAAGGUUGAGUUUUUGAAGGUGAGGAAGAAGAAAGAGAGUGGUAUUGGAAGGGAAGUUGCCAUAUAGCCAACUGCAGCUCAAGUCAAGGGCAAUAACAUGAGCAUUUAGGUGGUCACAAGUGACCCCAUCCCAUGAGCAGCAAUCUGUACCCUCCUUCCAUGAAUUUGUCUUGGGAUAAGAUUUAAGGCCAGCAAUCUCAUCGCAAUAGAAAAAAGCAUCCUCUGUCUGAGUGAUGGAAAAAGAAUUCUUGAACUGGAUUAGUGAAGCAGCUUCAGGGUGAGAGCAGGAGUGAGAUCCUGAAGAAGAAGCAUAAAGAUGGGGAAAGAAAAGGAAUAGGCAGAGAAAGAGAUAGGAGGCCAUGUUAUGUCUGUAAAGGAAGAAGAAGGAUAGGAAUGGUAUUUAUAGGCAACAAAUAAUACCACAACAUUGGUGUUACAGUCUUUUUUUUCUUUUACAUUGAAAAGCUAUGGAGAUUAGAUUAUCAAAAUUUUUGCAUUUUUCACAAUCAUCAACAACCACUUAGUCUUCUUUUUACCAUAUAUUUUUCAUUCUUAAAAUUAGAUGCUUGUUUUUUAGCAAAAUCUUGUAUUUCAUUUGAACUCCCUAAACAACUAAAAAAAUUAAGAUUGAUGAGAUUACAAAGUAGAUUGACUUAGUCUUCUUUCCUAUAACACUUAAAGAAUGUCUUGUCAACCAAAAGAAAUGUUUAAUUUUGAGCCAUCUUUUUCAAGCACAUUUGGAGGUGCUGGCUCACUGAUGUUGCAACCUUUCGAGACCGGAAAUCCACAUAGUCCCUUAUUUCCUUCAUACGAAUCAUUUCCAAAUGUGUUGAAUUGUUUGCCUUGAGGAAUCUGACCAUGGAAUUGAUUUUCUGAAACAUUUAAGGACGAAAGGAAUGGCAGAUCUGCCAAUCUUUUUGGAAUCGUCCCAGACAACCUGUUUGAAGAUAGGUCCGACCAUUCAAGACUUGUCAAAUCCCCUACUGAGGUAGGGAUACCACCAUUAAGGUUAUUAUGAGAAAGGUUGAGCCCUUUCAGUAAGUUAAGCUUCCCAAUAACCUUUGGAACUCCCCUUCAAACUGAUUGCUUGAUAGAUCAAUGAUCAUCCACAUAGUGAAAAUUUUCACCAAUUCCAUAUCUUGUCCUUUCAUAACAAUUCCAAUGGAAUAGGCAUAAAAGCCACGACCUCCAAGAUCAUUCACCCCCAUGUACGACACUGUACUACCAACCUUCUCUAGAUUUAUGAUAGCCUUGAAGCUGUUGAUGUAUCUCACUGGUAGGGGUCCAGAAAAAUAAUUACUUGAGAGGUCAAAAAUUUGGAUUUUAGAGAAAAAAGGGCUAGACUUGGAGUUAUUGACACACAAGGAACUAUGCAUUUGAUUUGACUUUAGUACAAGAACUUGUAGCUGUAGAAGACUUCCCAACCAAUGCGGAAAUGUAUCAUUGAUCUUGUUGUUACCAAGAUCUAGCACUUCCAGACCUUUACAUUUAAGGAUGGAUGGUGUCAAAGGCCCUUCUAACAGAUUUCUAUUUAAGUUGAAAUUACUCAAUUGGCAUCCCUUUGCAAAUGUUGGAGGAAUCGUCCCAUAAAACUUGUUCUUCUUCAGAUUCAAGAAUUGAAGGCUGUCGCUCAAACUUCCAAAACAUUGCGGAAUUGUUCCACUCAAGUUAUUGUGGGACAAAUCAAGAAUUUGAAGAGAAGUGACAUUGCAGAUUAAAGAAGAGACCUCUCCAUUGAAACUAUUAUUUGAGAUCAGAAACACUUUGAUCGUCGAAGCUGGAAUCGGAAGAUUUCCACGGAUCAAAUUGGAGCUUAAGUCAAGAAUUGCAAUAUUCUUCCAUGGAAAUCGCUCAACUUCUGUCAAAGAGUUAUGUGAUACAUUUAAGUAACUCAAAGAGUCAUUCCCCACCUCUUGCAUCCACUGUGGAAUCUUGCCUUCAAUUCCGUUGUAAGAGAGGUCUAAACUUUCCAAACUUCUAAGCCCUUUUAAAAAUUGGGGGAACUCACUAAGAUUGCAAGAUGACAAAAAUAAGCUUGUAAGAUUAGCAGUAGAAGUAGUACUAGAUGUUAAGGAUAGGCUGUUAUAUGAAAGGCCGAGAUGUUUGAGAUUUGGAAGGUUUGAGAACAUGCUAAACUCUAUGACACCACUAAGAUCAUUUGAGGAUAAGCUGAGGUAGGUAAGAUUGAGAAGUUGGAAUAUUGAAGACGGAAGAGGACCUUGGAGUUUAUUAUUUUUUAGAUAUAAAUAUUCUAAGGAGGGAGCAGUAUACAACCAUGACGGGAGUGUUCCAUUGAGUAAAUUGUUAGAUAAGUAUAAAUAUUUUAGAUUAGGAAAAGCGGUUACCUCAUCUGGAAUGGAACCUUCUAAUAAAUUUUCUGUUAUAUCCAAGAAUUCAAGCUGGGUUAGGUUUAGAAUUGACAAUGAAAUUUGUCCACUCAAUUGGUUCUGCGACAAGUCUAAAUGAGUGAGUUGCAAGAGGUUCCCCAAUGAUCUUGGAAUUGGUCCACUCAAUUGGUUCUGCGACAAGUCUAAAUUAGUGAGUUGCGAGAGUUUCCCCAAUGAUCUUGGAAUUUGUCCACUCAAUUGGUUCUGUGACAAGUCUAAAUGAGUGAGUUGCAAGGAGUUCCCCAAUGAUCUUGGAAUUUGUCCACUCAAUUGGUUCUGCGACAAGUCCAAAUGAGUGAGUUGCAAAAGGUUCCCCAAUGAUCUUGGAAUUUGUUCACUCAAUUGGUUCUGUGACAAGUCUAAAUGAGUGAGUUGCAAGAGGUUUCCCAGUGAUCUUGGAACCGGCCCUAAUAAGUUGGAAUAGUAUAGAACUAAAAACUUCAAGGACACAAGAUUCCCCAUCGAGUCAGGCAAUCCUCCAAAAAUAUCUGCGCCACUAAUAACCAAGUACUCCAAAGAUGAUAAAUUUGUGAUUGAGACAGACAUUCCUUGAAAGAAAGAAUUUCCUGAUAGAUCUAAGUACUUUAAGGCCCGUAGAUUAUUAACUGAAUCAAUGAAUUCUGUAGAGAAGGACAUGGACGACAGAUCCAAAUGUUCAAGAUUGCUGCUCCGAUUGAACUUCAAAGGAGCAAGAUUGAGGUUUGGCAAAUCAAAAAUGUUUUUUGGGAAUUUUCCUUGCAAAUCACAAUCAGCUAGACUGAGAGACCUUAGAGAAGAGGAUAGAUUCAUGAAAACAUAAGCAUUAACAGAAGACAUGUUGAUUCCAUGCAAAAACAGAUGUCUGACCUCGGUUAGGUUGUGAAUAAGUCCCUCCACAGCAUGUUUGUCAAUUGUAAAUUGCUCAUAGUCAUAAAUCCAACAGGAGAGAUCAAGUGAAACCAAUUUUGACAUGUGGGAGACUUGGGAUGGGACCUCUCCUACAAAUCUGGUAUGAGAAAGGUUGAGAUAUACUAGACUUUCAAACCGACCAAACUCAGAUGGAAUUUUGGAAAGAUUAAAAUCAUUGUAGGCAAGGUUGAGUUUUUGAAGGUGAGGAAGAAGGAAAAGAGUGCUAUUGGAAGGGAAGUUGCCAUAUAGCCAACUGCAGCUCAAGUCAAGGGCAAUAACAUGAGCAUUUAGGUGGUCACAAGUGACCCCAUCCCAUGAGCAGCAAUCUGUACCCUCUUUCCAUGAAUUUGUCUUGGGAUAAGAUUUAAGGCCUGUAAUAUGAUCGCAAGACAAAGAAGCAUCCUUUGUUAUGGAAAAAGAGUUCUUGAACUGGAUUAGUGAAGAGCAGGAGUACUGAGAUCCUGAAGAAGCAUAAAGAUGGGGAAAGAAAAGGAGUAGGCAGAGAAAGAGAUUGAAGGCCAUGUUAUGUUUGUAGAGGAAGAUAAAGGAUAGGAGUGGUAUUUAUAGGCGACAAAAAAAGGGUUACAGUCUUUUUUUAUUUGACAUUGAAAAGCUAUGGAUAUUAGAUUUUUAAAAUUUUUGUAUUUGUCCCAAUCAUCAACAACCACUUCCUUUUUACCAUAUAUUUUUCAUUCUUAAAAUUGGCUGCUUUUUUUAGUAAAAUCAUGUAUUUCAUUUGAACUCCCUAAACAACUAAAAAAUUAAGAUUGAUGAGAUUACAAAAUAGAUUGACUUAGUCUUUUUCCUUAUAACAUGUAAAUAAUGUGAGUGUCUAUUCACUUGCUUGUCAACCAAAGCUAAUUAAUAUGGAAAUUUUUUUGUACACAAAAGAAUAAAAUUGUGCUCUAUUCACUACGUUUAGGGAAGAAGACUGUUGGAAAUUUAAUACACCGAUUUCAUAAAAAAGUGUUUACUUAUAUCUAUAUAUAUAUAUAACCUCAUAAUUCAAAUCUAAAAUCUAAUUUGUUAUAAAUUCUAAUAAAUUUAUUUGGGGCUAGUUAUUUUUUAAUCAAGUAAAAAAUUAAAAUCGAAAACCUCAUUAUUUGUUGACGUGUUUACUUUUAUAUAUAUAUAUAUAUAUAUUUCUCUUUUAAAAAAUUAAAACUAAAAAUAUAUAAUGAUUUAUUUGGCAUUUUUUAACUUUACAAACAAAAAGUCAUUUUAGUUUUUCCCUUUUUUUUUUGUGUGUCUCUUUUAGCCUUGAAACUUGUAUAGUUUGUUAAAUCACCUAAAAAAAUGAUGAAAAAGUUAACAUCUGUAUACUAACAAAACUAGCACUUACGUGGCUGAUGUUGACUGUUAGUAGUUAAUGGCAACACCUAAGUGGCUAUUAACAGAUACCACACCAUUGUUUGUUGACGUGACGAUGCCACAUUAUUAAUAAUCGCUGACAUGGUAGUGCCACGCCAUCGCCCAUCGGUGACAUAUUAACCUUUGAGUUCAAUUCAAAUUUCUCUUUCCUUUGUUAUAAAUUAAGAAUAUAACUAAUUUUGAUGGGAAUGGUAACUUAUCAUUAACUCGGUUUAAAAGACUAUAACAGGUAAAGUUUAGUCCUAUUACUGUCCGUGCCACAUUAAUGUGAGACAUUUACAUUACGCAGAAUUCAAAGCAUAUAUGGAAAUUUUGCAGUAUUGACUAUUGAAUAUGCUCUACUCCACAAAAAAGACUAAGACUGUCAGUUGUCUAUUGACUUCACUUGAUGUUACUUCCUAUCACUCUCACCCAAACUUAAUUUACAAGGAACGUGGAGAUUUCAAACAUUUGCAGCACAAAAUACAAUAAUUCAACACAAUUUGCAGUAUUGACUAAAAGCCAUUAAACAUUCAUUAUUGAUUGCAAUUAUAAUUAUAACAUCAUUAAAAGAAACAUAUUAUUUUAAUUUAUUGCUUAAAAAUUCAAAGCGAACGUGGAAAUAUUUCAUGGGUUGGCACUAAAUGUGUGUCAUUUUCUAUUAAUUGCAAGAAAACUACUCGGGAAACUGCAUUUUUAUGGAAAAUUUUUUACUAUAAUGACUUAUUUUGUCCUCUAACUUUAUUUAAGAGAUUAUUUUAGUCCUCUAUUUAAUUUCGAAUAGUUGCAGAACAAAGUCCAAUAACUCCAUACAAAAUAACAACAAUUUGCAAUAUCGACUACGUUUACUCGAGAGGUAGAUAGAUGUGCAGAGGGAAAAAAAAAGACAUGGUUGCUGGAAAUUCUACCUUGUUUGUACAGUCGACUAAAGGCCAUUAAGGACAUCAAUUCCUCUAAUUAGAUAAUACCAAAUGGGAGACCAAUUAGGUUUACUCUUUAAACUUUUAGUCUCAUAACACCAUCAUUGAUUAGUGUCAAAAGUAACAUAUUUUAACCUCAUUCUUAGUACAUUGUUAAGUGAUUAUGUGACAUUAAUUGUGAAUUAUAUGCUUCUAAUCCUUUAUAAGAAUGGAAGCAAGAAGCUACAAGAGGAGAGCACAAAAUUACUUUGAGAACACCAUUGAAGCCUAUUUCCAAGUAAUUUUUCAUCAAGAUUUAAGAGUCUAAGUUGAUUUUAAAGAGAGUUAUCAUGGAUUUUUUUUUUAUUGUAGUGGUUAUAUUGUAUUUUUUUUGUGUUUACUCUUACCAUUAUGAACUGAUUCUCUUAAUACUUAGGGGAGAUGAACCUUAGAAUGAAUUCUAUUAUUUGAUUUAUAUUUUUAUGCAAUAAAAUCUUAGUCUCUUUGUUUUCAAUUAUGAAUGUUCUGUUAUUCUUGGGUUAAUAAUUCUAGAGUGUUAAUUCAUGUUUGAUGAGCAUAAGUCUGGGGUUGAAUAAACCCUUCUUGUGAUUAGAUCUUGCAUAAUUGAAUUGAGUUGCAUGCAAUUCUAUAAAUAAAACGACAUAAAUCUAUCAGAUUAAAGUCAAAUCUAAUUAGUGUAAUUGGAAAGUCAAAUGAUGUAUAUCACAAACGAGAAAUUCUAAUUAGUGUAAUUGGUAUUAUCAAAUGAUGACUUCAAAUGUUGAUCAUCCUCGACCACAAACUAUCUAAGUUUGCAGUGUGAAAGCAGCUACUUCCAUUACAGAAACCUUUCACUGUAUAUUGACUUGGUCUUAUUUCCUAUAACACCUCAUGUUUGGUCAUAGAUGGUGGAAGAUAGUAGAGACUCGAUACAACACACCAUUUGCACCUGCAAUUAAGCUUCUUUAAAAGGAAAUGGGAUCCACCAAUUUUACCUAAACUCACAUCAACAUUGUUAUGGGGCUUUUCAUUUCGUGAAGCACCUAAUAUUUGUCUCAACGUGUUUACUGGUUCCUCAAUUUCACAUCAAUGCAUUCAAUUUCAAAAUAGAUUAAGUUGUUUGGUUCAAAUACCAAGACUGCCAACAUCUAUUGACUUCACUUGGUCCGGCUUCCUCUCACUGUCAACCAAACUUAAUCGAGAAGUACUAAGGAAAUUUCAGUCAUUUGCAGCGUAAUGUACAGGAACUCCACGCCCACAAAAUAAUUUAUAAUAUUUUGGAUGGAUGUUGCGUUUACUUACGACUAGUGUAAAAAUAAUGGUAGCGGUGAGAUUAGGUAUUGUAGCAUGAGACCAAAAGUAAAUUAAACACACCACACCGCACUCAAUCGCCUAUCCGAAUUCACCCUAAGUUUGAUGUGCUGAGAAAAAAAAAGCAUGAAUGAUGAAGAAUUAAAGCCAAUACUUGGUAAGUACCCUAAUUAGUUUACAAGUAAAUAUUCUUGUACUAAUUAUUCAGGCAAACCUUAGCCAAUAAUAAAAAAUAUAUAAUGAUCUAUUAGGUCCUCCAACUUUAUAAAAAAGAAUCAUUUUAACUCAGGGGCAUAAUUAGGGGUUGACAAGGGCCUGCCUGAAAUUACAAUUUGGCCCUCCCUAAAAUUGAUAAAAAUUUGAUUUAAUUAUUUAAAAAAUAUAAAGAUAUAGAGUAUUAAAAUGGUAAAAUUGCAUUUUUACUGUCAUAAAUAUUUAUAAUUUAAUUUCGGCCCCCUAAAAAAUUUUCUGGCUUCUCCCAUGUUUUAGCCCUUCAUUUAAUUUUUCAUCUUUUUUAGCCCUUUAAUUUGUAUUAUUUGACAAUUCACCUCAAAAAAGAUAGAAAAGUUAAUAUUUAUUAACUUUGUUGACGUGACAUCCACAUGACAGUACAUGUGUAUGUAACGUCAACAAUCAAUUAAUUUUUUAAAACUUAAAAAUAUUUUUUAAUAAUUUUUGAAUUUUAAAAAUUAAUUAAUUAUUAAUGUGGCAUUCAUAUGACAAUCCACAAAAAUUAAUUAAUAAUUGAAAGUUGCGUUACAUUAAAAUUAGUUUGUUAGAAUGGAAUUCUAAUAAAUUUAUUUGGGAAUGAUUACUUUUCGUUAAAGUGGAGUCAAUAUUACUUGGUUAACUAUUUCUCUUUUAGCCAACUACAAAAUUCAAGUCCAUUACAAAAUUGUAGAGGGACUAAAUCCCUAAAAAUAAAAUGUAUAGAGAUUAAACUUUAAAUUUACAAAGAGUACAAGAAAUUUGAAUAUAUUACAACUAUUAAAUUUUCCCUCUAUAAUUUAGUUAAAAAUAAAUAAAUAAUUCCCUCAACGCCAAACGUGGAUAAUAAACAUACUAGUUUAAUGUAUAUAUUUGGUACACUUUUUUUUUAGUAAGAGCAUAUCACCACCAUGUCAGCAAUUUUAAGAUGAUGUGGUAGUGCCACAUAUUACUAUUUCUCUUUUGGCUAACUAGAAAAUUAAAAUAGAAAAAAAGAUGAUCUCAUUUCGAAAGACUAUAAGACGUAAAAGUUUGGUCCAACACUGUUAGCGUCUAUUGACUUCAACUGCUUUUACUGUUUGUGUCAACCAAAUUAGAUAACCUGCAAGCAGUGUAGGACAUCUGCAUAAUGCAAAAUUUUACACAAAUAAUAUGAAAUUUUUGCAAUAUUUGACUGUAUACAUUUACUCGAGAAAACUGCGAUUAGGUGAGAAAUUUUCACAUUCAUGCAUUGAAGUUCGAGAUACCUUUAGAAUUUAUUGAAAAAUGGUAAUUUUUAGAAAAUUUGAGGCAUAUUUGUGAUUGGUAAAUGUGGAGAGUUGAAUCAUAAAAUUAUGAGACCUUUAUAAUGGUAAUCUUCUUGUGAAUUGUGUUGAGAAAAAUGAGAAGCAUUAGUCUCAUGCUGGUUGAGAAUUAAGUGUGGGACUUAUAUAUAUAUAUAUAUGUAUGUAAAUCAACUUAGUAGCUAUUUAAUGACUAAAGCUUGAAACUCUGUCUCAUGCGCAAUUGGGGUGCAAAUCUAAACCCAUCGGGGUUGGGGCAUACCCGCACGACAUGGGUGACGCGAAAUGUCCGGACCAAUAGGGCCCAAGAAUGGCAUGCAGAUAUUUUAGCCCAAUACAAAAGAUAUUAUACAGAAUUUGUUUAAAAGGACAAAUAUAUCAAUUUGAUUUUAUUUGAUUCAAAUUGAUUUAAAGGCUCCUCAAAUUUUAUUCAAAUUUAUCUCAGGAUACACAACGAAUUUUCAAACAUUUCGGUGAUAGAAUAAGGCAAUGUUUGUUCGUUGAUCACUACAUAGGUACUACUGCUGCGAUUAUUUUGUUGUUGUAUCCUGAGAGACAGAUGACUAACGCUUCUCCAAUUGUCAUAAGAACGACCAAAUCUAUCUUAAGAAAACUAUGAAAGCAGGUCUCAACAUCUAAUAAAACUCAAUUCCCUUAUUUUAUUUUUGAUUUUUUAAAAUCUUGUUUAUUUAAUUAUUUUUAGAUCUAAUGUUUUAAAUAAAUAUUUAUUUAAUUUGUUUUAUUUAGAUCUAGUAUUUUUACAUAAAUAUAAAUAUUUGUUUAUAUUAUUUGUUCAGAUCGUGCAUUUAAUAUUUAUAUUUAUUCGGUAACGUAUUUUCUCCAACAAAUUUAUCUUUAUAGUGGAUCCACUUUUUGAAUUAUAUUAACACUGCAAAUUAUUCUGAUGAAUCUUAUUGAAAAUUGUUCUUUUGAUGAAAUUGUGGGUCAAUGUUGUUUCGUAAUUUCUCUUUUAACCCAUAUAUAUAUAUAUAUAUAUAUAUAUAUAUAUAUAUCUAUGCAAUGCUAUUGUAUAUAUUAUUGUUACUCAAAUAUGAUGAUAGAUCUAUCGGUUUGGGACAUCCUAUUAUUUUACCUAGAAAUUUUUAAAUUAAAAAAAAAAUAGUUACAUGGAUGGAUUGAAGUUAAAAAUGAGUGACAUCCUCAAUUAAUAUCAAGACUAGAGCAUAAAAAUUAAAAGAUUAUAUCGUCCCUAAGUGUGUAUAAAUUAAUAACACUUUAAAAAUUUUGAGCAAAUACCAGGCCCAAACUGUUAACCUAUUACCUAAACUGUAACAUCUUGAUUUUGUGUCUAGUAGGAACAGUAGUCGAGAGACCACAAAUCCGACAUCAAAAUAUUUUUUUAUUAUUUUUAUGUCUAUAGUAUGAUACUAAAGUUGUGUGAAAUUUUCAUAAAGAAAUUUCUUCGUUUGAGUACUCAAUUUGAUAAAAAGAACUAAAUCGCGUAAGGUGCAAAACUUGAGGUCUAAUUGAUAAAGGCACUAAAUAGUUAUAGAAUUGAAAAGUAUGGGCACUUGCAUGGAAAUUAUACCAAUAAAAAAGUGAGGAGACAAAGAUGGACAUGUAGUAGAUGGAUUUGGUGAAGUUACUAAAAGUUAAAUUGGUAAAUAAGUUAAUAGGAUAAUAAGACAAAAUAGCAAAAGCUAUCAUCUUUAUUUUUCUUCUUCUUCAACCGUAAUAGAAAAAAAUGGAGGGUUUCAUUUGGCCAAGCUUUGGAGCUUAUGUGAGUGGUUUUUGCCCCGUUUUUAAUGAUUUCUAUGUUUUUGGAGUUGUGGUAACUCGAUUUAGCUAUCUCGUACCUUCAUUUUCAAAACUGUUAAAGUUUGUAAAUUUUGCCAUGGUUGAUAAAGUGUGUAUUUUGAUAAUUGAUGAUAGAAAAUACAUCCUUGUUGUUAGAUAAACAACAUUUGUAAAGACCACAGGCAGUGGAAACAACAAGAAGGCCAUAGCCAACCAACAAAACACGAGAACGACCCAGAUGCUAAAAAAAAAAAACACAUGAAUUCCAACAAUUGCAUAACCCCAAUUUCAACACCAAUUAGUUUUACUCAACUCUAAUCUGUAAUUACACUCAUUGUUGAAAUACCAUUACAAUAGAUAAAGACAUAUAACUAAAUUGGUCGAGGCAAAACAUUACACACACUUAAAAAUUAGAUAUAUGCUUGAACAUGGUGAAAAUUCCAAUAACCUUUGGAAUCUCUCAUUCAAACUUAAUAUUUGAGAGAUCAAUGAUGGUCCACAUGGUGAAAAUUUUCAUGAAUUCCCUAUCUUAUAUAUCCUUUAAUAACAAUUCCAAUUGUUGAGAUUUAUGAUAGCCCUAAAAUUGUUGAUGCAUCUCACUGGUAGUGGUCCAGUAAAAUAAUUACUUCGAAAGUUUGGUCCAAGACUGUUAGCGUCUAUUGACUUCAACUGCUCUUGCUUCCUCUUACUGUUAGUUUUCAACCUAAGAAUCUACAAGCAACCAUGCAGAAUUCCACACAAAUAAUAUGAAAAUUUUGCAGUAUUGACUAUAUACAUUUACUCGAGAAAAGCUGAGAUUAUAGGCUUGGAGAUCCUAAUUUUUACUAUUUAAAAUAUUUGUUACCUGAUCUAUUUAAAAACAAAAAUUCUUUUUCAUAUCACUGUGAAAUUUGUGAAUUGGCUAAACAACACCGGUCAUUCUUCCCACCUCAAAAAUAUAAAGCUUCCAAACCUUUUUCGUUAAUUCAUAGUGAUGUUUACGGACCUUCAAGAGUCUCAAUUUUUUUAGGAAAACGUUGGUUUGUCACAUUUAUUGAUGAUCAUACUCGCAUUUGUUGGGUGUUUCAAGAGUCUCAACUUUUUCAAGAAAACGUUGGUUUGUCACAUUUAUUGAUGAUCAUACUCGCAUUUGUUGGGCGUUUUUAUUAAAAGAUAAGUCUGAAGUUAAAAAUGUGUUUCAGUCUUUUUAUGCUAUGGUGAAAACACAAUUUUGUGUGAAAAUAGAAGUACUUCGAAGUGACAAUGGUGGGGAAUUUUUUAGUAACCAAUUAGGUGUCUUCUUAACCAAACAUGGUAUAGUCCACCAAAGCUCUUGUACAAAUACACCACAACAAAAUGGGUUUGCAGAAAGAAAAACCGACAUAUUUUGGAAGUAACUAGAGCCUUGAUGUUCACUAGUCAGAUACCACAUUAUCUUUGGGGUGAACCCGUGUUAACUGCUACAUAUCUUAUUAAUAGAAUGCCUAGUAAAACUCUAAACUAUAGAACUCCUUUCAGUCUCUUUACAGAUAACUUUCCUAACUCUAAAUUGACCACAGAUUUAUCCCUCCGAGUUUUUGGGUGUAGUGUUUUUGUCCAUCUUCACAAUCAAGGUAAACUAGAUCCUAGAGCAAAAAAUGCUUUUUUGUUGGCUAUGCUUCUAGUAAAAAGAGUUACAAAUGUUACAAUCCAAUUGAUUGGAAGAUUAUUGUUACCAUACCUUAUGUUCAUGAAUUCUCAUCAUCACAUGUUUAUAAAUGCAACUCAAACUUGAAUAAUUGAAUAUUUUGUAAUUCUACAUGUAUUUUUUUUAUGGUGAGCAGUAUAAUGUUCACUAAAAAUUGAAAUUCAAGAAAGAAGACAUACAUAGUUGCACCAUACAAGAUGUUACACUCGAACUAAACCCUUACAAAUAGUACAAAUUGCAAUGAAAUACAGAGGAAUUGGUACAAUCAUAAAGACAGACACAUACCAAUGCAACUUUUCACCAUAGGAAAAACUUUCUGACAGACUACUAAACAAGAAAUUAUGAAGACACAGCAGAAAGGCUUUAACUUCAUUUGCACCAACUAGAUCCUUCUUCAUCCAUUGAUGCGAUUGCUAUAUUUUGGUUUUCUUCUUCGCCUCUUCUCAUGUUGGUCUUCAACCAAAUUCACAAACCUUUUCGCCUUACCGGUUUGGAAAACAACACAUCCCAUGGCCAUUCCAAACACUACCCCGCAUCCAUAACCUAUCAACACCACUUUCCAAUCAAAAGCAAUGUAUCGAAAUGGGGUGGGCAAUGGUCGACUCAAAAGCGGCACACAGAGGGUAGAUUUUAGGGUUGGUUAGAUUUUUUUUUAGAAAUGGAGUGUCUGCUAAUAUUUAGGGUUUAUGUUGAGUUAUUUAUGGCGUAUGAAACGACGACGUUUGACGCCAUUUCAGUGGUUUCAAAACGGCGUCGUAUACGGCCGAGAUUCGUGCGGUGACUCGACCCGGGGAGGAUCCGUGUGUUUUCACAUUGGUGGGAUAUCUGUGCUCUAGGUCCUCAAUAUUUGCACUUUGUUUUAAUUCGGUUUCUUUUGAUUCUUCAAAUUGGGCUUCAUAAUUUCUUGCUGACUUCAUUUUAGUCCACUUGCAGCGCUGCGUUUUGGUGGGCAAGGAAUAUUUCCUAUUUUAGUCCCCCAUGUUAUUCAUGAUUUGUAAUUUGGGUCCUUUCCUUUUAUUUAUUUUAGAUUUUUCCCCUGAAUUACUGCUUUAAUGCCAAUUUAGUUCUUUGUUUGUUAUUAUUGCUAUAGAAUUAUUUAGUUUGUUAUUAUUGGUGUUACUAUUAUUAGUUUAUAUAUUUACUUAUUUUUAUGCAUGUACAUUAUUUUAUUAUGUAGUCUUAUUUUAAUUAUUUUUUUAUCUAAUGCAUUAGUAUAUAUUUUUAUGUUAAUUCAAUAUUAUCUAUACAUUUUUAAUGAGUUUAUUUUUAUAAUACAUUUUUCUUAAAAUGUUUAUUUAUAUAUACUUUUGUGCUUUAAAAAUCAAUAAUAUUUUUAUAUAAUACUAUUUUAUAUAUAUAUAUAAUUUGUAUUAAGUUUUUUUAUUAUACAUAUAUAUACCUAAUAUAUCAUCGAUUUCAUAUUUACGUAUUUUUUUACUUAUUUCAUCAUUUAAAACUUUACUUUAUUAUAAACUUGAUUUAUAUCAACCUUUUAUACAUACAAUUAUACAUAUAUUAUUAUAAGAAAUUUUACAAUCCAUAUGUAAUAUUUAUUUAAAUUAAUAUGUAUAUAUUAUUUCAUGUAUUUCGGUUUUCUUCAUAUACAAUACUCACUUUAAAAUUUAUUUUAAUAUUAUUUUUUUCAUAGUAUUUAUAUUUUAUCUUCAUUUUUGACUUAUUUCAAACUCAUAUAUGUAUAUUGUUUAUUUUAAAAUUUUACACAUAGAACUCAUUUUUUGUAUUGAUAAUUUUAAAUUUCCUUGUGUAUGUUUUUUUAUUUAUUCUAAAACUUGUUACAUUUUAUUUGUGUUAAUCUGCUUGUUUCUUAGUUUUUUUAUUAGCUUUUAAAUAUUAAUGUUGAUAUUUACGUGUGAUGUAAGAUUAUUGCCCUAAUGUGUAUUGUAUUGCUUAUUUGUAUUCAUUAGUAUACAUUUUGGCUUAUGAAUUAUCAUUUCACGUUACAUUAUCAUUCCAUCAUUUUUUUUAAAAAGGGGAUUACGUUUAAUUUAAGCACUAAAAUCGAUUUAUCCAUAAGAUAACGCAAUACUCGGCAUUUGAGAUCUUCGAGCAGAUUGAGUCCUAACGUAUUGGGUUCCAAUUUUCCUUGUUGAAUCUAAAUAAUCAAGAAUAUUCUUUAAUCAAAACACAUAAAUAAAAAGCUCAUUCUCGGGAAUUUGAUACGUUGUGUCCUAACGCAUUGGAUAUGGCAUAUUGUUUUCUCGAGAUGAGGAUUUUUUUCUAAAAAAUAAUAAAGGCAAUAUUCAAUGUUUGGAAUUUUGAGAAAUUGUGCCCUAACGUAUUUGGUUUCGAUAUUUCAUCUGACUUAAACAAUUGAAUAUCCUUUUUAAACUUCACUGCAUGAGUUUUAAAAAAAAAUCAAAAGACAAGCUCAUUUUUGAGGAUGCGAAACAUCACAUCCUAACUCAUUGGAUGUGACAUUCUAUCUCCCAAAAUGAAGGGGGUCUUAGCACGCAUUUUGAUUACAUUUGAGCUCCCUAAACAACUAAGAAAAUUAAGAUUGAUGAGAUUACAAAGUAGAUUGACUUAGCCUUCUUCCUUAUAAUACGUAAAGAACGUGAGUGUCUAUUCACUUAGUAUGUAUGGCCGUCAAGCAAUGUAGAAAUUCGCACACAAAAGAACGAAAUUGUGCACUACUUAAAAAUUCAAAGCAUGUGUGACCUAUAUUCAUUUAUUUUAUUGCAUAAAAUUCAAGGCAUGUAUGUUGAAUAAUUUUAUCCAAGAAGCAUAUUUUCCACAAAACUUUAAUUUGUUGCCAUUAAAUAUGUCAUUUUCUAUUAACGGCAAAAAAACUAUCCGGUAAACCGCAUCUUUUUCUUUAGAUGAAAUUUUGUAAAAAAAAUUUGACAUUAUCACUAAUAUGGUCCUUCAAUUUUAUUUUUUUUAAAAUCAUUUUAACUCUCGAUUUAAUAUUUCGCCUCUUUGAGCUUUUAAAUUUGCGUUAUUUAUCAAAUUAUCUCAAAAUGGAUGAAAAAGUUAACAUUUGUUAAUUUUAUUGACGAGACAUACAUAUCGAUAUCAUAUAAACAGUUAAUUGAUUUUUUUAAAAAUUUUUAAAAAUAAAGCAUAUAUUAAAAUUUUCUAAGAAAUAAUGACCAAACUUGGAACAAUCGCAGAAGAAUGUCCAAUAAUUCCAAACAAAUUAACGCAACAUUUUAGUUAUUGUCUACUGUCCAAUAACGCCAUGUGUAUUAGUACAAACAUUCAUUAAACCUAAUUUAAUUUUAGCCCUUAAUUUAAUUUUUCAUCUUUUUUUAGCCCUUAAUCCACAUUGUUUAUCAAAUAACCCUUAAACUUACAUUGUUAUCAGAUGAAAAAAUUAAUAUAUAUCUAUUAACUUUGCUAGCGUGCAUAUAUAUGCAACUUCAUUUAAAUCUAAAAAAUAUAAAAAUUUAUUAAAUAUGUAUAAAUCUAAAAAUUUCUUAAAAUUAAAACUAAAUUUUUUUAAACUAAUGCAAAUUUUUAGUAUUUAAAAAAUCUUAAAAUUUUUAAAUUAAAUUCCUUUUCUUUUCCAGCGUUGAAGAACACCUUCAAUCACAUCAACAACUUCAUGCUGUUUUGCCUAGAAAUUGUUUUGCAAAUUUAUUUUGUUUUAUUUAUUUCUAAACCCAUAUUUCUUUUCUAUAACUCUAAUUAUUAGAUUGUUUAGGGUUUUGAGUAACUUUCGAUUUUGGAAUUUUAGAUUUUUUAAAUUUAAAUACGAAGUGCUUUUCUUCUUCUCCAAACCCAUAAUUUUUUCUGCCAAAUUUCAACUCAAGGUUUCACUUUUAGCUAUAAAUAAAACAUAUAUUAUAUUUAUAAUGACCUAAGAAUAGUAAAGUUGACGCCGAUCUACAUGAAAAAGGAGGAAAAAAAAAACAGGCAAAGAAAGAUAAUAUGAAGAGAGCAUAAAUCAAUAAAGCAAAUGAAAAACAAGUAGAAUUAAAGUGAAUGAGUAUUUAAUAAUUUUUUUGUGAAAAACGAGUAGAAUUAAAGUGAAUGGGUAUUUAAUUUUUUUUUUUGUGAAAGUUCAAAGACUGAAUAUUUAUGAGCUUGGAUGUGGAAAAAUUAGUUGGAAUUUUUUUUUUCUUGCACCAAUUGAUUUUUUAUAUAAAAUUUGUAUUUAUUUUUUAAGAUUUUUAAAUUUUGUUACAAUUAUUUUUAUGAAAAUUUGAAAAUAUAAAAAUACUUUUUGAACUAUAAUUCAAGGAUUAAAUUAGCUAUUAAUCAUUUGAAUAAAUAAAACAUAUACAUGAAUUAAGUAAUUAAUCCACAAGCAAUGUUGGACAUUUUCAUAAUGCCAAAUUUCACUUCAGAUUUAGUUACCCAUAAUCAUAUUUAAACAAACAAAAACACAACAAUCACACAAAAUAGGCAUAACUAGAAAACAUGAGAAAAAUGAGAAAAGCUUGAAAACAAUUACAAUGGUAGCAAAGGAAAUGUAAAAAAAAAAAAAAAACACUUAAAAAUCAGAUUUUUAAUGAUGAAGGGAAUUGAUUUAUACUAAAACCAAGAAUUAAACUAAAAAUACAAAGAGUUACAGGUACUAAACAAGCAAAUAAAUCCUAGCUACAAUGAUAAUUAACUUAAUUAACUACUAUUGGAACCAAGAAAAACUAAAAGAAAACAUGAAUUACACCCUAGAGUUAUGGAGAAGAAAACAAAAACUCUAAAAAUAAAGAGGAAAUUUGAAAACCAUGAAAUGUUAAGUGUGCCUUUUGUUCAGCCAAUUUUUUGCCCUUUCUAGAAUUACAGAUCCAAAAAUAGUGACCAAAUUGUCCUUGAUCGUCGAAUUUUGGUUAGGGGACAUGUUGGAAAAGGAUUAGCCCUACGGUUAUAUUUUGUCUUCUCUCAUCAAUGAUAUUGCGAUACCCAAAUUUGGUAUCGCGAUAUCCACAACAGUCUUGGGGAUCCUUGGGAGUUUUGGGUAUCGCGAUACCUUACGACCGGUAUCAAGAUAACACUAUUGAUGGCUCAAUCUUCCUUGUUUUUAACAUUGUUAUGGGUAUUACGACUUUCAUGCUUUGAUAUGCGAUACCCUCUUUCUAGGUGACAUUUUUGCUCCUUUCGGGCCAUGAUGGGCUCUCUGCAUCACUCACCAACCUCAUUAGAUUCCCCAGGUGCCAUUUGGCCAUCUCAGGUCUCAAAAUAGCAUCAAAAUGCACACUAACCAUUUAUUAAUAUAAAGAACUAAAACUAAAUAAAAACACAACAAAGAUAUCUAAAUUGCUCGAAACUAAGCUUUUAAGUGUGAUGGAGAGCCUAAUUUGACAUAUCAAUUUACAGCAGAUCAUAAACAUAAUUUGCGGAACCUUGUUAAAAUUUCGGAUUUCUUUAUUAGUUUUUCUUUCAAUAUUUUAAACGGUACAUUUGUAGUAAUAUAUUGUGCAGAUCAUAGACUAAAAUGCUUUAUUAGUUUUCUAUUGUUAAUCUCUUUUUUUUCUUAUUAUUAACACCACUUCCUUUUUACCAUAUAAUUUUUAUUCAUAAGAAAGAAGUGAAAUAAUUAGAAUGAAUGAGAUUACAAAGUAUAUUGACUUGGACUUGCUUCCUUUAUAUGUAUGAAUGUGGAAAUUGGCAUAAUGCCAACUUAUUUUCCACGCAGAAGAAGAAAAUGGUGCUCUAUUCACUCAGUUUCUAACAACACCAUAAUAACAACACCAAUUUGAACUCCCUAAAGAAAGAAGAAGUGAUGAGAUUAGAAAGUAUAUUGACUUGGUCUUGCUUCCUUUAUAUGUAUGAAUGUGGAAUUUGGCAUAAUGCCAACUUAUUUUCAACGCAGAAGAAGAAAAUGGUGCUCUAUUCCCUCCCUUUAACUUAGCAACUAAGGUCUAGCAAACAAGGCCACAUAUGACUUAGAUAUAUAUAUAUAUAUAUAUAUAUAUGGUCCCUAAGUGUGUAUAUAUUAAUAUAUUUUAAAGUAGACAAACUUAUGCCUUAAAAGUUGAAUAAUAGUAUCUAAGAAACAAAUUUUCCACCAGACUGAAAAUUUUGUAUUGCUUGGAAUUAAUUGACUGUCAUUUUCUAUUACUUGCUAGAAAUAUAUUGUAUUGCUUUAAAUUCAAACAAGAAAUAGGGGAAAUUUCACAUCAAUGCAUUCACUUCACUUGGUCAACUUGAUCGACUAGCAGGAAGGAAAUUUCAGUCAUUUGCAGCAUCAGAAUUCCACACCCUCAAAAUAAUUUGCAAUUUCAAAAAUAGAUGAAUUAGUGUGGUUCAAAUACCAAGACUACAAUAUCUAUUCACUUCACUUCGUCUUUAUUACUCACACAGAAUUUAUCAUCAUCAUCAUCAUCAUUAUAUUACUCUUUUAUUGUUAUUUUUUAUUUUUUUCUUGUUACUUUUAUUUGUUAUUAUUAUUAUUUUUAUACUUUCAUGUUUUCUUUUUCAUAUAUUCCACCUUUUAUUUGUUUAUUUAAUUCUUUUACUUAAUUAAUAUUAGAUUUUAUUAGUUGAUGUUAUUACUUAUUUAUUGUUUUUGAUAUAUCAUCGCUUCGUUAAUAUGCACCAUCAUUUUAUUAUUGUUACAAUUACGUCACGAGCCGUUUUAAAUGUAUUCAUGCUUUUCUAAUAUGCCCCGAAUAAAUUAAAUACCUACCGUUUUAAAUAUUACAUUAACUUUUAUGCGAUACCUAAAAAACGAAUUUUUUUUUUACCAAGACAAAUGUUUGUUAUUUCAAAUUUAGAAAAAUCAUGUUCUAACUUACGGAAUAUGGUUUCCUUCUAAAAUUGAGAUAAUUGAAUAUAUUUUAAAAUAAAUAUUAUUUUUUUUGCAUUUGUUCUCGUUUUCGGGAUUUAAGGCAUGGUGUCCUAACUUACGGAACGUUAUCCUUUUUCCCAAUUAAUUUGAAAUAAAUCCAUUUUUGUGAAAACAAAAUUAAGUAAUAUUGUAACGAAGGAUCGUAUUUUAAAAUCUCUUCAAAUUCUCAAUUUUUGACACUAAGACAUUAAUUAAUUAAUCAAUUAGGUACUAAUUUUGGGCGGUACGAGGGUGCUAAUCCUUCCUCGUACGUAACCGACUCUCGACCCAUUUCCUGGAUUUUUGUAGACCAAAAAUUGUUGCUUCAGUAAAUCAAAUCUUUUAUUAAAACGAUUAAAUUGGAAAGUGAUCCGAUCACACCUAAUAAAAAGGAUUGGUGGCGACUCCCAUUUUCGUUUUCAAAAUAAAAGUCGACCCUUUUCAAAAAUAGUUUCGACAAUGUGUAACAAGUAUUUUUAUUAAUCCAUUUGGAACAAGAUUUUGUUGUCUAAUGUUAAGGUUUGCUGGAGCAAAUAAAUUGAUUAAUGCUUUGAACUUUCCCAAACACUUUUUAUAGUUUUGUUAUAUGCAUUUUGUAUAAUUAGUAUAUUUGAAUAUAUUAGAUACAUUGUCUAAAACAAUGUCAAUUGUAAUUUUUUAUAUUUUAUUGAUCAUAAGCUUAUUAUAUAAAUAAUAUUUUUUUAAAAAGAUGGAGUGAUACAUUUACGUAGUGCUUAUGAAUAUAAUGUUGGAUUAAAAUCCUUAAUUCUGAGUACAUAUGUAUAAUGCUUGAAAUUACAAUUAUCUUAAUAAUUUUGUUUCUGUUUUUGUUGAUUGAUGAUUAUAAAAAUCAUUAUUCUUCUGAAGGCAUGCUUUGUUGUCAAUGACAGUACCUGCACCCUAGAAAAAUCACCAGCUUUAACAACUGUAAGAGUUGUCCUGCCUGACAUUUACUAAAAAAUCACCAGGAAGCACAUUGUCAGGAGAUCCUUGCUGGAAAAAACUUGGUAGGAUGGUUUCUUUUUCUGCAAACUUAGGAUUUCAAUUGAUGUUGAUGCAACAUUUUAGAUCAAGGAACUUGCAAGCCUAUUAUGGUAGAAAUGUUUUAUCCAAAUGAUAAAGAUGUUGAUGCAACAUUUUAGAUUGCAAAUUCCUUGAUCACAUUUGGAAUCCUAAUCACAGGGACUUGCAAGCCUAUUAGCUCCAGGAACUUUAGAUUGUACCUGUUCAAAACAUUUUUUCAAAGAAGGAACCAUAGGUGAAAGGCGUCUAUUCUGGUUCAUCUCAUUGAAUACAUCAAAUGAAGGAUCAAUACGCUGAAAAAGGGACAAUGGAAAGAACUUUAGCCAACAACUUGAAUUUUAUAACUACUCCUAUGCCAACCAGCAAACCAUAACAGCGUGUACAUAAAAAAGAGGAUGCUGACUUACAAUUCCUUUCAUUUCACCACAACCAAUCAAAUCCCUUGCAAUGCUGUUUGGAUCACAGCAGCUCAUCUUUCAAUCCUAGAUGGCUCCGCCAAUUUUUUGAAAGCAUACAUAAACUGUUAAAGAAAUAAAUGGAUAAAACACCUACAGGAUAGAAGGCUGAAAAAUUACAAAGGGCAAUGACCUUAUUGUUAAAAUUCCAACGUCCAUUCCUUGGAAAGAUAUCUUACACCAUUGCCCACUCAAGAGAACUCAAAUAGCAGCAAGAUCUAGUAUAAAAUGUAACUCUCAACAACAUACACAAAUGUUUGUUCUAUCAAGGAACAACAUACACAGACAUAUUCACCUACCCUUGGUGCUGGCAGAAUAUGCCCAUUCACUUGGGUGAAAUUAGAGUUGAUAUUAACCCCACAAGAUUUCAGCACCAUAAUUACUGCUAAGUAAAACCUGCACAUAAAUUUUCAGCGCUAUGUAUACAUUGUGUCACUUGCAUCCAAAUCAAAUAUUUCGGGCUACAGAGUUUCAUAGAUAUGACGAAGGUAUUAUCGGGGGAUUGUACCAUGUAUACCUGACACGAAGGACCUACGACUAUGGGAGAUCUCAAGCACUUCGUUUUCCAUGCGCACAUGCAAUUGCUGCAUGUGCCUCAACAUGUCUGGACUGCAUGAGCUAUGUUGACGAUGUGUACAAACCAAAAUGCAUAUAUAAAGUAUGAAAAUUUGAAUUCCCACCAGACCCAAAAAGCCUACUGGAUUUUGGUCGGAUACGCAACAAUAUGAAUAUUUGGGAGAAGAUUGACCAACCAAGGUUAUACAAUUAUUGUAGGAACGGCCUGGGCAUAGUAAGUCAAGAUGUCCACAAUUGGGGGCAACAUUGAGGAGAAGAACAAAUUAAAACAUUCGAUCGUUUUUUUUUGAAUAAGCAUACAAGAAAAAACAAAUAAAUUUUUUCAUUUUUUCAUUGCUUCUCAGCUUUUGGUAAAUUGUAAAUAAGUAUAUAUAAUUAAUGUAAAAUACAAUACAAUACAAAACAAUAUAAAUACUUUUUUUCCUUUUUUUUAGAUUGUAAAUAAGCUUAUUAUUGAAAAGGCAUACAAUAGAAUACAAUAGAAAUAAUUUUUUAAUUUUUUCGUAGAUUGUAAAUAAGUAUACAUUAUUGAUGUAAAAUAUAGUUGAAAAUACUUUUUUGAUAAAAUUGGAAUAAACACAUUAUGGAUGGAAAUUUUUAAUACAAUACAAAUUGAUCAUUAACAAACUAAAUGACGAUUUACAUAAGAAAAAUUUAAAAUAAAAAAAUCAUCAGCUUUGUUGGCCCGAAUGUGUGCCACAACCCGGUGAGUGUCAGUUAUGAGUAGGAUUUCAUCGUAGUUGGGGUUCUAGCUCUUCCUUAUCUUCACCUCCACCUCCAACUUGAUCUUCACCUUCAUCUUGUUCCUCUGUGCUUGUAUGCAUUAAAUUCUUGCAAUACAGGGGAGAGAAACCUAGUUUUCCCGUAAGCUUAUUAUCAAAAAAGUUGAGCAGUUUCAGGUUCCAGCAAAUGGAAAGGGGCUCAGCGAUCUUACUCAGCCAAUAGUGAGCUAAGAAAUCUUUAAUGACAAUAUGGGUGCGGGUUUUCGAGGAAUACAAAUAACCUCUGGGUUUUUUUUCCAAAUUUGACAAGCAUCUAGAAUAACUAGUGAAUUACAAUUCUAUUGUACCACAAUAGGUGCAUUGGUCUUUGCGGACUUGAUGUUUUUUGCCUGUUGGUUCUAUUAUCACAAAGCAAACCCAAAAUUGGCUUGGUUCCGAGAUGUAGAAUCUAUAUUGAAUCACCAUUUAGCAAGGCUACUGGGGCUUGGUUACCUUUCUUGGGCGGGGCAUCAAGUACAUGUCUCUUUACCAAUAAACCAAUUUCUAAAUGCUUUAGUAGACUCUAAAGAGAUCCCACUUCCCCAUGAAUUUAUAUUGAAUCAUGAUCUUUUGGCUCAACUUUAUCCCAGUUCUGUCGAGGGAACAACCCCAUUUUUACCUUGAAUUGGUCAAAAUAUGCGAAAUUUCUUACUAUUCGUGGAUGAUUAAAUCCAGUGAUUGGGGGUCCAUGGUUGACUGGCAUUGCACACCAUCAUUUAGCUAUUACAAUUCUUUUCCUAAUAGUAGGUCACAUGUAUAGGACCAAUUGAGAUAUUGGACAUAGCCUAAAAGAUAUUCUAGAGGCUGUUAACCACCAGGUCGGAGGUUCAAGCCCACUUUGUAGCGUUUCACUUUUGGUAAAAUUUCAUCCUUGGUCCCUUUAAAUUCCUUUUUGCUUUAAUUUGAUUGCUUUCUAGACCAAGAAGCAGACCAAGCUGUAAGAGCCAUGCAAGCUGCACCUGAAGCUUAUGUUGCUGUUUUGUUACUUUCAAAUAGAUAUUUUAUUACUUACUUAGAUAUGAACUAAGUUGUUGAUAUGCUUGAACUAAUUAGGUGCUGAUAGAUUGAUAAAUCAGCUUUACCAAGUGUACAAGCAAUGUUUAUCAAGUUACUAAGCCACUUAGUGGAGUUAGGUAUGUGUUUAGGUAACAUUUUCUUAUUUUUGACCAGCUGAUUGCUUAGUAUAUGUAAUGGCAUUGUGCCUUCAUUCAAAUGUAAUGAAAUCUUUCAGAAAAUUCUUCUUCAUUUGGUCUUUACUUAAAACAUUUUUAUUCACAAAGCUCUUGCUGUUUUUGUUUUGUUUGUUGAGCUAGAUAUCAAUGCUUUAUGCUUAAGUUUCUGUCAAAAUUUCUAAUUUUGUUUUCUUAGUUCCUACAGACAUUUUGUUCUCCUUUCUCCUUGACUGAGCAGUAGCAAAGAUUAUUGAGACUAAAUUGAAAUCCAUGAAAGAAGACAUAAACAACACCACCAUACAAAAUGUUACACUCAAACAAACCAUUACAGAUAGUACGAAAUGCAAUGAAAGACAGAGGAAUUGGUACAAUAAUAAAGACAGACAGAUCCCAAUGCAACCCUUCACCAUAGGCAAAACGGUCUACAAAACAAGAAAUUAUGAAAAUACAACACUAAUUCUUGAACAUCAUUUGCAGUAAUUAGAUCCUUCUUCGUCUACUGCUACGAUUGCCUUUCUUUGACUUUCUUCUUCGCCUCUUCUCUUGUUGGUUUUCAACCAAAUUCACCAACCAUUUCGGCUUACCAGUUUGGAAAACAACAUAUCCCACGGACAUUCCGAACACCACUCCGCAUCCAUAACCUAUCAACACCACUUUCCAACCAAAAGCAAUGUUUGAUUUUGAGCCAUCUUUUUCAAGCACAUUUGGAGGUGCUGGCUCAAUGAUGUUGCAACCUUUCGAGACCGGAAAUCCACAUAGUCCCUUAUUCCCUUCAUAUGAAUCAUUUCCAAAUGUGUUGAAUAGUUUGCCUUGAGGAAUCUGACCAUGGAGUUGAUUUUCAGAAACAUUUAAGGACGAAAGAAAUGGCAGAUCUGCCAAUCUAUUUGGAAUCAUCCCAGACAACCUGUUUGAAGAUAGGUCCAACCAUUCAAGACUUGUCAAAUUCCCUAUUGAGGUGGGGAUAUCACCAUUAAGGUUAUUAUGAGAAAGGUUGAGCCCUUUCAGUAAGUUAAGCUUCCCAAUAACCUUUGGAAUACCCCCUUCAAACUGAUUGUUUGAUAGAUCAAUGAUCAUCCACAUGGUGAAAAUUUUCACCAAUUCCAUAUCUCUCCCUUUCAUAACAAUUCCAAUGGAAUAGGUAUAGAAGUCACCUCCAUCAUCAUUCACCCCCAUGUACGACACUGUACUACCAAUCUUCUCUACAUUUAUGAUAGCCUUGAAGCUGUUGAUGUAUCUCACUGGUAGGGGUCCAGAAAAAUAGUUACUUGAGAGGUCAAAAAUUUGGAUUUUAGAGAAAAAAGGGCUAGACUUAGAGCUAUUGACACAUAAGGAACCAUGCAUAUGAUUUGACUUCAAUACAAGAACUUGCAAAAAUGGAAGACUUCCCAACCAAUGAGGAAAUGUAUCAUUGAUCUUGUUGUUACCAAGAUCUAGCACUUCCAGACCAUUACAAUUAAGGAUGGAUGGUGUCAAAAGCCCUUCUAACAGAUUUCCAUUUAAGUUGAAAUUACUCAAUUGGCAUCCCUCUGCAAAUGUUGGAGGAAUCGUCCCAUAAAACUUGUUCUUCUUCAGAUUCAAGAAUUCAAGGCCGUAGCUCAAAUUUCCAAAACAUUGCGGAAUUGUUCCACUCAAGUUAUUGUGGGACAAAUCAAGAAUUCGAAGAGAAGUGACAUUGCAGAUUAAAGAAGAGACCUCUCCAUUGAAACUAUUAUUUGAGAUCAGAAAGACAUUGAUGGUCGAAGCUGGAAUCGGAAGAUUUCCACGGAUCAAAUUGGAGCUUAAGUCAAGAAAUUCAAUAUUCUUCCAUGGAAAGUGCUCAACUUCUGUCAAAGAGUUGUGAGAUACAUUUAAGUAAGUCAAAGAGUCAUUCCCCACCUCUUGCAUCCACUGUGGAAUCUUGCCUUCAAUUUUGUUGCAAGAGAGGUCUAAGCUUUCCAAACUUUUAAGCCCUUUUAAAAAUUGGGGGAAUUCACUAAGAUUAUUUGAGGAUAAAAGGAGGUGGGUAAGAUUGAGAAAUUGGGAUAUUGAAGAUGGAAGAGGACCCUGGAGUUUAUUAUUGUCUAGAUAUAAAUAUUCUAGUGAUUUGGAUUGGAAUUCUUUGAUACGCCCACUGAAUUGAUUUUGAGAGAGAGAUAUUGCCUUUAAGGAGGGAGCAGUAUACAGCCAUGACGGAAGUGUUCCAUUGAGUAAAUUGUUCGUUAAGUCUAAGGCUAUGAGAUUAGGAAGAGCGGUUACCUCAUCUGGAAUGGAACCUUCUAAAGAAUUUUCAGAUAUUUCCAAGUAUUCCAGCUGCGUUAGGUUUAGAAUUGACAAUGGAAUUUGUCCACUCAAUUGGUUCUGCGAGAAGUCUAAAUGAGUGAGUUGCAAGAGGUUCCCCAAUGAUCUUGGAAUUUGUCCACUCAAUUGGUUCUGUGAGAAGUCUAAGUGAGUGAGUUGCAAGAGGUUCCCCAAUGAUCUUGGAAUUUGUCCACUCAAUUGGUUUUGUGACAAGUCUAAAUAAGUGAGUUGCAAGAGGUUGCCCAAUGAUCUUGAAAUUUGUCCACUCAAUUGGUUCUGCCACAAGUCUAAAUGAGUGAGUUGCAAGAGGUUCCCCAAUGAUCUUAGAAUUUGUCCACUCAAUUGGUUCUGCGAGAAGUCUAAAUGAGUGAGUUGCAAGUGGUUCCCCAAUGAUCUUGGAAUUUGUCCACUCAAUUGAUUCCCCGACAAGUCUAAAUGAGUGAGUUGCAAGAGGUUCCCCAAUGAUCUUGGAAUUUGUCCACUCAAUUGGUUCCCCGAUAAGUCUAAAUGAGUGAAUUGCAAGAGAUUCCCCAAUGAUCUUGGAAUUUGUCCACUCAAUUGGUUGUCUCCCAAGUUGAGGAGAUUGAGGCUUGGAAAAUCAAAAAUGUUUUUUGGGAAUUUUCCUUGCAAAUCACAACCAGCAAGACUGAGAGACCUUAGAGAAGAGGAUAGAUUCAUAAAGACAUGAGCAUUAACAGAAGACAUGUUGAUUCCAUCCAAAAACAGAUGCCUGACCUCGGUUAGGUUGUGAACAAGUCCCUCCAGAGCAUGUUUGUCAAUUGUUCUUUCAUAAGCCGGACCGGAGAGAUCAAGUGAAACCAAUUUUGACAGGUGAAGACUUGGGAUGGGACUUCUCCUGCAAAUUCUGUAUAAGAAAGGUUGAGGUAGAAUAGGCUUGUAAACCGACUGAACUCGGAUGGAAUUUUGGAAAGAUUAAAGUCAUUGUAGGCAAGGUUGAGUUUUUGAAGGUGAGGAAGAAGAAAGAGAGUGGUAUUGGAAGGGAAGUUGCCAUAUAGCCAACUGCAGCUCAAGUCAAGGGCAAUAACAUGAGCAUUUAGGUGGUCACAAGUGACCCCAUCCCAUGAGCAGCAAUCUGUACCCUCCUUCCAUGAAUUUGUCUUGGGAUAAGAUUGAAGGCCAGCAAUCUCAUCGCAAUAAGAAGAAGCAUCCUCUGUUAUGGAAAAAGAGUCCUUAAACUGGAUUAGCGAAGAGCAGGAGUGAGAUCCUGAAGAAGAAAAAGAAGCAUAAAGAUGGGGAAAGAAGAGGCAUAGGCAGAGAAAGAGAUAGGAGGCCAUGUUCUGUUUGUAGAGGAAGAUGGAGGAUAGGGAUGGUAUUUAUAGGCAACAAAUAAUACCACAACAUUGGUGUUACAGUCUUUUUUUUUACAUUGAAAAGCUAUGGAUAUUAGAUUUUCAAAAAUUUUAUAAUAUAUGGAUUAUGACAUAUAAAUUAAUGAAAUCAUAUAAUUUUUUGUUAAUAUAUGAAUAUUAUGUUUGAAUGUAAAAUAUAAUUCUCAAGUUAUUUAUUACUUCUAAUAUCUAAUAUUUCAUUGUAGAAUAAUUAAAUUAUUUGUUUCACUAAUGAUAUUUUAGCACAUUAAAUAUGUAUUGCAGUUUAAAAAUAAUAAUGUAGAUUAUAUAUUAUUUUUAUAGUAUUAUAUAUUAUGAUUUUAGUAAAUUCAUAUAGUAGUAAUUUUAUUAAGAAUUUUAUUAAAUUAUAUAUCAUUUUAUUAAAUUAUAUUUAAUAAUAAUUAUGUUAAAAUAUGGUUAAAUUAUUUAUUAUUUUUAUUAAUAAUCUUAUUAAAAUUUAAUAACAAUAACAAUAAUCAUCUACUUAAAAAAAUUUUUGCUAAGGGUAUUUUAGUCAUUUUAGUUUUUUUCCUUAUGCUAUUACAACAUUAUUCCAUUCAACCAAACAGAAGAAUACUAUUACGGUUCUAUUUCAUUCCAUUCAACCAAACAAUUAAAUUAUAGAUUAUAGCUUUAUUCCAUUACAGCUCUAUUAAAUUACAACUCUAUUCCAUUAUAGUGAACCAAACGUACCCUAAGUAUGUAGGGCUGUCAAGCAAUGUAGAAAUUUGCACAGAAAAGAACAAAAUUGUGCACUACAUAAAAAUUCAAAGCAUGUGUGGCCUAUAUUCAUUUAUUAUAUUGCAUAAAAUUCAAGGCAUUUGUGUUGAAUAAUUUUAAAGCAUAUUUUCCACAAAACUUUAAUUGGUUGCCAUUAAAUAUGACAUAUAUUUUCUAUUAACUGCAAGAAAACUAUCCGGUAAACUGCAUCUUCUAUGGUCCUUCAAUUUUAUUUUUUUUUAAAGUCAUUUUAACUCUCCAUUUAAUAUUUUGCCUUUUUGAGCUUUUAAAUUUGCAUUGUUUAUCAAAUCAUCCCAAAAUGGAUGAAAAAGUUAACAUUUGUUAACUUUAUUGACAAGACAUACAUAUCGAUAUCAUAUAAACAAUUAAUUGAUUUUUAAAUUUUAUAUUAAAAUUUUCUAAGAAAUGAGGAAAUUUGGAAGCAUUGCAGAAGAAUGUCCAAUAAUUCCACACAGAUUAACAACUCUAUUGACUACACUACAGAUUAAUAAAAUUUUAUUUGCUGAGCUCAAAAAAAGAAAAAAGAAAAAAUAGUUGCAAUUAAUGUGUUUUUGGUGGUGAGUAGGGGAUUGAAGAAGAAAAUAGAUGGAAAAUUAAAUUAAGUAAAACAAAAGGCAAGUCUAGUUGUCCACUACAACUUUUUCAUUCUAAAGAAAUAAUAUUUUACCAGCAUCGUUGAAAAAUUAACACAAAAAGUAAGUCUAGUGUGGAAAAUUGAAAAAUUACAUUGUAAAGCUGAAGUGGAAUUUAGAACAAAAGCAAAACACAGGCCUUAAUUAGUGGUUAUUGUCAAAAAGUAAUUGGACACAACAAUUGCAACUGCAAGGUAUUUUCUGAUUCAUAUUAUUGAAGAAUUCAAGGCCCACUGUUCCUUCGCUUCAUGUGGAACUGAAGAAGAAAAUUGUGGGUAAAUUCAACAGAAAGCAAGUCUAAGUCAUGAAUUAAAGGUUGAGUAGGACUAACAAAUUCAGACAUUAUUCACAUUUGAGUCGUAAAGUCAUUAAUCUCUCAUUAGUGCUACCAAUAACAAUGUCUUUUCCAUAUAAGUAUAGGGUACAACGAUAAGAUUAAAUCAAAAUUAAAACAAAAGCAAAACAGGCUUAUUACUUACUCCUUAAUUAGUGCUUAUAGUCCAAAAGUAAUUGGACACACAUCAAUUAGAAUUGCAAGGUAUUUUCUGAUUCAUAUUAUUGAAUAAUUCAAGACCCAUAUCUCAUUUAAAUGUCCAAUAAAAAUGUCGUCACCCGUAAGUUAGGAUGCAACAUUUAAAUUCCCGAGCAUAAUCUAGCCUUUAAAAACCUUUAUUGAAACUUUAUGUAUUUGAAAACUAAAAAUGUUUGACCACCUUGGUUUAGUGAGGAAAUCGAAACCCCGUAACUUAGGGCACAAUUCUUCGAAGUUCCAAAGACGAUAUAUAAGUUUGCCUUUAUUUUAAAAAAACCUUGUCUCGAGAUAUCGAAAGGUCAUAUCCAAUGAGUUAGGACACAACGUUUCGAAUUCCCGAGAUAAGCUUUGAUUUGAAAUUUUUACAUUUUAAUUAAAGAAGGAUACUCGGUUACUUAAAUUCAACGAGGAAAAUUGGAGCCCAGUAAGUUAGAGCAUAAUCUUCUCGAAAAUCUUGGAUACCGAGUAUUACGUUAUUUUGAAAACCUUUGAAUAAAACGAUUGCAACACUUUGAUUAAACGCAACCUUUUAAACGAAUAAAAUGCGAUGGAACAAUAAUGUACAGCGCAAAGUGAUAAUUCGUAAACUAAAAUAUAUGCUAAUGAUCGACAAGGAAUCAAUGAAUACGGGUAAGCAAUACAAUACAUCAUAUAAGAGCAACAAUCUCAUAUCCCACAUUGUGCAAAUACUAACAAUAUAAAAUAAAAACUUAAUAUAGACAAUAAUGUAUACAAAUAAUAUAUAUAUAUAUAUAUAAAUGUUGAAAUAAACAAAGCGUAUAAUUAAAUAGGACCUAAAAAUAUAAACUAUGUAUACAAUAAUAGGUUUUUUUCUAAAAUAUAUGAACACAUUUAAAAGAGAACUUAACGUUAAUAAUUAUAAUAAUAUGAAAUUAAUAAUAUAUAUAUAGAAUAAAAAUAAUUUAAUAUAAAUUAUAUGUAUAUAUAUAAAAUAGUAUUAUAUAAAAAUAUUUUCAUAUAAAUCUUUAAUACAUAGAAAUAUAUAAAAAGUGAAUUUUAAAAAUAUAUUAUAACAUAAAAAACAUCAAAGAAUAUUCGCGCGUUAGAUAUGCUUUACACAAAAUAAUAGAAAAAUAUGAUAAAUUUAAGUAAUGAAACAUAAUAAAUUUUAAAUAAUAAUACAUAAUGAAUUUUAAAGUAAUAAUACAUAAUAAAUCUAAAAUGUAAUACAUGAUAAAUUUAUAUAAUAUUAAUGAUAAAUUUAAAAUAAUAAUAUCUUGUAAAAAAUUAAAAAAAAAUACAUGAAACUUGAAAUAUCAAUUCAUGAAAGAUUUAAAAUAAUAAUACAUAUAAAACUUAAAAUAAUAAUAAGAUAAAAAUAUUAAACUCAUUCACUAAAUUAGAUUUAAAGUUAAAUAUAUUAAAAAUGAAAUAAUAUACAUUUAAAUAAAUAAAAAAAACAUUAAAAUGAACUAAAGGAUUAAAAUAGAUUUAAAACAUAAAUAAAGGGUCAAAGUAUGACGUGCGAAUAACAUGGGAGCCGAAUGGGAAAUAUUCCAUUUCCUCAAAACGCAGCGUCUUUGCGUGAACCAAAUUAGAUUGAAACAUAAAAUGCGUGACCAAAUUUGACAACUGAAAUAAAAGGAUCAAUUCGAAUGAGUUAUAAAAAAGGGGACCAUUUGCGCAAAUUCACAUUGCGCUAUAAAACACGCGGAUCUGGAACCUGGUUCGGGUCGGGUCAUCGGGCAUGGCCAGUACGGUGCCGUUUUAGAGCCGUUGAAGUUGGUUUAUACGGCGCCAUUGCACGAUUAAUAUAAAACUCAAAUUAACACCAAUAUUAGGCCAUUUUAAACAGCCGAAAACCCUAGCCGCUCAAUCGCUCUAUUCCAUUACAGAUUAUAGUUUUAUUCCAUUACAGCUUUAUUCAAUUACAUAGCUCUAUUUCAUUACAGUAAAUCAAACGUACCCUUAGUAUGAAUGGUUGUCAAGCAAUGUAGAAAUUUGCACACAAAAGAACAAAAUUGUGCACUACUUAAAAAUUCAAAGCAUGUGUGGCCUAUGUUCAUUUAUUUUAUUGCAUAAAAUUCAAGGCAUGUAUGUUGAAUAAUUUUAUCCAAGAAGCAUAUUUUCCACAAAACUUUAAUUUGUUGCCAUUAAAUAUGUCAUUUUCUAUUAACUGCAAGAAAACUAUCCGGUAAACUACAUCUUCUUCUUUAGAUCAAAUUUUAUAAAAAAUAUUUGACAUUAUCACUUAUAUGGUCCUUCAAUUUUAUUUUUAAAAAAAUAAUUUUAAAUUUGCAUUUAAUUUUUCGCCUCUUUGAGCUUUUAAAUUUGUAUUAUUUAUCAAAUCAUCUUAAAAUGGAUAAAAAAUUAACAUUUAUUAACUUUAUUGACGAGACAUACAUAUCGAUAUCAUAUAAACAAUUAAUUGAUUUUUAAAUUUUAAAAAUUUUAAAAAUAAAACAUAUAUUAAAAUUUUCUAAGCAUUGCAGAAGAAUUUCCAAUAAUUCCACACAAAUUAACAACAAUAUAAACGCAAUGAUUUUCACUUUUUUUUCAUUUUCCCAAAAACUCAUUUCACACUUAGCUUUAUAAAAAAAAAUUUAUUUUAACCCUUAAUUUAAUUUUUCAUAUUUUUUAGCCCUUAAACCUAUGUUGUUUAUCAAUAACCUUAAACUUACAUUGUUUAUCAGAUGAAAAAAUUAAUAUCUAUUAAUUUUCCUAACGUGCAUAAAUAUGCAACUUCGUUUAAAUCUAAAAACUAUAAAAUAUCUUACAAUUAAAACUAAAAUUUUUUAAACUAAUGCAAACUUUUAUUAUUUGAUUGCUUUCUAGCGUUGCAAAUUACAUAACACUCUUCAAAUGUCUUAUUAAAUUCUCACUUUUACGAGUGCUAUGUUAAUCAAAUAAAAUUCAAUUCAAUUAAUAAGCUUAACUAGAGGAAAUAAGGACUUUACAUCCACCAAUUAAAGCUACCUAUAUGUACCCUUUUACAGUCUGCAUUGUUCCAUGUUUCCAUUCAUUACAUCAUUCCUUCAACUCUGCUAUAUAUUAUUACCGUCUCCAGGUAACCAAACCUUUUACUGCAAAAUUGUAAAAGAAAUUAUGAAAAAUUGAGACAUUGUUGAAGUUGGCUUGCAUGCAGACCAAGAAGCAGACCAAGCUGUCCGAGCCAUGCAAGUUGCAGCUGAAGCUUAUGCUGCUGUUUUGUUACUUUCAAAUAGAUAUUUUAUUACUUAGUUAGAUAUGAACUAAGUUGUUGAUAUGCUUGAUGUAAUUAGGUGCUGAUAGAUUGAUAAAUCAGCUUUACCAAGUGUACAAGCAAUGUUUAUCAAGUUAGUAAGCCACUUAGUGGAGUUAGGUAUGUGUUUAGGUAACAUUUUCUUAUUUUUGACCAGCUGAUUGCUUGGUAUAUGUAAUGCAAUUGUGCCUUCAUUCAAAUGUAAAGAAAUCUUUCAGAAAAUUCUUCUUCAUUUGGUCUUUACCUAAGCAUUUCUAUUCACGAAGCUCUUGCUGUUUUUGUUUUGUUUGUUGAGCAAGAUAACAAUGCUUUAUGCUUAAGUUUCUGUCAAAAUUUCUCAUUCUGUUUUCUUUGUUCCUACAGACAUGUUGAGCAAGAUAACAAUACAAGUUCAAAAGUUAAAAGUGAAGAAAAUUAAAUAAGUAAUUUUUUUAUAAAUUAAAAAGUUAAAUGAGUCAUUAUGGUAUAUAUAUUUAUAAUGGAUUGUAGAAGAAUCCAAUUAAUUAAUGCAUGCCAAUAUAUAUAAUAUCAAUCAUGGAAGUAAUAUAAAUAAAUGAAGUUAAGGUUGGGAUUCAAAUGAUGCAUUUGAAUGUUUGUAAGCACUAUAAGCUAAGGAUAUGCCCAUUUUUUUUUUUGUCUAAAUGCACUUAGCCACACUAUUAACAGUGAUUUUAUGAGUCAGGGGGUGUGUGGUGGUGGUGAUAAGGUCCCCCAAAAUCAAUUUUAGUAAUAAUUAUAUAUUGUAAAGAAACAGUCGCAUUAUGGGUCAAGUCCAAAUUCUUCCAUCCUAAUAAUUGCAUGCAUCCUAUGCUAAAUUACUUUUAGAUUAAAAAUAGAAAAGCAUAACCCCACUAGUCUAGGUUUUAUAUUUUAGAUGCUUACUAUCUAAGUGGAUGAGAAAUUGAUUAUGGUAUCAGUUUAGAAUAAAAGAUUAGAUUGGUUAAUUUAUGAACGGGUUGAAUCGGCCGAUCAAAUAAAUUGAAAUGAUUAUUGAAACUAAAUUGAAAUCCAUUAAAGAAGACAUAAACAACACCACCAUACAAAAUGUCACAUUCAAACAAACCAUUACAGAUAGUACGAAAUGCAAUGAAAGACAGAGGAAUUGGUACAAUAAUAAAGACAGACACAUACUAAUGCAACCCUUCACCAUAGGCAAAACGGUCUACAAACAAGAAAUUAUGAAAAUACAGCACUAAUUCUUGAACAUCAUUUGCAGUAAUUAGAUCCUUCUUCAUCUACUGCUGCGAUUGCCUUCCUUUGACUUUCUUCUUCGCCUCCUCUCAUGUUGGUUUUCAACCAAAUUCACCAACCAUUUCGGCUUUCCAGUUUGGAAAACAACAUAUCCCACGAACAUUCCGAACACUACUCCGCAUCCAUAACCUAUCAACACCACUUUCCAACCAAAAGCAAUGUUUGAUUUAGAGCCAUCUUUUUCAAGCACAUUUGGAGGUGGUGGGUUAAUGUUGUUGCAACCUUUCGAGACUGGAAACCCACACAGUCCCUUAUUUCCUUCAUAUGAAUCAUUUCCAAAUGUGUUGAAUUGUUUGCCUUGAGGAAUCUGACCAUGGAGUUGAUUUUCAGAAACAUUUAAGGAGGAAAGAAAUGGCAGAUCUGCCAAUCUAUUUGGAAUCGUCCCAGACAACCUGUUUGAACAUAGGUCCAACCAUUCAAGACUUGUCAAAUCCCCUAUUGAGGUGGGGAUAUUACCAUUAAGGUUAUUAUGAGAAAUGUUGAGCCCUUUCAGUAAGUUAAGCUUCCCAAUAACCUUUGGAAUUCCCCCUUCAAACUGAUUGUUUGAUAGAUCAAUGAUCAUCCACAUGGUGAAAAUUUUCACCAAUUCCCUAUCUUGUCCUUUCAUAACAAUUCCAAUGGAAUAGGUAUAGAAGUCACCUCCAUCAUCAUUCACCCCCAUGUACGACACUGUACUACCAAUCUUCUCUAGAUUUAUGAUAGCCUUGAAGCUGUUGAUGUAUCUCACUGGUAGGGGUCCAGAAAAAUAAUUACUUGAGAGAUCAAAAAUUUGGAUUUUUGAGAAAAAAGGGAUAGACUUGGAGCUAUUGACACAUAAGGAACCAUUCAAUUGAUUUGACUUCAAAACAAGAACUUGUAGCUGUGGAAGACUUCCCAACCAAUGAGGAAAUGUAUCAUUGAUCUUGUUGUUACCCAGAUCUAGCACUUCCAGACCAUUACAAUUAAGGACGGAUGGUGUCAAAGGCCCUUCUAACAGAUUUCCAUUUAAGUUGAAAUUACUCAAUUGGCAUCCCAUUGCAAAUGUUGGAGGAAUCGUCCCAUAGAACUUGUUCUUCUUCAGAUUCAAGAAUAGAAGGCUGUUGCUCAAAUUUCCAAAACAUUGUGGAAUUGUUCCACUCAAGUUAUUGUGGGACAAAUCAAGAAUUUCAAGAAAAGCGGCAUUGCAUAUUAAAGAAGAGACCUCUCCAUUGAAGCUAUUAUUAGAGAUCAAAAAGACAUUGAUGGUCGAAGCUGGAAUCGGAAGAUUUCCACUGAUCAAAUUGGAGCUUAAGUCAAGAACUUCAAUAUUCUUCCAUGGAAAGUGCUCAACUUCUGUCAAAGAGUUGUGAGAUACGUUUAAGUAAGUCAAAGAGUCAUUCCCCACCUCUUGCAUCCACCGUGGAAUCUUGCCUUCAAUUCUGUUGUAAGAGAGGUCCAAGCUUUUCAAACUUUUAAGCCCUUUUAAAAAUUGGGGGAAUUCACUAAGAUUGCAAGAUGACAAAAAUAAGCUUGUAAGAUUAACAGAAGAAGUAGUAUUAGAUGUUAAGGAUAGGCUGUUAUAUGAAAGGUCAAGAUAUUCGAGAUUUGGAAGGUUUGAGAACAUGCUAAACGCUAUGACACCAGUAAGAUUAUUUGAGGAUAAAUUGAGCUUGGUAAGAUUGAGAAAUUGGAAUAUUGAAGAUGGAAGAGGACCUUGGAGUUUAUUAUUCUCUAACUCUAUCAAUUCUAGUGAUUUGGAUUGGAAGUCCUUGAUAUGCCCACUGAAUUGAUUUUGAGAGAGUUUCAUAUCCUUUAAGGAGGGAGAAGUAUACAACCAUGAUGGAAGUGCUCCACUGAGUAAAUUGUUAGUUAAGUCUAAAGAUAUUAGAUUAGGAAAAGCGGUUACCUCAUCUGGAAUAGAACCUUUUAAUGCAUUUCCAGCUAUUCUCAAGUAUUCCAGCUGCGUUAGGUUUAGAAUUGACAAUGGAAUUUGUCCAUUCAAUUGGUUCUGCCACAAGCCUAAAUAAGUGAGUUGCAAGAGGUUCCCCAAUGAUCUUGGAAUUUGUCCACUCAAUUGGUUUUGCCACAAGCCUAAAUAAGUGAGUUGCAAGAGGUUCCCCAAUGAUCUUGGAAUUUGUCCACUCAACUGGUUCCCGGAUAAGUCUAAAUGAGUGAGUUGCAAGAGAUUCCCCAGUGAUUUUGGAACCGGUCCUGAUAAGUUGGAAUAGGAGAGAUCUAAAAACUUCAAGGACACAAGAUUACCCACCGAGUCUGGCAAUCCUCCAAAAAAAUUUGCGCCUGAAAUUAUCAAUUGCUCCAAACAUGAUAAAUUUGUGAUUGAGACAGACAAUCCUUGAAAGAAAGAAUUUCCUGAUUGAUCUAAGUACUUUAAGGCCUGUAGAUUAUCAACUCAAUCAAUGAAUUCUGUAGAGAAGGACGUCCAUGACAGAUCCAAAUGUUCAAGAUUGCUGCUCCGAUUCAACUUCAAAGGAUCAAGAUUGAGGUUUUGGUUGUCUCCCAAGUUGAGGAGAUUGAGGUUUGGCAAAUCAAAAAUGUUUUUUGGGAAUUUUCCUUGCAAAUCACAACCAGCAAGACUGAGAGACCUUAGAGAAGAGGAUAGAUUCAUGAAGACAUGAGCAUUAACAGAAGCCAUCUCCAUUCCAUCCAAAAACAGAUGUCUGACCUCGGUUAGGUUUUGAACAAGUCCCUCCAGAGCAUGUUUGUCUCCUACAAACCCUGUACUGGAAAGGUCGAGGUAGAGUAGGCUUGUAAACCGACCUAACUCGGAUGGAAUUUCGGAAAGAUUAAACUCAUUGUAGGCAAGGUUGAGUUUUUGAAGUUGAGGAAGAAGGAAGAGAGUGGAAUUGGAAGGGAAGUUGCCAUAUAGCCAACUGCAGCUCAAGUCAAGGGCAAUAACAUGAGCAUUUAGGUGGUCACAAGUGACCCCAUCCCAUGAGCAGCAAUCUGUACCCUCCUUCCAUGAAUUUGUCUUGGGAUAAGAUUUAAGGCCAGCAAUCCCAUUGCAAUAAGAAGAAGCAUCCUCUGUUAUGGAAAAAGAGUCCUCAAACUGGAUUAGUGAAGAGCAGGAGUGAGAUCCAGAAGAAGAAAAAGAAGCAUAAAGAUGGGGAAAGAAGAGGAAUAGGCAGAGGAAGAGAUAGGGGGCCAUGUUAUGUCUGUAGAGGAAGAUGAAGGAUAGGAAUGGUAUUUAUAGGCAACAAAUAAUACCGCAGUGUUACAGUCUUUUUUUCUUUUACAUUGAGAAGCUAUGGAUAUUAGAUUUUCAAAAUUUUUGUACUUUUCACAAUCAUCAACAACCACUUAGUCUUCUUUUUACCAUAUAUUUUUCAUUCUUAAAAUUGGAUGCUUUCUUUUCGCAAAAUCUUGUAUAUAAUUUGGUCUCCCUAAACAACUAAAAAAUUUAAGAUUAAUGAGAUUACAAAGUAGAUUAAUUUAGCGUUCUUCUCUAUAACACGUAAAGAAUGUGUGUAUGUAUUCACUUGCCUAUCAACCAAAGCUAAUUAAUGUGGAAAUUCUUUUCCACCCAAAAGAACAAAAUUGUGCUCUAUUCAUUAAGUUUGAGGAAGAAGAUUGCUGGGAAAUUUAAUCCACUGAUUCCAUAAAAAAUGUGUAUACUUAUAUAACCUCAUAAUUCAAAUCUAAAAUCUCAUUUGUUAUAAAUUCUGAUAAAUUUCUUUGGAAUUGCUAUUUUUCAUUCGCUAAUUAUUUCUCUUUUAAUCGAGUAAAAAAUUAAAACUAAAAAGACAUAAUGAUUUAUUUGUCAUUUUUUAACUUUACAAACAAAAAGUCAUUUUAACUUUUCAUUUUUUUUUAUCUCUUUUAAAUCACCCAAAAAAAAUGAUGAAAAAGACUAACACUGUUUGUUGACGUGACAAUGCCAUAUGAUCAAUAAUCACCGACAUGGUAGUGCCACGCUAUCGCCCAUUGGUGACAUAUUAACCUUUGAGUUAAACUCAAAUUACUCUUUCCUUUGUUAUAAAUUAAGAGUAUAACUAAUUUUGAUAAGAAAGAUUACUUUUCAUUAACUCAGUUUAAAGGGUUACAACAAGUAAAGUUUGGUCUAUUGCAGAAUUCACAUGCAAUGCGGGACAUUUACAUUAUGCAGAAUUCGACACAUAUAUUGGAAUUUUUGUAUUUCCACAAUCAUCAUGUUGUUCGUGAUCAACAACUACUUCUUUUUACCAUAUAUUUUUCAUUCAUAAAAUUGAUUACUUUUUUUUUUACCAAAGACGUAAAAUUAUUAACAUUCAUGAGAUUACAAAGUUAUUUAUCACUUCUAAUAUCUAAUAUUUCAUUGUAGAAUAAUUAAAUUAUUUGUUUCACUAAUGAUAUUUUAACACAUUAACUAUGUAUUGCAGUUUAAAAAUAAUAAUGUAGAUUAUAUAUUAUUUUUAUAGUAUUAUAUAAUAUGAUUUUAGUAAAUUCAUAUAAUAGUAAUUAUGUUAAGAAUUUUAUUAAAUUAUAUUUAAUAAUAAUUAUUUUCAAAUAUGGUUAAAUUAUUUAUUAUUUUUAUUAAAUUAUUUUUAAUAAUAAUCUUAUUAGAAUUUAAUAACAAUAAUCAUCUACCUAAAAAAAAUCUGCUAAAAGUAUUCUAGUCAUUUUAGUUUUUUUCCUUAUGCUGUUACAACAUCAUUCCAUUCAACCAAACACAAGAAUACUAUUACAGUUCUAUUCCGUUCCAUUCAAACAAACAAUUGAAUUACUGAUUACAACUCUAUUCUAUUACAGUGAACCAAAUGUACCCUUAAUAUGAAUGGCUGUCAAGCAAUGUAGAAAUUUGCACACAAAAGAACAAAAUUGUGCACUACUUAAAAAUUCAAAGCAUGUGUGGCCUAUAUUCAUUUGUUUUAUUGCAUAAAAUUGAAGGCACGUAUGUUGAAUAAUUUUCCCAAAAACUCAUUUCACUCUUAGCUUUAUAAUGAAAAAAAAGUUAUUUUAGCCCUUAAUUUAAUUUUUCAUCUUUUUUAGCCCUUAAACCUACAUUAUUUAUCAAAUAACCCUUAAACUUACAUUGUUUAUCAGAUGAAAAAAUUAAUAUCAAUUAACUUUGCUAAUGUGCAUACAUAUGCAACUUCAUUUAAAUCUAAAAAAUAUAAAAAUAAUUAAAUAUGUAUAAAUCUAAAGAUAUCCUAAAAUUAAAACUAAAAUUUUUUAAACUAAUGCAAAUUUUUAUUAUUUAAAAAAAUCUUAAAAAUUUUCAAAAUAAAUUCCAUUUGUUUUCAAAUAAAGAGAAAAAUUGAAAACCAUGAAAUGUUAAGUGUGCCUUUUGUUCAGCCAUUUUUUUCCCCUUUCUAGCAAAUUACAGAUCUGAAAAUAGUGAUCAAAUUGUCCUUGAUCGUCUAAUUUUGGUUAGGGGACAUGUUGGAAAAGGAUUAACCCUACAGUUAUAUUUUGUCUCCUCUCAUCAAUGGUAUUGUGAUACCCAAAGUUUGGUAUCAUGAUAUCUACAACAGUCUUGGGGAUCUUUGGGAGUUUUGGGUAUCGCGAUACCUUAUAACCAGUAUCACGAUAACACUGUUGAUGGCUCAAUUUUCCUUGUUUUUAACAUUGUUAUGGGUAUUACGACUUUCAUGCUUUGAUAUGCGAUAUCCUCUUUCUAGGUGACAUUUUCGCUCCUUCUGAGCCACCAUGGGCUCUCUGCAUCACUCACGAGCCUCAUCAGAUUCCCCGGGUGCCCUUUGGCCAUCUCAGGUCUCAAAAUAGUAUCAAAAUGCACACUAAUCAUUUAUUAAUAUAAAGAACAAAAACUAAAUAAAAAAACAACAAAGAUAUCUAAAUUCCUUGAAAAUAAGCUUUUAAGUGUGAUGGAGAGCCUAAUUUAACAUAUCAAUUUACAGCAGAUCAUAAACAUAAUUUGCGGAACAUUGUUUAAAUUUCGAACUUCUUUAUUAGUUUUCUUUCAAUAUUCUGUACGGUACAUUUGUAGUAAUAUAUUGUGCAGAUCAUAGACUACAUUGCUUUAUUAGUGUUCUAUUGUUAAUCUUUUAUUAUUAUUAUUAACACCACUUCCUUUUUACCAUAUAAUUUUUAUCCAUAAAAAUGAAGAGUUGAUUUACCAAAAAUUAGUAUUUCAUUUGAACUCCCUAAAGAAAGAAGAAGAAUUGAUGAGAUUACAAAGUAUAUUGACUUGCUCUUGCUUCCUUUAUAUGUAUGAAUGUGGAAUUUGGCAUAAUGCCAACUUAUUUUCCACGCAGAAGAAAACGGCGCUCUAUUCACUCCCUUUAACUUGACAAAAUACAGGACAUGUGAUCCACCAAUUAAUGUUUGACUAUCUCCAUCUCACUUUUUAUUAAUCAAGGAAUAUAAGCUUACUAUUUCAACAUUUCACAAGCAACAGCUAAAAUAAUAUUGGUCACAUUAUAAGACAAAAGUUAAAACAGCCUUCAGUACUUCAUCUACAUUCCACGUCAAAUCUGCAAGCAUCAAAUAUUGACCUUUGAACUCCAUAGUCCAUAAUAACAACACCAAUUUCUAACAAUUGCAGAAGAAUGUCCAGUAAUUCCACACAAAUCAACAACAAUUUGCAGCAUCCACUACAUUCAUAUGAAUUCCACACAAAUUAAGACUGCAAAUUCUAACUUGUUUAUACCCUCAAUGAAGCUACCUAAAAGAUAUGAAUUUUAUAAUAUUCUAAAGUUAAGUGACCAGAACAUAAAUUUUCUAAUAGAUUAGUACUUGAGGUGUAGUUUACCUUAUAAUAAAUAACUAAAAUAAAUUUGUGAAUCAAUUGCAUAAUUAAAUUAAGAUUUUCAAGCCUUUUACCAAACCAAACUUGAAAGGAGAAAAAGAUUCAUGAAAGAAUCCACUUUUAAAAGACUUUCACUUUUCCCAAGUCCAAUACACAAAUUCACAAGAUCCCACACUUUCAUUUAUCCUCUUCAGAAAGCAAGGUCCACAACAAGAGAUUAAUUUAGAUAUUAAUUAUUUUAUUUUAAUUAAGUGAGUUUAAAUUAAUGAUAUUUGUUAUAAUAAUUAAGUUAUACUUUCGGGAAGGUUGAUAAUAAUGUUCACACCAUAGAUGUUGUGAAGAGCCACUAAAAGUGAUAAUUUAUCUAUGCUGAAAAGGUGUUUGAAUAGAGUAUUGGACAAUGUCCUACCUAAAGACCCAAAAGGGAUGCCAAUUUAAGAUCCAAGGAAGCCUUCGACUUAUCUCACUUGUGUAAGGAGCAGCAGUUAUCUCUUUACUAUUAACAACAUAAUCAUAUUCUAUAAUUCACCUUUAAGGUGUCUUAUUCACUUGUUUAGGUCAACUAUACCAAAUUCAGCAUUUUAUUUCGCCAAACCAAAAUUGUUAUUUGCCAUAUAGGGAUCGCCAAGCCUAUAAAAGCCAAAAUCAUUUCAAAGAUUUGCCUCGUUUAGCUCGAUUCUUCAAUUUAUCUUCUCAAUCUCAAUUAUUAACGUUUGUCUCUCCAACUUGCCUCCUCAAAUUUAAUCAUUAAAACUAAAUGCAUUACGUGCUCACCAUACUACAAGAACAUAAACUUAUUUAUUUCAAGAGGAUCACUUUAUAAAUUUCCAUCAAUUAGGGAAAAAUUAUUAUACCUCUAUAAGUAUAUUUUAAAAUAUGGCGAUAUUUCAAGAUACCACCUAUCACAUUUCAAUAAAACUCAUUAUAUAUCUACCACCAUCAUAAUUAAGUAAUAGAGGCAUCAUUCUAUAUGGACACACAUCAAGCUCAUUUCCUUUUAUGUAAAGUCCUCUCCAUAACCUCUCAUAAUAAAUUUUGAAAAUAAUUAAUGUUAAUUAUUCACGUAAUUCUAAUUUUCAAUUAUUUCCUUAAAAAUUAAAAAUAACUACUCUGUUAAUGCCAUGUAGCUAUCUUGAUUAAUGAUUUCAUUUAAUUUGUUUUCCUCCUGACUGGGAAAUGUGGACUUGACAACAAAAUGAAAUUUGAGCAUGACACCUUAAUUUUGUGGUUGGUUUGACGAAUACUGAAGGUUGGUCAUCUUGAAACAUAUAUAAAAUUAAAUGAUUGAAUUAUUUGAAAUCAUGAAAUAAAAUAAUUAUGAAAUUAGAAUUUAAGAUUAGAGGUUAUUUUUAGAAAUUUAACUUUUUAAUUAAUUAAUUUAGCACAAAUUUUAUACAAGUCAUGAACUUAAUUUCAUCAAAUUAUAUUAUCCAACUUUUACUGUUAAUAAAUUAAGCGGUAAAAAAACACAUGUCUUGAUAUAAAUAUCAAAAUUGAUUAUAUUUAAGGUGGUACAAAUAAUUGCAAGAAAUUGUAAUUAUUAGGUAGUGAUUAUAACCUCUCAUAGUAAAUUUUGAAAAUAAUUAAUGUUAAUUAUUCACGUAAUUCUUCUAAUUUUCAAUUAUUUCCUUAAAAAUUAAAAAGUGUAAACUCUUAAUUAACAAAAAUAUAUAAAUUAUAAUGGUUAAGCAAAUAUGUCAUAAAUAUGUAAUUACAUCAAAAUUUAAUUACUAUUGAUUUCUAAACACCCCUAAAAUUUCAAUGAAGCUACCUAAAAGAUAUGAAUUCCACUGCAAAUUUUGUAUUGCUUGGAAUGAAUUGACUGUCAUUUUCUAUUACUUGCCACAAAAUUUUGUAUUGCUUUAAAUUCAGACAAGAAAUAGGAGAAAAAACUACAUGGAAAGAAAUUUUGCUAAUUCAAUUUCCCAAGUCUUUACACAAAGUUGGCUCUAAAUUAAAUUUAGUAAAAGAAAAGAAAACAUGUCUUAAUUUCUGUAUAUUAUAUAAAUCAGUUUUGUUACCUUGGAAUUCUGAUAAGUUCAAUUUGGAAUAUGAUUAAUUUUGGUUAAAUUGGAGUGAAUAUUACUAUUUCCAUUUUAGCAAUUAAAGCAACCUAUAUGUACCCUUUUACACUCUGCAUUGUUCCAUGUUUCAAUUCAUUAUAUCAUUCCUUCAACUCUGCUAUAUAUUAUUACUUUCUCCAUAUAACCAAACCUUUUACUGCUAACUUGUAAAAAAAUUAUGAAAAUACAACACAGAUCAUUGAACCAUUUUGUUCUCCUUUCUCCUUUACUGUGCAGUAGCAAUGAUUAUCGAGACUAAAUUGAAAGUCAUGAAAGAAGACAUAAACAACACCACCAUACAAAAUGUUACACUCAAACAAACCAUUACAGAUAGUACGAAAUGCAAUCAAAGACAGAGGAAUUGGUACAAUAAUAAAGACAGAGACAUACCGAUGCAACCCGUCACCAUAGGCAAAACGGUCUACAGAACAAGAAAUUAUGAAAAUACAACACUAAUUCUUGAACAUCAUUUGCAGUAAUUAGAUCCUUCUUCGUCUAUUGCUUCGAUUGCCUUUCUUUGACUUUCUUCUUCCCCUCGCCUCUUGUUGGUUUUCAACCAAAUUCACCAACCAUUUCGGCUUACCAGUUUGGAAAACAACAUAUCCCAUGGACAUUCCGAACACCACUCCGCAUCCAUAACCUAUCAACACCACUUUCCAACCAAAAGCAAUGUUUGAUUUUGAGCCAUCUUUUUCAAGCACAUUUGGAGGUGCUGGCUCAAUGAUGUUGCAACCUUUCGAGACCGGAAACCCACACAGUCCCUUAUUCCCUUCAUAUGAAUCAUUUCCAAAUGUGUUGAAUUGUUUGCCUUGAGGAAUCUGACCAUGGAGUUGAUUUUCAGAAACAUUUAAGGACGAAAGAAAUGGCAGAUCUGCCAGUCUAUUUGGAAUCGUCCCAGACAACCUGUUUGAAGAUAGGUCCAACCAUUCAAGACUUGUCAAAUUCCCUAUUGAGGUGGGGAUACCACCAUUAAGGUUAUUAUGAGAAAGGUUGAGCCCUUUCAGUAAGUUAAGUUUCCCAAUAACCUUUGGAAUACCCCCUUCAAACUGAUUGUUUGAUAGAUCAAGGAUCAUCCACAUGGUGAAAAUUUUCACCAAUUCCCUAUCUUGUCCUUUCAUAACAAUUCCAAUGGAAUAGGUAUAGAAGCCACUAGCUCUCUCAGCAUAUACCCCCAUGUACGACAUUGUACUCCCAAUCUUCUCUGGAUUUAUGAUAGCCUUGAAGCUGUUGAUGUAUCUCACUGGUAGGGGCCCAGAAAAACAAUUACUUGAGAGAUCAAAAAUUUGGAUUUUAGAGAAAAAAGGGCUAGACUUGGAGCUAUUGACACAUAAGGAACCAUGCAUAUGAUUUGACUUCAAUACAAGAACUUGUAGCUGUGGAAGGCUUCCCAACCAAUGAGGAAAUGUAUCAUUGAUCUUGUUGUUACCAAGAUCUAGCACUUCCAGACCUCUACAAUUAAGGAUGGAUGGUGUCAAAGGCCCUUCUAACAAAUUUCCAUUUAAGUUGAGAUUACUCAGUUGGCAUCCCUUUGCAAAUGUUGGAGGAAUCGUCCCAUAAAACUUGUUCUUCUUCAGAUUCAAGAAUUCAAGGCUGUUGCUCAAAUUUCCAAAACAUUGCGGAAUUGUUCCACUCAAGUAAUUGUGGGACAAAUCAAGAAUUUGCAGAUAAGUGGCAUUGCAUAUUAAAGAAGAGACCACUCCAUUCAAACUAUUAUUUGAGAUCAAAAAGACAUUGAUGGUCGAAGCUGGAAUCGGAAGAUUUCCACGGAUCAAAUUGGAGCUUAAGUCAAGAACUUCAAUAUACUUCCAUGGAAAGUGCUCAACUUCUGUCAAAGAGUUGUGAGAUACAUUUAAGUAAGUUAAAGAGCCAUUCCCCACCUCUUGCAUCCACUGUGGAAUCUUGCCUUCAAUUUUGUUGCAAGAGAGGUCUAACCAUUCCAAACUUUUAAGCCCUUUUAAAAAUUGGGGGAAUUCACUAAGAUUGCAAGAUGACAAAAAUAAGCUAUUAGAUGUUAAGGAUAGGCUGUUAUAUGAAAGGUCGAGAUGAUAUAGAUUUGGAAGGUUUGAGAACAUGCGAAACUCUAUGACACCACUAAGAUUAUUUGAGGAUAAAUCGAGCCAGCUAAGAUUGAGAAGUUGGAAUUUUGAAGAUGGAAGAGGACCUUGGAGUUUAUUAUUUCCUAGAUAUAAAUAUUCUAGUGAUUUGGAUUGGAAUUCUUUGAUAUGCCCACUGAAUUGAUUUUGAGAGAGAUCCAUACCCUCUAAGGAGGGAGCAGUAUACAACCAUGACGGAAGUGUUCCAUUGAGUAAAUUGUCAGAUAAGUCUAAAUGUAUUAGAUUAGGAAAAGCGGUUACCUCAUCUGGAAUGGAACCUUCUAAUGAAUUAUUAGAUAUUUCCAAGAAUUCCAGCUGCGUUAGGUUUAGAAUUGACAAUGGAAUUUGUCCACUCAGUUGGUUCUGCGAGAAGUCUAAAGAAGUGAGUUGCAGGAGGUUCCCCAAUGACAAUGGAAUUUGUCCACUCAAUUGGUUCUGCGACAAGCGUAAAUGAGUGAGUUGCAAGAGGUUUCCCAAUGAUCUUGGAAUUUGUCCACUCAAUUGGUUCCACGACAAGUCUAAACGAGUGAGUUGCAAGAGGUUCCCCAGUGAUUUUGGAAUCAGUCCUGAUAAGUUGGACUUGGAGAUACCUAAAAACUUCAAGGACACAAGAUUCCCCACCGAGUCAGGCAAUCCUCCAAAAAAAUUUGCGCCUAAAAUUAUCAAUUGCUCCAAAGAUGAUAAAUUUGUGAUUGAGACAGACAAUCCUUGAAUGAAAGAAUUUCCUGAUAGACGUAAGUACUUUAAGGCCUGUAGAUUAUCAACUGAAUCAAUGAAUUCUGUAGAGAAGGACAUCCACGACAGAUCCAAAUGUUCAAGAUUGCUGCUCCGAUUGAACUUCAAAGGAUCAAGAUUGAGGUUUUGGUUGUUUCGCAAGUUGAGGAGAUUGAGGUUUGGCAAAUCAAAAAUGUUUUUUGGGAAUUUUCCUUGCAAAUCACAACCACCAAGACUGAGAGACCUUAGAGAAGAGGAUAGAUUCAUGAAGACAUGAGCAUUAACAGAAGACAUGUUGAUUUCAUCCAAAAACAGAUGUCUGACCUCGGUUAGGUUGUGAACAAGUCCCUCCAGAGCAUAUUUGUCAAUUGUUAAUUGUUCCUCAAUCCCAGAAAGAUCAAGUGAAACCAAUUUUGACAGGUGGGAGACUUGGGAUGGGACUUCUCCUGCAAACCCUGUAUGGGAAAGGUUGAAGUAGAAUAGGCUUGUAAACUGACCGAACUCGGAUGGAAUUUUGGAAAGAUUAAAAUCAUUGUAGGCAAGGUUGAGUUUUUGAAGGUGAGGAAGAAGGAAGAGAGUGGUAUUGGAAGGGAAGUUGCCAUAUAGCCAACUGCAGCUCAAGUCAAGGGCAAUAACAUGAGCAUUUAGGUGGUCACAAGUGACCCCAUCCCAUGAGCAGCAAUCUGUACCCUCCUUCCAUGAAUCUGUCUUGGGAUAAGAUUGAUCAUCGCAAUCAAAAGAAGCAGCAUCUGUCUGAGUGAUGGAAAAAGAAUUCUUGAACUGGAUUAGCGAAGAGCAGGAGUGAGAUCCUGAAGAAGAAAAAGAAGCAUAAAGAUGGGGAAAGAAGACUAAUAGGCAGAGAAAGAGAUAGGAGGCCAUGUUAUGUUUGUAGAGGAAGAUGAAGGAUAGGAAUGGUAUUUAUAGGCAACAAAUAAUACCACAACAUUGGUGUUACAGUCUUUCUUUUCUUUUACGCUGAAAAGCUAUGGAUAUUAGAUUUUCAAAAUUUUUGUAUUUUUCACCAGCAUCAACAACCACUUAAGUCUUCUUUUUUCCAUAUAUUUUUCAUUCGUAAAACUGAAUUCUUUUCUUUUAGCAAAAUCUUGUAUUUCAUUUGAACAUGUAAAGAAUGUGUGUGUCUAUUCACUUGCCUGUCAACCAAAGCUAAUUAAUGUGGAUAUUCUUUUCCACACAAAAGAGCAAAAUUGUGCUCUAUUCAGCUACGUUUGAGGAAGAAAAUUGUUGGAAAUUUAAUCCACUGAUUCCGUAAAAACAUGUAUACUUAUAUAUAUAUAUAUAUAUAUAAUUUCAUAACUCAAACCUAAAAUCUCAUUUGUUAUAAAUUAUGAUAAAUUUAUUUGGGAAUAGUUAUUUUUCAUUCGUUAAUUAUUUCUCUUUUAAUCAAGUAUAAAAUUAAAAUUAAAAAGACGUAAUGAUUUAUUUGGUAUUUUUUAAUUUUACAAACAAAAAGUUAUUUUAACUUUUCCUUUUUUUAUCUCUUUUAGUCUUGAAAUUUAUAUGGUUUGUUAAAUCAUCCAAAAAUAAUAAUGAAAAAUACUAACAAAACUAGCACCUACGUGGCUGAUGUUGACCCUUAGUAGCUAAUGACAACACCUACGUAGUUGUUAACAGAUACUACACCAACAUUGUUUGUUGACAUGACAAUGCCACAUGACCAAUAAUUGUUGACAUGGUAGCGCCACCCCAUCGCCCAUUGAUGACAUAUUAACCUUUGAGUUAAACUCAAAUUACUAUUUCCUUUGUUAUAAAUUAAGAGUAUAACUAAUUUUGAUAAGAAUGGUUACUUUUCAUUAACUCAAUUUAAAGGACUAUAACACGUAAAGUUUGGUCUAUUGCAGAAUUCACAUGCAAUACGGAACAUUUACAUUAUGCAGAAUUCAACACAUAUAUGAGAAUUUUUGUAUUUCCACAAUCAUCAUGUUGUUAGUGAUCAACAACUACUUCUUCCUUAUAACACGUCAAGUUUGGUCCCAAAUUAUUUUUCCCACAAAAGAAUAAAGAGGAAGAAGACUACUACAGAUUUAACUAUCAAUUGUCUAUUGACUAUACUUUAACUCCACAAAAAAAGACUAAGACGAAGACUAUCAAUUGUCUAUUGACUAUACUUUUAACUCUACAAACAAAGACUAAGACUAUCACUUGUCUAUUGACUACACUUUAACUCGACAAAAAAAGACUUAAGACUAGGACUAUCCAUUGCCUAUUGACUAUACUUUUUAACUCCACAAACAAAGACUAAGACCAUCAGUUGUCUAUUGACUACACUUUAACUCGACAAAAAAAAGACCAAGACUAAGACUAUCAAUUGUCUAUUGACUUCACACUUGCUGUUGCUUCCUCCUAUCUCUCUCUCCCAAACUUAAUUUACAAGCAAUGUGGAAAUUUUGGACAUUUGCGCCACAAAUAAAAAAUACUUCCACACCAUUUGCAGUAUUGACUACGUUUACUUGAGGGAAAACAAAAACAUGAAUGCUGGGGAAAUUGCAUUAUAGAAAACAUGUGUAUCCUAUAUAUGUUGAACAAUACUAUCUAACAAACAUAUUUUCCGCAAGACUAGAAAAUUUGUAUGUCAUUUUCUAUUACUUGCAAGAAAACUACCGGGGAAAUUGCAUUUCUAAUUCAUCCAUAGGCUUUAAAUUCAAACAAGAAAAGGAAAAUAAUAUAUAUAUCAACAGGAAACUUCUAGGAGAGAGAUUUUGUUACAUCAAUUUUCCAGUUAUUUAAUCUUUACCCAAAGUUGGUUCUAGAUUAAAUUUGGAAAAAAUUAAAAAAGAGGACAUGUAUUUUUUAUUUUUGAAAAGUAAAGGAUUAUAACUCAGCCAAAUAAAAAAGUCACAAUGCAAAGCCAAGAGCCAAAGCCAAGCCAAGCACACACUCAACAAGCAGAAAAACCAACAACAUUGAAAACAAAAGCGAACCGAAUUGCAUCAUUAUAGUGUUAUCUAUACAAUCAAGUGAUGAUAUCCAUAUUAUUUUCCCACUAAUUAAUUCAGUUCAAUAAACAUAAUUUGAAUUAAUGGCCUAAAUUUUAAACUUUGAAGAAACAUAAGGCAACUGAAUGAAAAUUAAUAACCUCCAUCACCAGAUCUGCCCGCGCUUGUCUUCCUACGUGUCCUCCAAGUAAGUAAGAUAGUGAUUCUCUCCUUUAGAGAUCAUGAAGAUAAAAGAUUGAACCUAAACAUCAGGAAAAUAUGUCAGUGGACAUUACAGUCAGAAAAAACAGAUGAUGAAGUACAGCAUCCAAAAUCCAUACCAUCAUUCUUUUUCUUAGAUGUCAAUGCUUACUGCUACUGUGGUCCCAUUGAGGCAAAAUUCUGGGAAAUGUUUGAGCCUUUUACCACAUGUCCAUGCAGUGCCUGCUCACACAAUAUCGGAACUUUGUUCAGUCAAGUUCCUCAAAAGAUAGCCCUGUAAUAUGCAACAUAUAAAUCAGUGUCAGAAAAGGCCAAAGAAAGAGUAAGGAACUGAACUAGUAGAAAAUCAAGAUAACAUACCAUAUUAUCCAGUGCUUGAGCUUUCAGAGCACUAAUCUCGAUCAUUGCACAAUCAGGAAACGCAAAGCUAGCAGCAUGCCAUGUUUCAGUGACUCUGUCACUGAGUUUUAUUUAAAAAAAUGUAAAUUUCAGAAGGAAACAUGAAUUCCAAAGAUCAACGACUCCACUGAGUUUGUCGCUUCAAUAAAAAAUGGUAAGAACAACAAGACCAGUUAACAAUAAUCAAUAAUAACAUUUUCUACAACACUAAAAAUGACUCGUAGGGAUUAUAAAUUUGAGGGGGAAAUGUAUGAACAAUGGGAUCAAUUACACCUUACAAGCAUGUGAUAACUAGCAGACAUAACUCAUACAAGACCUAGAUGUAUUAUUGAACUCUUAUAUAAAAGACAACUGAAGAUGCAAAGCUUAAUUGUUAAGCUUUUCUGAUCCUUGAUAAGCAUAGUUUUAGUUCAGUUCCGAAAUCUAAACUGCUUUGCUAUGGGAUUAUUUUUAUAAGUACAUUGAGAUCCAUGCAUGCUAUUGCGAUUUAUUAUCUUUGAUUCCAUGGAAAUGACGGAAUUCAAACACCAAAAGGUUCAAUUACAUACUAGAUCAUGGAUGUAAGCCAAUCUACAACCUCCUCCCUCCUCGACCUCCAUUUGAAACCAGCAUGAUUUGAAUUCUCAGCCGCAUAUACCCUCACAAACUCCUCAGCAACAACAUAAAACAUAUACCUAACACUCCUUUGAGAACCGAUAACUGCACAGACAGAUUCACUGGUGGAAUCCUUCAAGAAAUAUUGAACCACACAAUUACCACACUCCUGUGAAAUAAACUCCUCCUGCCACUCGAAACAAUGACCAUUUCCAGACAUUUUGAUAGACAAUACACAAUUUGCUUCACUACUUACUCACAUAGCUAAAAGAUGUCCAAUGAAACUGGCAAAGGGUUCUUCCGAAAUGGUACAUUAGCUGCCAAAAAGACAACCACCAUACAUUCAUUCAUUCAGUAAACAGCUUCAAUAUGGCAAUAAGCUAUUAUCUUAAAAAUGCUUUUCUACCACAGAAGAAUAAGAACUAGGCAUCUCAGAAAAUUUGCUAAAUUAAUGACUUUGCUCCCUUCAAAAUAAACAAAUGAUUAACUGCAUUAACCCCAAAGAGGUCACCAUCAACCUCCAGUUGAACUUUCAAGGAAUAAUAAUAAACAAUAGAAGGAAAUAAGGCGGGAAAAAACUAACCAGAACUCAGUAAAAGCUAAGCCUUGAAGAUCUGCAGGUAGUAAGAGAAAAACCCCAUGACGACUAAAGUCCAAGCUUGAAAGGACCAAAAGGGAGCAACAUACGGCUAUGACUCACUGGACCAAGAGAAUCACCAAUGAAUAAAGGAAAAUGGGUACUUUCCUUUAUACCUAAGCAUACAAUAUUUAGCCUCAAAACAAGAUCCUCUUUGGGAAAAAUUCAGGUUUUCACAAAGGGUUUAAGAAAGAGGGUGAAAGUUAAAGAACUUGUCUUUGUUUUGAUGUGUGGUACACGAGAUAGUGAAGGAAAAUAGAGGCGAGGAAAUAAGAUGGAGUAAGUGGUGAAAAAGGAGAGCCUAAAAGAGACAUUUUUGAAGGGUAGUUUAGAAGCUGCAGAGGCUUUGGCAUACAGCAGCUGAUAAUGAGAGAAGACAAACCAGAAACGUAAGUACGACGACGACAAAAAUAAAGUUAAAAAAAUUUUAAGAAUUGAUAAAAUAACAUUUUGUAGCUUAGCGAAUUGGGACGAAGUCCACCAGUCUGAUGCCCAUAGAUCCACACCUGGGAUUUUCUAUUUAGGCUAACCUUCUAACUUCUCCCACCAGUCUUGAAACUUUGCAGAUUUUUUCAAUUUGAUCUGAAUUGUAUGAUAACAUAUCACUUUGAGAUUGGAAAAAAUAAAUAAUUUUUUUUUAAAUUAAAGAAAAAAUAAAGAAACUAAAUUUCAAGCAUGAAAAGUACAAAAGAAAGAACUGUAUUUAUAAAAGAUGAGUUACUUCACCCAGAUUGGAGUACCCUUAAACAAAUUUAUUCUUGUAGAGAAAGAAACUGAAUUUUGAUUUCAUUUGCUGUGGCAAAAUUUUUAAUUUUUAAUUGUGAAAGAAACAGUAUAACAUAUUGAAAGCCUGCCUACGUCUCGGCAGAAAAUUUUACAAAUUCUUUCAUCAGACAAUUUAAAUGAUGCAAUGCAAAGAUUCAUCAAUGUAUGAUCUUUUUACCAUAAAAUGGCUGUUUUACUGGAAAACUUGAUAUGUAUUGUCUUUCACAUUCUUCUGUGCUGAAUGGUCUCCGAAAACUGCAAUCAUCAACUCUAGAUAACCCUUUCCUCAGCGCUGCCAGAGCCGACCUUGUUGUUUCUGUUCUUGAACUCGCCUGUGUCAUCAAAGGCAGUGAGCAUUUAUCAAUGUUAUAAAAAUGGCAUAUCGAAGUCAGAUUUUACUUGACAAUACACAAAUAUAAGAAGAUAAUUCACCUUUGAUACUCUUUAGAAUGCUCGAGAAACUCUUUCGCGAUGUCUUUUCUUUCAUAUGAUUGCAAUACUUGUCUGAUAUCAGCCGGACUAUUGCGCGCUACAUCUGUGAACAAAUCAAAACAAAUGGUACUAUAAUUAACAAAUGAAUAUAGGAAACAUAAAAUUUGAACAAAGGCGAUGUGCAGAGGAAAAAGCAACAACAUAAGACCUACAUUCAAGAAAUGGAAUAAGGUCUAAAAGUGCGGUAUCAUCAGUCUCGAGCUUAAAUGGCUUAAUAGGGACACAAUUUUCUGGUUUUAGGCUAGAAUCAAAUGCAUGAGCACUCACAUAUAAAAUCUUGGUUGGAUCCCUGUUUAGCUUUGAAAGAUCCUGCCAACAGGAACUAUUUGUUAACAAUAAGGCUUCUUUUUAAGUAGCAGCUUGUAAAGGCACUGCCUCAUAGAUUAAUACACGUAGUAUUGUAGAAACUAAGGAGGCGAAAACCAAAAGCAAAAUGUUUUGGAGGGAAGAGAUUGACUAUGACAUGGUAAAAGAAUCAUCGAGGCACCUGUGUUAGGAGUUAGAUUGCAUUUUGCCCCAUUUACUCAGAAACUGAAUAAAUUAGUCCCUGUAUGUUAGAUAAAAGAAAGAGUAAACUAGACUUUCUGUUAAAAACUUCAUCCAUUGCUACUAUUAAAAACUGGUGCAGUUGAUAAAAUAACCAAAUAGUUACACAUAAUGUGUCACGUGUACCUCAUGCUAAUGUACAGGGACCAAUUUUUAACAGUAAAAAUGGAUGGAACUUGUAACAGAAGGGCUAGCUUGCUUUUUCAUCUAAUGUACAAGGAUUAAUUUGCCCAUUUUUUUAGUAGAGGGGGUUAAAUGCAAUAUGACUCCUAGUACAAGGGCCUCCAUGGUACUUUUACCACUAUAACAUACUCCAUAAUGCUUGCCAUUCGGAUAUUUAGUAGCACCCCUUGAUAGCCUAGAUCGUAUACAAUGGUCAGUGUCCAACAUUUCACAAACAGAAUCAACAUACUGCAUAGCCAAGAAAAAACUAAUUAUGAACUUGCAGGCAACAUCAGUUAUGAUAUACUUGUGUAUCUAAAAUGGUAGCCACAAUGACAAUAUCAAAUUACCAUAUUCAUCUGGUCAGAAUAGACGACAAUUUCAUAGAACUUUGCUAGAUGUUCCAGAAAGGCAUCAACACCAGGUCUUUUGAAGGUACGCCAGCCUCUCUCUCGCUUUGUCAACCAAAAACGGAACGUGUUAGAUAUCGUAAAGGUGAAAUGGAAAAUAAUUUUAAGUCAAAUUCUUACCUUCCAGUCUGUAUAAAGUAAUGUCUCGUUCAGAUCUAGGACAAGAGUGAAAACAUGCUGUUCUAGAGGAUGCAAAUCAGGAAGAUGCUUAUCCGAAGUCGGUUCAUUAUAUUCCUGAAAGUACGAGAUAAAAUUAUGAGAACAAAACAAAAGAUAGGCCGACAAUAAUAGAAAACCGGAAACAAGAGAAAGAAGAACACUCCUCACCAGCAAAUGUUCUUCCACUAACCUCCUGAGAUCCAGAUAAGAUUCAAGUGCUUUAGCCGGAACUGAAAUGUUACAAGCAAAGAAACCAGGAAUAAAUUGGGUUCGAACCAGAGCAUGUAAACAAAUCAAUCAUUGACCAACAUGAUAGACAGCAACCAGCACCAACGGAAUUUUCUUUUCUGUCUCAACAAAUCCAUUUAUAAUAAAGCAGCCCAAAUUUUCAAAAGGAAUAUUUUGGUAAAAGUACCAUGGAGGCCACUAAGAGAUGAAUUGCAUUUUGACCCCUCUACUCAAAAAAUUGGCAAAUUAGUGCCUAUGUUAGAUCAAAAAGUAAAUUGGCCCUUUUAUUAAAAACUCUUCAGUUAUUCUGUCAACCAUGCUAGUUUUUAACAGUAGAAAAGAACGAAAUUUUUAACAGAAAGGACCAUUUUGCUCUUUGAUCUAAUGUACAAUGACUAAUUUGCCCAUUUUCUUAGUAGAGGAGGCAAAAUGCAAUCUGACACCUAAUACAGGGGCCUCCAUGGUAUUUUUACCUGAAUAUGUCCGGGUACUAGACAGUGCAAACUGAAUGCCCUGUUAUGCAAAUAUUGUGCUCGUAAUUAGGUUGACAUACAGAACAAAGACUUUAGAGAUAAUUGUAACCAUGAACAAACAAAGAAGCAAUAAGAGAGAGGAACACAAUAACGUCCUCACCUGUCAUUGCAGCGGAGUAAAGCAAGCCUCCAUAUUUCUGAAAAAGAUAUGGAAAAAAAAAAAACUGUUACUUUCAUAUCUAAUUUCUUCAUAGUAUUAGGAUAAACUAAACAAUGGGUAUAUCACAUUAUUAAGACUUAGCUAAGGUACCGCAGAUAUACAUUCAAAUGAUCAAUCAUAAAGGAUGAACUAGGAGGCCCAAUGAUCAAUCAAAAUUACACCUAAACCAGUUAGCUGUCUAAAGCCAAUUGCACAUUAUAUCAAUCAAACAACUAAAAUAAAUAGAGAAAAUCCUUUAAAAUAUUCAAUUUCUAAACAAAAUCAAACUCACAUCAAUAGCAGAUCUUGACAAAGAAACCCAAAAUCACAAAUGAUCCGAUCUUUUUAAAAGGGGAAAAAGAAAACUUACUAUAAGAGAGAUAACCAGCAUAGCCAGUAGUUCCAGUAACACCAGCAAUGAGUCCGUACUUGACAAAGCUCCAAAUUUUCCCUCCCAAAACCUGUGGGGCAACUUUUGGCGCCGGAGGAGGAGGUGUCGACUGAUCGGAGAGAAUGGAUUGUGAAGAAAAUAUUGUUCCUUUAGAAGGAUCCGAACAAGACAUAAUGAUUUAUUUGGCUUUUUUUAACUUUACAAACAAAAAUUCAUUUUAACUUUAGUUUUUUUUUUUAAUCUCUUUUACCCUUGAAACUUAUAUGGUUCGUUAAAUCACCCAUUGAUGACAUAUUAACCUUUGAGUUAAACUCAAUUUGCUCUUUCCUUUGUUAUAAAUUAAGAGUAUAACUAAUUUUGAUAAGAAUGGUUACUUUUCAUUAACUCAGAUUAAAGGACUAUAACGCGUAAAGUUUGGUCUAUUGCAGAAUUCACAUGCAAUGCGAGACAUUUACAUAUACAGAAUUCAACACAUAUAUGGGAAUUUUUGUAUUUCCACAAUCAUCAUCAACAACUACUUCCUCUUUACCAUAUAUUUUUCAUUCAUAAAAUUGAUUACUUUUUUUACCAAAGAAGUAAAAUAAUUAACAUUCAUGAGAUUACAAAGUCUUCUACCUUAUAACACGUCAAGUUUGGCCCCAAAUAAUUUUCCACACAAAAGAAUAAAGAGGAAGAAGAAUGCUACAAAUUUAACUCCACAAAAGGACUAAGGGCCAGUUCUUCAUUAUUUUUGAAAAGUACUUUUGAAAAGUGUUGUGGAAAAGUACUUUUGAGAAGUACUUUUAAAAAAUGUGAGUGUUUGGUAUUGCUGUCAAAAAGUGCUUUUGAAAAAUAAAAUGUUCAUUUUAGACAUGAUAUUAUAAAGUAACAAAUAUGUAUUUAAAUAAUGUUCAAAUUAGUUAAUAUUAUGAUAUUUUAGCAAAAAUAUAAAAAUAAUUUAUUAUAACUUAUUGUUAAUAUUUUAAUAUAUAAUAUUAAUUUUAAAUAUUUCUAAGUAAUUAAUAUUAAUUAUUUAUUAAAUUUAAUUAGAAUAUAUAAACUAUAUUUAAAUAUUUAAAUAUAAUAAUUAAAUAUUUGUAAUUAGAUAUUGACACAAUUGUAUUAUUAUAAAAAUUAUUUUUUAUUUUUAAUUAAUGUUUUUAACACAUUUGUAUUAUUUUAUUUUAAAAUGUAUUUGAAUAUAUAACUCAUAUUAGAUAUUAACAUAACAUAGAAAACAUAAACCUUACAAAUUAAAAUAUUACAUAUAUUUGGAUUAAAGUUUUAAAAAGGGAUAAUAUUUAUAUACCAAAUAUAAACACUAAAAAUUUUACAAUAGCAUUUACAAUUUAAAGUGAAUAUUCAUUAAAUUUUACAAUAGCAUUUACAAUAGCAUCUCUUGUUAAUUCUAUUUCAAAACCACUUGAAUUGUUUGAUUCACCGUCAUCAUCGUCGUCAUCAUCAUCACUUUCUCGACCAUGCGCAUUUUCUGAAUCAAUAAUAUUCUCAUAUGCCCAGUUAAUAUCUUCGUAUUCCAUAAAAUCUGCAUCAUUUCGACCGAAAUAUUUUGCGGAUAAAAUUGUGUAUCGUCAUUGUAGCAACAACGAUCAUGGUUUGCUUUUCAAAACUAUAACUUGGCAUAUCCCUUAAAAUGACCCUUUUUUUUCAAAACACCAAAAGUUCGUUCAAUCACACUACAUAAUGAUGAAUGUGAAUGAUUGAAUAUCUCUUUUAUACCAGAUAUCGGUCUACCUCUACGAAAGUUAGAUAAAUGAUAUCGCUGUUAUUUUAGUACGGCACUCUUUAAUAUGUACCAUUUGCAAUACAUUUAAGUAAAAAUAUUAUUAUAUAGAAAGUCCUAAGGCAGUCAUUAAGAAAACCCAUGUAGUUACUUCAAACAUGUGGUAUUAUUGAUUAUCAAAGUAAUGGCAUUAAAGGCAUGACUUCCCCACUCCACCGGUCCAGCUGCAACUGCAUUAAUGGAGGAAAAAAGACACAUACCUAGCUACAAAAUUAUGGCUUGUUUCCAAACCUUACCAAACCAUGAACUCGACAUGAUACUUCAAACAAUAGAAUCACCAAACUAAAAGAGAAAAAAAGAAUUUCAAAAACUAGAAUAAAUUGCUUGGAUGUUUAAGUUCACCUGGGAAUAUAUAUAUAGAAAGGCAAAAGCUGAAGUAAAAAGCCAGUGUAACCUCCAGAGAGAAGCUUAAAAGAAUGGAAAUGCUAGCAUUUACCAAUCAGAAUUAAUAUAUAGUAAAGUAAUUAAGUUGAAAAAAAGAACUUUGCAAAUGAAGAAGAGACAGAAAACAACACACAUAAAAAAUGGACAAAGACUGAUGAUGUUUUGAAACCAUGCAUCCAGAAAAUAGAAUAAGAAGAGAACAAAUCCAUCAACCACCUCUCUGAAAACUAUCCAUUUGCCAGCAGAGGAACAAAAAACCGGCACCAGCAGAGGAACAAAGAACCAGCGAUGAGAGCAAAGAACCAGCGUUGUGUGUGUGGCUAAAAAAAGUAAAAGACCAGCCCAAAAGCACUAAAGCUAAAAAAUUCUGCUUAAGACUAUCAAUUGUCUAUUGACUACACUUUAAGUCGACAAAAAAAGACUAAGACUAUUAAUUGUCCAUUGACUUCACACUUGCUGUUGCUUCCUCCUAUCUCUCUCACCCAAACUUAAUUUACAAGCGAUGUGGAAAUUUUGGACAUUUGCGCCACAACGUACAAUACUUCCACACCAUUUGCAGUAUUGACUACGUUUACUUGAAGGAAAACAAAGACAUGAAUGCUGGAAAUUUUAACUAGUUUGUUCCGUCAAUGAAGCUACGUACCUAAAAGCCAUUUAGGAUACCAAUUCCUGUAAUUGGAUUAAUCUCAUCGUUGCUGCAAUCUUUUGACAGUGUAAUCGAAUCAUAAAUAGGUUACUCUGCAAUGCUAUUGUAAAUAUGACUCUUAAAUUUGUCGAUAGAUAUAUAGGUUCGGCACAAAAUUAAGAAUACACAAAGGCAGGAUGAAUUAUUCCAUGUUUGAACAUCUGCAACAUAAAUGCAUAUGGCAAAAGGGCUCAAACCAUACCUUAUGUUCAUGAAUUCUCAUCAUCACGUGUUUAUCAAUGCAACUCAAAACUUCAAUAAUUGAAUCUUUUGUAAUUCUACAUGUAUUUUUUUAUGGUGAGCAGUAUAAUGUUUACUAAAAAUUGAAAUUCAAGAAAGAAGACAUACAUAGUUGCACCAUACAAGAUGUUACACUCGAACUAAACCCUUACAAAUAGUACAAAAUGCAAUGAAAUACAGAGGAAUUGGUACAAUCAUAAAGACAGACACAUACCAAUGCAACUUUUCGCCAUAGGAAAAACUUUCUGACAGACUACUAAACAAGAAAUUAUGAAGACACAGCAGAAAGGCUUUAACUUCAUUUGCACCAACUAGAUCCUUCUUCAUCCAUUGAUGCGAUUGCUAUAUUUUGGCUUUCUUCUUCGCCUCUUCUCAUGUUGGUCUUCAACCAAAUUCACGAACCUUUUCGCCUUACCGGUUUGGAAAACAACACAUCCCAUGGCCAUUCCAAACACUACUUUCCAACCAAAAGCAAUUUUUCCUAUUUUAUUUGCAGCGCUGCAUUUUGGUGGUCCAGGAAUAUUUCCUAUUUUAGUCCCCCAUGUUAUUCGCAAUUUGUAAUUUGGUCCUUUCCUUUUAUUAUUUUAGAUUUUUCCCCUGAAUUACUGUUUUAAUGCCAAUUUAGUUCUUUGUUUGUUAUUAUUGCUAUAGAAUUAUUUAGUUUAUUAUUAUUAUUGGUAUUACUAUUAUUAGUUUAUAUAUUUACUUAUUUUUAUGUAUGUACAUUAUUUCAUUUUAUUAUAUACUCUUAUUUUAAUUCUUUUUCUUAUCUAAUGCAUUAGUAUAUAUUUUUAUGUUAAUUCAAUAUUAUCUAUACAUUUUUAAUGAGUUUAUUUUUAUAAUACAUUUUUCUUAAAAUGUUUAUUUAUAUAUACUUUUGUGCUUUAAAUUUUAUAUAACACUAUUAUAUAUAUAUAUAUAUAUAUAAUUUGUAUUAAGUUUUUUUAUUAUUAUUAUACAUAUAUAUACCAAAUAUAUCAUCGAUUUCAUAUUUACGUAUUUUUUUUUACUUAUUUCAUAUAUAAUCUAUUUCAUUUAAAACUUUACUUUAUUAUAUACUUGAUUUAUAUCAACCUUUUAUAUAUAUUAUUAUACAUAUAUUAAUAUUAUUAUAAGAAAUUUUCCAACCCAUAUGUAAUAUUUAUUUAAAUUAAUAUGUAUAUAUUAUUUCAUGUAUUUCAAUUUUCUUCAUAUACAAUAUUCACUUUAAAAUUCAUUUUAAUAUUAUUUUUCUCAUAGUAUUUAUUUUUUAUCUUCAUUUUUGGCUUAUUUCAAACUCAUAUAUGUAUAUUGUUUAUUUUAAAAUUUUACACAUAUAACUCAUUUUUUGUAUUGAUAAUUUUAAAUUUCCUUUUGUGUAUGUUUUUAUUAUUUAUUCUAAAACUUUUUACAUUUUAUUUGAGUAAUUUUAAAUAUUAAUGUUGAUAUUUACGUGUGAUGUAAGAUUAUUGCCCUCAUGUGUAUUGUAUUGCUUAUUUGUAUUAAUUGAUUAUUUGUAUUCAUUAGUAUACAUUUUGGCUUACGAAUUAUCAUUGAUCUUCCUUAUAAUACGUAAAGAACGUGAGUGUCAUGUGUGACCUAUAUUCAUUUAUUUUAUUGCAUAAAAUUCAAGGCAUGUAUGUUGAAUAAUUUUAUCCAAGAAGCAUAUUUUCUACAAAACUUUAAUCGGUUGUCAUUAAAUAUGUCAUUUUCUAUUAACUGCAAGAAAACUAUUCCCUAAACUGCAUCUUCUUCUUUAGAUGAAAUUUUGUAAAAAAAAAAUGACAUUAUCAUUUAUAUGGUCCUUCAAUUUUAUUUAAAAAAAUGUCAUUUUAACUCUCCAUUUAAUUUUUCGCCUCUUUGAGCUUUUAAAUUUGCGUUAUUUAUCAAAUAAUCCCAAAUAGAUGAAAAAGUUAACAUUUGUUAACUGUAUUGACGAGACAUACGUAUCGAUAUCAUAUAAAUAAUUAAUUGAUUUUAAAAAUUUUAAAAACAAAACAUAUAUUGAGGAAAUUUGGAAGCAUUGCAGAAGAAUGUCCAAUAAUUCCACACAAAUUAACAACAAUAUAAACUCAACAUUUUAGUUAUUGUCUAUUGUCCAAUUCACUUUUUUUUCAUUUUCCCAAAACUUAUUUCACUCUUAGCUUUAUUUUUAAAAAAAAGUUAUUUUAGCCCUUAAUUUAAUUUUUUAUCUUUUUUAGCCCUUAAAUCUACAUUGUUUAUCAAAUAACCCUUAAACUUAUAUUGUUUAUCAGGUGAAAAAAUUAAUAUCUAUUAACUUUGCUAACUUGCAUACAUAUGCAACUUCAUUUAAAUCUAAAAAAAUAUAAAAAUAAUUAAAUAUGUAUAAAUCUAAAAAUAUCUUAAAAUUAAAACUAAAUUUUUUUAAACUAAUGCAAAUUUUUAUUAUUUAAAAAAUCUUAAAAUUUUUAAAUUAAAUUCCUUUUGUUUUCCACUGUUGAAGAACUCCUUCAAUCACAUCAACAACUUCCUGCUGUUUUGCAAAUUUAUCUUGUUUUAUUUAUUUCUAAACCCAUAUUUCUUUUCUAUAACUCCAAUUAUUAGAUUGUUUAGGGUUUUGAGUAAUUUUCGAUUUUGGAAUUUUAGAUUUUUUAAAUUUAAAUACGAAGUGCUCUUCUUCUCCAAACCCAUAAUUUUUUCUGUCAAAUUUCAACUCAAGGUUUUACUUUCAACUAUAAAUAAAACAUAUAUUAUAUUUAUAAUGAUCUAAGAGUAGUAGAGUCAAUGCCGAUCUACAUGAAAAGGAGGGAAAAAAACAUAUAUUAUAUUUAUAAUGAUCUAAGAAUAGUAGAAUUAAAGUGAAUGGGUUUUUAAUAUUUUUUUGUGAAAGUUCAAAGACUGAUUAUUUAUGAGUUUGGAUGUGUAAAUAUUAGUUGGAAAAUUUUUUUCUUGCGCCAGUUGAUUUUUUCUAUAAAAUUUGUAUUUAUUUUAAAGAUUUUUAAAUUUUGUUACAAUUAUUUUUAUGAAAAUUUGGAAAUAUAAAAAUACUUUUUGAACUAUAAUUCAAGGAUCAAAUUAGGUAUUAAUCAUUUUACAGAUCAUAGACUAAAUUGCUUUAUUAUUAUUAUUAUUAUUAUUAUUAUUAUUAUUAUUAUUAUUAACACCACUUCCUUUUUAUUAAUUAAGGAAUUUUAAUCAAACAAGGAUAUGAAUCAGAAUUAAUAUAAACUUACCAUUUCAACAUUUCAUAAGCAAAAGCUAAAAUAAUAUUUGUCACAUCCCAUAUGUUCAUAUAUAACCUAUAAGACAAAAGUUAAAACAGCCUUCAGUUCAUCUACAUUCCACGUCAAAUCUGCAAGCAUAAAUUGACAUAAAUUGAGACAUUUUAUUCUCCUUUCUCCUUUACUGAGCAGUAGCAAAGAUUAUCGAGACUAAAUUGAAAUCCAUGAAAGAAGACAUAAACAGCACCACCAUACAAAAUGUUACACUCAAACAAACCAUUACAGAUUGUACGAAAUGCAAUGAAAGACACAGGAAUUGGUACAAUAAUAAAGACAGACACAUACCAAUGCAACCCUUCACCAUAGGCAAAACGGUCUACAGAACAAUAAAUUAUGAAAAUACAACACUCAUUCUUGAACAUCAUUUGCAGUAAUUAGAUCCUUCUUUGUCUAGUGCUUCGAUUGCCUUUCUUUGACUUUCUUCUUCGCCUCUUCUCCUGCUGGUUUUCAACCAAAUUCACCAACCAUUUCGGCUUACCAGUUUGGAAAACAACAUAUCCCACGGACAUUCCAAACACCACUCCGCAUCCAUAACCUAUCAACACCACUUUCCAACCAAAAGCAAUGUUCGAUUUUGAGCCAUCUUUUUCAAGCACAUUUGGAGGUGCUGGCUCAAUGAUGUUGCAACCUUUCGAAACCGGAAACCCACAUAGUCCCUUAUUCCCUUCAUAUGAAUCAUUUCCAAAUGUGUUGAAUUGUUUUCCUUGAGGAAUCUGACCAUGGAGUUGAUUUUCAGAAACAUUGAAGGACGAAAGAAAUGGCAGAUCUGCCAAUCUAUUUGGAAUCGUCCCAGACAACCUGUUUGAAGAUAGGUCCAACCAUUCAAGACUUGUCAAAUUCCCUAUUGAGGUUGGGAUACAACCAUUAAGGUUAUUAUGAGAAAGGUUGAGCCCUUUCAGUAAGUUGAGCUUCCCAAAAACCUCUGGAAUACCCCCUUCAAACUGAUUGUUUGAUAGAUCAAUGAUCAUCCACAUGGUGAAAAUUUUCACCAAUUCCGUCUCUUGUCCUCUCAUAACAAUUCCAAUGGAAUAGGUAUAGAAGCCACUUGUAUGAUCUUCCACACCCAUGUAUGGCCUUGCACUAGCAUUUUUCUUGAGAUUUAUGAUAGCAUUGAAGCUGUUGAUGUAUCUCACUGGUAGGGGUCCAGAAAAAUAAUUGCUUGAGAGGUCAAAAAUUUGGAUUUUAGAGAAAAAAGGGCUAGACUUGGAGCUAUUGACACGCAAGGAACCAUGCAUAUGAUUUGACUUCAAUACAAGAACUUGUAGCUGUGGAAGACUUCCCAACCAAUGAGGAAAUGUAUCAUUGAUCUUGUUGUUACCAAGAUCUAGCACUUCCAGAUCAUUACAAUUAAGGAUGGAUGGUGUCAAAGGCCCUUCUAACAGAUUUCCAUUUAAGUUGAAAUUACUCAAUUGGCAUCCCUCUGCAAAUGUUGGAGGAAUCGUCCCAUAGAACUUGUUCUUCCUCAGAUUCAAGAAUUGAAGGCUGUUGCUCAAAUUUCCAAAACAUUGCGGAAUUGUUCCACUCAAGUAAUUGUGGGACAAAUCAAGAAUUUGAAGAGAACUGGCAUUGCAUAUUAAAGAAGAGACCUCUCCAUUGAAACUGUUAUUUGAGAUCAAAAAGACAUUGAUGGUCGAAGCUGGAGUCGGAAGAUUUCCACUGAUCAAAUUGGAGCUUAAGUCAAGAAAUUCAAUAUUCUUCCAUGGAAAGUGCUCAACUUCUGUCAAAGAGUUGUGAGAUACGUUUAAGUAAGUCAAAGAGUCAUUCCCCACCUCUUGCAUCCACUGUGGAAUCUUGCCUUCAAUUUUGUUGCAAGAGAGGUCUAACCUUUCCAAACUUUUAAGCCCUUUUAAAAACUGGGGGAAUUCACUAAGAUUGCAAGAUGACAAAUAUAAGUAUCUAAGAUUAACAGUAGAAGUAGUAUUAGAUGUUAAGGAUAGGCUGUUAUAUGAAAGGUUGAGAUAUUCGAGAUUUGGAAGGUUUGAGAACAUACGAAACUCUAUCACACCACUAAGAUUAUUUGAGGAUAAGCUGAGUUGGGUAAGACUGAGAAGUUGGAAUAUUGAAGAUGGAAGAGGACCUUGGAGUUUAUUAUUCUCUAAGCGUAUCAAUUCUAGUGAUUUGGAUUGGAAUUCUUUGAUAUGCCCACUGAAUUGAUUUUGAAAGAGAUAUAUAUACUUUAAGGAGGGAGCAGUAUACAACCAUGACGGAAGUGUUCCAUUGAGUAAAUUGUCAGAUAAGCCAAAAUAUAUUAGAUUAGGAAAAGCGGUUACCUCAUCUGGAAUGGAACCUUCUAAUGAAUUUUCAGAUAUUCUCAAGUCUUCCAACUGCGUUAGGUUUAGAAUUGACGAUGGAAUUUGUCCACUCAAUUGGUUCUGCGACAAGUCUAACUGAGUGAGUUGCAGCAGGUUCCCUAAUGAUCUUGGAAUUUUUCGACUCAAUUGGUUCUCCGACAAGUCUAAAUAAGUGAGUUGCAAGAGGUUCCCCAAUGAUCUUGGAAUUUGUCCACUCAAUUGGUUCAGCGACAAGCGUAAAUGAAUGAGUUGCAAGAGGUUCCCCAAUGAUCUUGGAAUUUGUCCACUCAAUUGGUUCUGCACCAAGUAUAAAUGAGUGAGUUGCAAGAGGUUUCCCAAUGAUCUUGGAAUUUGUCCACUCAAUUGGUUCCCUGACAAGUCUAAAUGAGUGACUUGCAAGAGGUUCCCCAAUGAUCUUGGAAUUUGUCCACUCAAUUGGUUCUCUGACAAGUCUAAAUGAGUGAGUUGCAAGAGGUUCCCCAAUGAUCUUGGAAUUUGUCCACUCAAUUGGUUCCACCUCAAGUCUAAAUGAGUGAGUUGCAAGAGGUUCCCCAGUGAUCUUGGAACCGUUCCUGAUAGGUUGGAAUCAGAGAGAUCUAAAAACUUCAAGGACACAAGAUUCCCCAUCGAGUCAGGCAAUACUCCAGAAACAUUUGCGCCUGAAAUUAUCAAUUGCUCCAAAGAUGAUAAAUUUGUGAUUGAGACAGACAAUCCUUGAAAGAAAGAAUUUCGUGAUAGAUCUAAGUACUUUAAGGCCUGUAGAUUAUCAACUGAAUCAAUGAAUUCUGUAGAGAAGGACAUGGACGACAGAUCCAAAUGUUCAAUAUUGCUGCUCCGAUUGAACUUCAAAGGAUCAAGAUUGAGGUUUUGGUUGCCUCCCAAGUUGAGGAGAUUGAGGUUUGGCAAAUCAAAUAUGUUAUUUGGGAAUUUUCCUUGCAAAUCACAACCAGCAAGACUGAGAGACCUUAGAGAAGAGGAUAGAUUCAUGAAGACAACAUGUUGACUCCAUCCAAAACUAGAUGUCUGACCUCGGUUAGGUUGUAAACAAGUCCCUCCAGAGCAUGUUUGUCUCCUACAAACCUUGUAUUGGAAAGGUUGAGGUAGAAUAGGCUUGUAAACCGACCAAACUCGGAUGGAAUUUUGGAAAGAUUAAAAUGAUUGUAGGCAAGGUUGAGUUUUUGAAGGUGAGGAAGAAGGAAGAGAGUGGUAUUGGAAGGGAAGUUGCCAUAUAGCCAACUGCAGCUCAAGUCAAGGGCAAUAACAUGAGCAUUUAGGUGGUUACAAGUGACCCCAUCCCAUGAGCAGCAAUCUGUACCAUCCUUCCAUGAAUUUGUCUUGGGAUAAGAUUUAAGGCCAGCAAUCUCAUCGCAAGACAAAUAAGCAGCCUUUGUCUGAUUGAUGGAAAAAGAGUUCUUGAACUGGAUUAGUGAAGAGCAGGAGUGAGAUCCUGAAGAAGAAAAAGAAGCAUAAAGAUGGGGAAAGAAGAGAAAUAGGCAGAGAAAGAGGUAGGAGGCCAUGUUAUGUUGGUAGAGGAAGAUGAAGGAUAGGAAUGGUAUUUAUAGGCAACAAAUAAUACCACAACAUUGGUGUUACAGUCUUUUUUUAUUUUACAUUGAAAAGCUAUGGAUAUUAGAUUUUUAAAAUUUUUGUAUUUUUCACAAUCAUCAACAACCACUUAGUCUCCUCUUUACCAUAUAUUUUUCAUUCUUAAAAUUGGAUGCUUUUCUUUUGGCAAAAUCUUGUAUUUCAUUUGAACUAAAAUAUAAGAUUAAGAUUAAUAAGAUUACAAAGUGAUUGACUUAGUCUUCUUCCCUAUAACACAUAAAAAAUAUGUGUCUCUAAUCACUUGUCUGUCAACCAAAGCAAAUUAAUGUGGAAAUACUUUUCCACACAAAAGAACAAAUUUGUGCUCUAUCCACUACGUUUGAGGAAGAAGACUGCUAGAAAUUUAAUCCACCAAUUCCAUAAAAACGUGUAUACAUAUAUAUAUAUUUAUAACCUCAUAAUUCAAAUCUAAAAUCUCAUUUGUUAUAAAUUCUGAUAAAUUUAUUUGGGAAUAGUUAUUUUUCAUUCGUUAAUUAUUUCUCUUUUAAUCAAGUAAAAAAAUUAAAAUUAAAAAGACAUAAUGAUUUAUUUGGCAUUUUUUAACUUUACAAACAAAAAGUCAUUUUAGUGAUCAACAAUUAUCAUGUUGUUAGUGAUCAACAACUACUUCCUUUUUACCAUAUAUUUUUCAUUCAUAAAAUUGAUUACUUCUUUUUACCAAAGAAGUAAAAUAAUUAACAUUCCUGAGAUUACAAAGUCUUCUUCCUUAUGACACGUCAAGUUUAGCCCCAAAUAAUUUUCCACACAAAAUAAUAAGACUAAGACUAAGACCAUCAAUUGUCUAUUGACUUCACACUAGCUGUUGCUUCCUCCUAUCUCUCUCACCCAAACUUAAUUUACAAGCAAUGUGGAAAUUUUGGACAUUUGGGCCACAAUGUACAAUACUUCCACACCAUUUGCAGUAUUGACUACGUUUACUUGAGGGAAAACAAAGACAUGAAUGCUGGAAAUUUUAACUAGUUUGUACCGUCAAUGGAGCUACGUACCUAAAAGCCAUUUAGGAUAUCAAUUCCUGUAAUUGGAUUAAUCUCGUCGUUGCUGCAAUCUUUUGAUAGUGUAAUCCAAUCUUAAAUAUGUUACUCUGCAAUGCUAUUGUAAAUAGUACUCUUAAAUUUGUCGAUAGAUAUAUAGGUUUGGCACAAAAUUAAGAAUACACAAAGGCAGGUUGAAUUAUUCCAUGUUUGAAUUGAACAUCUGCAACAUAAAUGCAUAUGGCAAAAGGGCUCAAACCAUACCUUAUGUUCAUGAAUUCUCAUCAUCACAUGUUUAUAAAUGCAACUCAAACUUGAAUAAUUGAAUCUUCUGUAAUUCUACAUGUAUUUUUUUUUAUGGUGAGCAGUAUAAUGUUUACUAAAAAUUGAAAUUCAAGAAAGAAGAUAUACAUAGUUGCACCAUACAAGAUGUUACACUCGAACUAAACCCUUACAAAUAGUACGAAAUGCAAUGAAAUACAGAGGAAUUGGUACAAUCAUAAAGACAGACACAUACCAAUGCAACUUUUCACUAUAGGAAAAACUUUCUGACAGACUACUAAACAAGAAAUUAUGAAGACACAGCACAAAUGCUUUAACUUCAUUUGCACCAACUAGAUCCUUCUUCAUCCAUUGAUGCGAUUGCUAAAUUUUGGCUUUCUUCUUCGCCUCCUCAUGUUGGUCUUCAACCAAAUUCACAAACCUUUUCACCUUACCGGUUUGGAAAACAACACAUCCCAUGGCCAUUCCAAACACCACCCCGCAUCCAUAACCUAUCAACACCACUUUCCAACCAAAAGCAAUGUUUGCUUUUGAGCCAUCCUUUUCCAGCACAUUUGGAGGUGGUGUCUCAUUGAUGCCUCUGUUUCCUUCAUAUGAAUUGUUUCCAAAUGUAUUGAAAAUCUGACCAUGGAGUUGAUUUUCAGAAACGUUUAAGAAGGAAAGAAAUGCCGGAUCUGCCAAUAUCUCUGGAAUUAACUCAGUUCAAAAGACUAUAUAACUCGUAAAGUUUGGUCGAAGACUGGCAGCGUCUAUUGACUUCAACUCUUGGUAUUACCUCAAGAAGAAAGACUGCUACAAUUCUAUCUUCUUUAAACCAGCUAUUUAAAAGCAAUAAGGACAUUAGAUCCACCAAUUUAUGUUUGAAUUCAUUCAUCGUGCAGCUCUGCUAUGUACUAUUAUUGGCAAAAAUCUUGAAAGGAGACAACCUCAAAUUUGAAGACAAGAAAUGAGCAAGAACAUGCACCAACAAAGAAUCGAUUAUUGUUUUGCAUUUGGUAAAUACAAUUUGAGUUAAAUAAUCAAGAAUGGUAGUGAAUAAAUAAGAAAAAACAAUGUAGAUUCAGAACCACAAUAAAUCAUAUUAAGCUCGUGAGUUUAAAAUACAUAUCUCUGAAGCUUGAUUGUCUUGUUAGUUAUAAACAUAACCUGUUAAUUCCAUCAUUAAUACCAUUAGAUAUAUUUUGAUCGGGGAGAUUUUUUAGUAGGAAAACAGUUGAAGCCAUUCAAGAAGACAUAAACAGCUGCAACCAUGCAAGAGUUUAACUUUGAGAAUAGAUCCUUACACGUUAUUGAAAUACCAUACUAAAGAUAAAGACAUAUAGCUAAAAGUUAGACACACCAUAAAAAUAUAUAUUUGAAAAUACAACAGAAAUUCUUGAACAUCAUUUGCUCUGCCUAAUCCUUCUUCCUCUAUUGCUGCGAUUCCCGGUCAUUGGCUCUCUUCUCUGCCUCUUCUGAAUAUGAUCUUCAACCAAACUCACAAUCCACUUUGGCUUACCAGUUUGAAAAACAACAUAUCCCACGCCCAAUCCUAACACCACUCCACAUCCAUAACCCAAUAACACUACUUUCCACCCAAAAUCAAUGUUUGAUUUUGAUCCACCUUCUUCAGAUAAGUUUGAAGGUGGUGGUAGCUCAUUAUUGUUGCAAUCACUUGACAAUGGAAAACCAUGUAAUCCUUUGUUGCCUUCAUAGGAAGCAUUUCCAAAGGUAUUGAAUUGUUUUCCUUGAGGGAUGCACCCAACCAAUUCAUUCAUUGAAAGGUUUAACAUAGAAAGAGCCAUCAAAUUUAGCAGUUCUCUUGGAAUCCUUCCGACCAGCUUGUUUGAAGAGAGGUCUAGCCAUUCAAGGUUGGUCAAACUCCCUAUUGAUGUGGGAAUGUUACCACUAAGGUUAUUAUGAGAAAGGUUUAGCCCUUUGAGUGAUCUAAGCUUUCCAAUAACCUAGGGAAUCUCCCCAUCAAACUUAUUAUUUGAGAGAUCAAUGAUCGCCCACAUGAAGGAAAUUUUAUUCAAUGGUAUAUCUUGUCCUUUUAUCACAAUUCCAAUGGAAUAGCUAUAAAUGCCACCACUACCAUUAACAUCCUGCACACCCAUGUAUGUCAUCGUACUUGCAUCUUUAGUGAGAUUUAUGAUAGCCUUGAAGCUGUUGAUGUAUCUCAGAGGUAGGGAUCCAGAAAAAUAAUUACUUGAAAGGUCAAAAUUUUGGAUUUUAGAUAAACAAGCAUUGGACUUGGAGCUAUGGUCAUGCAAGGAACCAUGCAUUUGAUUUGACUUUUAGUACAAGAACUUGUAGCCGUGGAAGACUUCCCUACCAAUGAGGAAAUGUAUCAUUGAUCUUGUUCCCAAGAUCUAGCACUUCCAAAGACCUACAAUUGAGGAUGGAUGGUGACAAAGGCCCUUCAAAUUGAUUUCCCUUUUGAGUUGAGAUUACUCAAUUGGCAUCCCUUUGCAAAUGUUGGAGGAACCAAUCCAUAAAACUUGUUCUUCUUUAGAUUCAAAAAUUCAAGGUUGUUGCUCAAAUUUCCAAAACAUUGUAGAAUAGUUCCACUCAAUUUAUUGUGGGACAAGUCAAGAAUUUGGAGAGCACUCACAUUGCCUAUCAAAGUGUUGACACCAUUUUUUAAUGAAAAACGGGGUCAACUUUGGUUUUGACGAAAACGAAAUCGAAUGUGGGAGUCGCCACCAACUCUUUUUGAUAAGGUGUGAUUGGGUCACCUUGAAAAGAUGGUUGUUUUUAAUAAACAAUUUAAUUUUAAUAAACAACGAGUUUGGUCCACGAAAUUCAGAGAACGGGUUCGGGAGUCGGUUACGUACGAGGAAGGAUUAGCACCCUCGUAACGCCCAAAAAUUGGUACCUAGUUGAUUAGCUAAUGUCUUGAUGUCGAAAAUUGAAAACUUGGAAGAAUUAAAAAAAUGCGAUCCUUCUUUUGAAAGAAAAUUUAUAAAAAUCGAGCUGCUCAUUAAGACUUUUUCAUUUCAGAAAGAGAAAAUGUCACACCCAAUGCGUUAGGGUACGAUAUCUUACCUCUUCAGAAAUGAGCAAGUCUAAACUUACAUAGAAAAAUUUAAAAGAGUGUUUGAUUGUUUAAGUCAUAUGAAAAAAUUGCAACCCAAUACGUUAGGGUACAAUUUCUUCAAAUGUUAAACAUUGAAUAUUGCAUUUAUUUUGAAAAAUCCUCGUCUCGAGAAAUCAACGUAUCAUGUCCAAUGCAUUAGGACACGACGUAUUAAAUUCUCGGUAAUGAGUUUUUAUUUAUGUCUUUUUUUAAAAAGAGUAACCUCAAUUAUUUAGAUUCAGCGAAGAAAAUCGAAACCCAAUACGUUAAGGCUCGAUUCUUUCGAGGAUCUCAAAUACCGAGUGUUACUUUUAUUUUGAAAUUUUCCAUUUUUUUUUGAUAAAUCCAAGUAAAAGUAAGUGUAAAAUAACAAUAAUGAUACAAUGUAAAUAAAAUGAAACAAAUAAACAAUAAACAAUAAACAAUAAAUAAAAUGAAAUGAAACAAAUAAACAAUAAACAAUAAAAAAUAAUCAUACGGGCAAAAUAACAAAUAAUAAGAAACUAAAGUAGGAAAAUAAACAAUAAUAGACAUGCAAAUAAAUAAAUGAACCAUAUUUAACAAAAAUCAUAUAAUUAUGGAAGAUAUAUAAACAUAUACACGUAUAAAAUGAUGAAACUACGAGAAACAUGUGCAUGUAUACAUCUUUUUUAAAACUACUAUGCAUGAAGAAUUAUAUAAGUGUAUGUACAUGCAUAUUUAUGUAGCAAACAUCAAAUAUAAAAAGCAUAUAUUGGUACGUAUACGAGUCAUAAAAUAAAGAGUAUAUACAAGAUAUGUAUUUUAAAAAUAUAAAGGGUAAGUAAAUAUAUAUAUAUAUAUGUAUGUAUAUUUAUGCAAAUGAAAUAUAUAUAUAUAUAUAAACGUGAAUGUAUGCAGGUAGGUAUAACUAUUAUAAAAAUAUGAAAAUAUAUGUGCACGUAUAAGAAAAACAUAUAUACGAAUUAUAUAAAAAAAAGUAAGAUAAAAAGAUAAUAUAUACACAUAAAAAUAUAUAUAUGAGUAUGUAUUUACACAUUUGUGAGAAAAAUAUAGAUAUAAGUGUAUAUAGGUAUGUAUAUAAAACAUGAGUAUUCACAUAUAUUAAAUAAAUUAAAAUAUAUAUAUAUGUAUAAACAAUUAUAUAAUAAUAAUAUAAUAAACACAUAUAUCUAGAAUCUAUAUAUGUAAAUAUAAGCGAAAACAUAACAAUAAUAACAAUAAUAUUAAUAAUAAUACUAACAAUAAUAGUGAGGAUAACAAUAAUAAUAAUAAUAAUGAAAGUAAUGUACGAAAUAAUAAAAUUACUAAAAAAGGGAUUGAAUCAAAAUAUAAACAAAAAUACAGGGCGAAUUCGGAAAAAAAAAGACUAAAUCACUACACGCGCUAAAAGAGGGGGGACCAAAAAAGAAAAUAAACUAUAGCCCCAAAACGCUACGCUGUAAUGGACCGAAUUGAGAGAAAAAUAAAACUUUUUGGCCAAAUUAAAAAAUAAAAGAAAAUAGCGAAAAGGGCAAAAUUGCGACGCGCUUCAAAGUUAGAGGGACUGCGCACUCAAAUAAUCUAUUCGAAGAAAACACGUGGAUCCUCCCCCUUGGGUCGGGUCACCGCGCGGGUCAGAGACCAAAACGACGUCGUUUUUGGUCUCUGAACCCUAAGCCCAAACGGCGCCAUUUUGAAAAUCUUAUUUAAAUUAAUUUUUCAACAAAAAAUUUCAUUUAACAGUAAAAAAUAAAAAAAUGGCCUUUCUCUGUUUUUUUUUUAAAAGACGAUGCUCCCCUCUCCCCCCUUUAGUGCAGCUCUAGCGAACCCCAAGGGGUUUUUACAGCCCUGGCGCACGGAGAGGCACAUUGACGGCGGCACGUCGCUAACAAAGGUAUCCUUUUUCACUCUUUUUUUGUUUUUAAUGAGAUAAAAUCUAAAUGAAUAAUAAAAAGAACUUGCAAAAAGAAAAAAAAAGAAACAGAAAAAUAGAAUGGCCAAAAUCACCUUGAAUCUGUUUAUUUUUGUUUUCUUUUUUGCUACUAUUUGUUUUUGUGUUACAUAAAUCGCUAGCUAAAGAAGAGAAAAGAGUUACAUAUUCGGCUUUUAUAACCGAUUUUUUUCUUUUUGUUUGUUGUUGUUGCUUCUUUUUCUUGCUUGUUUCUCUCUUUGCAGGUAACUGGCGGCGCAAGUGGUGGUGGUGACGUGACUGUGGCGGUGGCGACGUGACCAUGGCGGUGGCAGGGCUAGGGCGGCGCCUGUUGGUCAGAAGACCCUAGGUGCGACGCACCUAGGGUUUGUUUUUUUCUGAUUUGGGUUUUUGGGCCUGGGGUAUUAGGUUAGGUCUAGGUGGGAUUGGGUAGCUGGGUAAGGUUUGUAAUUGGGCCUUAGGUUUGGGUUUUGUUUUUGUUUGGGUUAAGGGUUAGUUGGGUCUUGGGUAGGUUUAGGUUGUUUUGGGUUCUUGGGCCCAGGUUUAAAAUUGGGCUUGUACAGCUGCCCCUUUUUGCUCGUUGUCGUGUAACGAUAACAGAGCAAAGACUAAGAAAGACCAAUUUUUUCCCGGUCUUAUCGAGGAAAUAAGAUUCGUCGUUGCGGCUUCAAUCUUUUAGUUGCAAUGUCAGAAAAGCAAGAUUUGCCAUCGUAGCUUCAAUCUGUUCCACUGUAUCGUCAGGGAGGUGAGAUUCACUGUUGUAGCUUCAAUCUAUUUGACUGCAAUGUCGGGGAAGGAAGAUUCGUCGUUGUAGCAUAAAUCUGUUCUGCUGCAUCGCCUGGGAAGUAAGAUUCGUCGUUGUGGCUUCAAUAUUUUAAAUUGCAAUGUUGGGGAAGCAAGAUUCGCCGUCGUAGCUUCAAUCUGUUCCGCUGCAUCGCCUGGAAAGUAAGAUUCACCGUUGUGGCUUCAAUCUUUUAAAUUGCAAUGUUGGGGAAGCAAGAUUCGUCGUCGUAGCUUCAACAUGUUCCGCUGCAUCGCCUGGGAAGUAAGAUUCGCCGUUGUGGCUUCAAUCUUUUAAAUUGCAAUGUUGGGGAAGCAAGAUUCGCCGUCGUAGCUUCAAUCUGUUCUGCUGCAUCGCCUGGGAAUUAAGAUUCGCCGUUGUGGCUUCAAUCUUUUAAAUUGCAAUGUCGGGUAAGCAAGAUUCACCGUCGUAGCUUCAAUCUGUUCCGCUGCAUCGCUUGAGAAGUAAGAUUCACCGUUGUGGCUUUAAUUUUUUAAAUUGCAAUGUAUAGUUUCUUCGAUCUGCUUCGCUGUCAACUCAGGAAGGCAAGACAUGCCAUCUUCAUUGAUCUGUUCUUUGGGGAACAUGACCUAUAUGAACCUAUUUAUGCCUAGUGAUCAUGAUCGAAAUGAAUAAAAAUAUCCUGGCUAAAUGUGUAUGCAUGAAUGCAAAAUGAAAAUGAUCUUUCAAUGUUUGAGUUGUUAUUGCCCAUUGCUCAGUAAGGCUUUAUUACCAAGGCGUCCGAAUGUUAUCUAGUUCGGUUGGUAAUGCUCAUCUCUUACUUGGUCGGAUUACCCCACUAUAAUCUUCAAAGUUCAACUCGGAUUACCCUUUUACCUACACCAUUUCCAGGGUGUCGCGCCAAAAUUUUACGCAUAAUUGCAAAAUUUUCUCUUCCGAGAAACCUCUUCUUAUCAUUCAUUGCUUGUUUGUUCAUUGAAGCUUUGUCACCAAUAUAACAUCUUGUCAUUUUGUUUGGACAACAAAGUUUGAAAGGAUAGUCCUAACUUAGACUUUUCCCUUUUAGACACUUUAAAUUUGGUGUGUUCUAAACAACGGUCCUGUUUCAGGUUCCUUAAUUAUUUAGAAAUUUCUAAAGUAAUAUACAAAACUCCUUUUGUUUGAACAUUCAGUCCAUUAAUUGUUAUUUCAAAUGUUUGAAAAAGAUUAUCACAAUGGACAAACAAAAUAUUAUUGAGAACAAAUCUCGAAAUGAAUAAGUUAAUCAAGAUAUUAAAUGUUGUUAAGAUAAAAUGAAAAAAGAUAAUAAACAAGAUGGAACUUUAUUGGGAGCAAAGCUUGAAACAAAUACAUUAAUCAAGACAACAAAUUUUGCCAAGAUUCAAAAUAGAUAAGAUGACGACAGGUGCCCCAGAUAUCGCAGUACGAGCUUCCCUGCAUAAGCUUUCUAAAGACCAUUCUGAAUAUAAUAUGCGUUUAGGGAAUCUACAGUACUUUGUUGAUGCCCCAAGAUGUUACCUACUCUUUCUUGUUGAUUCAGGUAUAGCGAGACCAUCACAUGCCCCAGAUCUUAAUCAAUGUUUGAACUAUUUUGUUCACUUCAUGCCUUUAUCAAAAUUUGAGCCACCUUUUUUAAGAUUUCAACUCAAAUCCCCUUUGGUCUCAAGGCGCCCUUUAUGGGUUUUCACAUUGGUCUCUCCCUUUUUUUUUCAACUUUAAAGUGCCAUUUACAGGUUUUCACUUUGACCCUCCUUCUUCAAGUGAAAUAUUUCUUGACUAAAUUUGAGUUUACAGGAUUUGGCAGGCUUUUACCAUCCAUCUCGCUCAAGAUUAAAGCUCCUCCAGAAAACACCUUCUUUACCACAUAAAGACCUUCCCAAUUUGGCAUCCAUUUUCCUCUAAAAUCCUUUUGUAGAUGAAGAAUCUUUUUCAAAACCAAGUCCCCCUCAUGAAAUUCUCUGGAACGAACUUUCUUGUUAUAGGCUCGCAUCAUUCGUUUCUGAUACAUCUGACCGUGACGAAUAACUUUUAACCUCUUUUCUUCUGUCAAGUUUAGAUUGAAUCCAUUCGGCCUCAUCUAACUUUAAUUCAGCUAAUACUCAGAGAGAAGGGAUUUCUACUUCUAUGGGUAAAACUACCUCCAUCCCAUAGACUAAGGAAAACGGUGUUGCCCCAGUCAAGGUUCUAACAGAAGUACGAUAUGCCAAGAGAGCGAAAGAUAAUUUCUCGUGCCAAUCUUUGUAGGUUUCAGUCAUUUUCCCUACAAUUUUCUUGAUAUUUUUGUUAGCUGCUUCCACAGCACCAUUCAUUUUUGCACGGUACGGUGACGAAUUAUGGUGUCUGAUCUUGAACUGACUACAAACUUCCGCUAUUAAGUUGUUGUUCAAGUUCAGCGCAUUAUAGGAUAUGAUUCUUUCAGGCAUCCCGUACCGACAUAUAAUCUCUUUUUCAGAAACCUGCUAACUGCUGAUUUCGUGACAUUAGCAUAUGAAGCAGCCUCCACCCAUUCAGUGAAGUAAUCAAUAACCACAAAGAUAAAACGAUGCCCAUUAGAAGCCUUUGGAGAUAUUGGUCCGAUGACAUCCAUUCCCUACUGCCAUGGAAAAACCAUAACGUAAAGGGGCGAAGGUGGCGCAUGCAUUUUGUCACCAUAAAUUUGGCAUUUAUGGCACCUUUUGGCGUAACUAAUGCAAUCCCCUUCCAUGGUGGACUAAUAAUACCCAAAUCUCAUAAUGUCUGGCCAUCGUCAAGCCGUUAGCAUGCGUUCCACAGAUACCUUCAUGGACUUCUUCCACAAUUUUCUUGGCCUCGACAGCAUCCACACAUCUCAACAAUUGAUCUUUUCCCUUUUUAUACAAAAUCUCUCCAUCUAGGACAUAAUCAAUAGCUAAUCUCCUUAAUGUCCUCUUAUCAUUUUCCGUCGCAUGGGCGAGGUACUCACGACUCUUUACAUAUCGCAAUAUGUCAUGAUACCAGGGGUGAUCAUCCUUUUCCUCUUCAUCGUCAAUGUUGUAACAAUAGGCUGGAGCCUCAUGAAUGUUGAUCUGAAUAGGCUUCAUAUCUUCUGGUUUGUUCACCUUGAUCAUAGACGCUAGAGUGGCCAAAGCAUCAGUCAUAUGGUUUUCGUCUCGUGGGAGAUAACAAAAGGUGACGCUAUCAAACUCCUCAAUCAAUUCUAGAACCAACUUCCAAUAUUGGACUACCUUUAGGUCUCUUGUUUCCCAUUCUCCUUUGAGCUAGUAUAUUACCAUACAGAGUCUCCGUAUAUCUCUAGCACCUUAAUUUUUCGCUCUAUGGCUGCCUGGAUGGCCAUAAUGCAAGCUUCAUACUCAUCCAUGUUAUUGGUGCAAUCAAAGUCCAAUUUGCUAGUGAAAGGAUAAUGAUCUCCACUAGAGGACACGAGGACUGCCCCAAUUCCAUUGCCUAUAGCAUUUGAAGCUCCGUCGAAGCUUAGCUUCCAAGGGUGAUUUUCGUGGGAAUCCUCUUCAGCGGUUGCAAAAUACAUCAAAUCUUCAUUCGGGAAAUCAAAAUUCAGAGGUUCAUAGUCUUCUAAAGCUCUGCUGGCCAAAAAUUUUGCUAUCGCGCUUCCUUUAACGGCCUUCUGAUUUACAUAGACUAUAUCAAAUUCGGAGAGUAGAAUCUGCCACCUAGUCAUCCUCUCAUUCAACGCAGUAGACUCCAUCAUAUACUUUAAAGGGUCUAACUUUGAAAUUAACCAAGUCGUAUGAUAGAGCAUGUAUUGUCUCAAUCUUCUUGUCGUCCAGACCAGAGCACAACAUAAUUUUUCAAUAGGUGAAUACCUCAUUUCACAUUCAGUAAAUUUCUUACUAAGAUACUAGAUUGCCUUCAAUUUCUUUCUCAUCUCAUCAUGUUGACCAAGCACACAUCCCAUGGAAUUGUCGAACACUGCUAAAUACAGGAUUAGUGGCUUAUCUGGCCUUGGUGGUGACAAUACUGAAGUGUUGGACAAGUACUGUUUUAUCUUGUCAAAAGCCUCCUAGCAUUUUUCAUUCCACACAUCUGGAUUGUGUUUUUUCAAAAGACAAAAUAUGGGGUCACAUUUUUCAGUCAAUUGGGAAAUAAAUCGAGCAAUAUAAUUCAAUCUUCCUAAGAAACCUCGAACUUCUUUCUGAGUACGUGGUGGAGGCAAAUCUCUAAUUGCCCUGACUUUGUCUGGGUCAAUUUCAAUCCCUUUUUCACUGGCUACAAACCUCAGAAGUUUUCUUGUCCUAGCUCCGAAGAUACAUUUGGCUGGAUUAAGUUUGAGUUGGAACUUUCUUAACCUUAAGAACAACUUUCUUAAUACUCGCACAUGUUCUAUUUCCGUCCGGGAUUUUGUGAUCCUGUCAUCAACAUAGACUUCUAACUCCUUAUGCAUCAUGUCAUGAAAUAAUGCUAUCAUGGUCCUCUGAUACGUUGCCCCUGCAUUUUUUAACCCAAAUGGCAUCACUUUAUAACAAAAGGUCCCUUAUAGGGUUAUGAAUGUAGUUUUCUUCAUAUCUUCAGGAUGCAUCUUAAUUUGUUUAUAUCCAGAGAAACCAUCCAUUAAAGAAAAUAGUGAAUGCCCUGCUGUGUUAUCUACUAGGGCGUCGAUCUGUGGCAAAAGAAAAUUAUCUUUUGGGCUAGCCUUAUUUAAAUCUCUAUAAUCUACACACAUUCGUACUUUCUCAUCUUUCUUAGGAACGGGUACGAUGUUGGCUACCCAUUCGAAGUAUUUAACUACUUGCACAAAUCCAACAUCGAAUUGUUUUUGCACCUCCUCUUUUAUUUUUAAUACAACAUCAGGCCUCAUUCUUCGGAGUUUUUGCUGAACGGGCUUGCAAUCUUCCUUUAUAGAAAGACGGUGAACUACGAUAUCAGUACUUAACCCAUGCAUAUCUUGGUAUGACCAUGCGAAGACAUCUUUGAACUCUCGAAGCAACUCAAUAAGAUCUUGUUUUACUUCUUCAGCUAUGCAUGUGCCAAUCUUCACCGCCUUUCCCUCUUCCAGGAUCACCGUCUCCACCAUCUCCUCGUGAGGUAUAAUUUGUUUCUUUUCCUGCUCUAUCAUCCUCAACAAGUCCGGAGAUAGGUUGCAAUCUAGGUUAUCAUCAAAAUCUUGAGAUUCCUCUAAACACAUAUCUCUUUCAAAAGGAUUUUCUAAGUCCAUAAUAGAGUCACUCAUGCCAUUGAUAUCUUGAGACCUAUUAUAGGUACCAAAGAAUAUACAAUGAACGUAUGAAUUUAAGAAUUCCUAUUUAUAGUAUGAUCAUGAAUUGAUGAAUGAAUAAUUUAGAAUAAAAGCAUCCAAAAUGACUAUUCGUAUGAAAGAAUGAAAAGAAUCUUAAAAGAAUAUAUGCUCAAAAAGAAAUUGGAAAGAUAUAUUUCAUUGAAGUCAAAAUGUUCAAAUAUAAGCCCAUUUCAUUUCACAAAAAGUUUCCAUUUUCUCUAGGCUUAAAAAAAUUAGUAUGUUUUGAAUAUUACUCUAGAAAAGGUCUAAAAACUUCAGGCAUUUCUUCAGCAGUCCAAUUAUUUAGAACACUCCUAGGUUCAAAGGGACAGAUGUCUGAUGUGCUUCCUUCUUCAGAUUCUUCUUCCAAUAUGGCAUUGAUGUUCAGUAUUCCUAACAUUUCCUCCGUGGUCUUCUUUCUUGGAGUCCUCAGUCCAGAAUACAUGGUUCCCCCUAAUACGAAGGUCCUGGAUAUGUGAGGGAAAGUCAUAGGUUCCCAAUCAACUUCUUCUCCAUUCAAACGCGCCUUCCUCCUCUCUUGUCUUUUCUCCGACUCUUUCCUUUUUUGCUUAGUAUUUGGCUUAAAUCCUAAACCACAGCGGUCUCGUUUAUCCUUCACUAUUGGUGCCUCUAUCCUUCCUUGAAUGCAUCUUCCCAGUCCUCUUCUAGGCAUAACUCCUUUCCCAACUGUCAUUUGCAGUCCCAUCCUCGUGGCUCUAGAUAUGCUGGGCGUCGGGAUCUUUUUUCCCUCAACGAUAAAGGUCACAUUUACGAAUUCUAAGGACCGAAAGGAACAUUCGAUUGCCUCAUUAUCCGUUUCCAAAAAUGGUGCGUUACUGGUUACGAUGCAAUGAUGUCUUCCUCAGCGUUAAUCGUAAUUAACCAGCCUUCUGUUACCAAUUUCAACUUCUGGUGCAGUGAUGAAGGCACCUCUCCUGCUGAAUAAAUCUAGGGUCUUCCCAACAAUCAAUUAUACGAAGGCAUGAUAUCCAUCACUAGAAAAUCCACCUCGUACGUAUUCGAGCCAAUCAAGAGAGGUACUUCUAUUCUCUCCAUCACCCUCCUUUCGGUGCCAUCAAAUGCUCUCACUAUAUUCUGACAUGAUUUCGUGUGAGAGCUAUCCACCGAUAACCUAUUUCAAGUGGAUAGGGGUAAAACAUUCAAGGCUGACCCAUUAUCAAUUAGCACACCCGGUAACGUAUAUUCCCCGCAGCGAAUAGUGAUAUGUAAGGCUUUAACGGCUCCUCUUCCCUCCGGCGGUAUUUUAUCAUCAUUAAAGAAAAUGAAAUUGUCGGUACUGAUAUUGUUAACAAAACGGUCCAACUUAUUCACUGAGAUAUCGUUAGCGACAUAAGUUUCAUAUACCGCCUUAAUCAACGCAUUACGAUGUAUCUCUGAACUUAGAAGCAACUCAAGUACCGAGAUACGAGCUGGUUGCUUAUGUAAUUGUUCUACCACGCUGUACUUGCUAUAUUUUAAGAAUUCCAGAAAUUCUCUAGCCUUAUUUUCAGUUACCGGCUGAUUGACAUGCGAUUCAAUUUUGUCUGUUUUUGCUUUUCCCAGCUCAACUGCUAAGGCUUUUCCUUUUCCAGAUUCCACUUUUGCAUUUGCCGGAUCAUAGCGUUUUCCACUUCGUGUAUAGAAUCAUUCAUUCUCUUUUGAAGCGUUUACCAAGCUCUUCUUUCCUGGGAUUGUCACAUUGUAGUUGUAAUUCCAAAGAACUUUUUUGCUAUCCUUAUAAAGAAAGGAUACAGGUUUUUGGAUUAUGACCUUUGGCGCUAUUUGUAUUCCAGAUUCUCUGCUUAUUGGCUUUGAAAUAAUCACCACUAGGUGAUUAGCCUUUUAGGAUUUCCCCGUAGAUCCUUCCUCUGAAGCAUAAACUUCUCCCUCUUCUAGUUCCUUGAUCUCUUCAUAAAACUCCAACUCUUUGUUAUCCAUUAAGUUUUGCACUAUGGUUCUGAACUCGGUGCAUUUUUAGAUGUCGUGGCCUUCUUCUACGUGGAACUUACAAAACUUCCUUGCUGCUUCAGGCCUUUCUAUUGAAUCUUGCUUGAUGAGACAUCCUUCCAUCAUUCGUUUCCAAACCCACUCGAUGGGGGUCUUUAUCUCUGCUACGUUGGCUUUAACUCUCCUUCCUUCAUUCUUAAUUAUCUCGUUCACUUCUUUAUCAUCAUGAUUGGGUAACGGAUUCCUUGCUACGUUCAAUCCUGAUGAGUCGCUAAUCUUUACGAUCCCCAAAUUGAUAAGUUUUUCAACUAACUUCUUGAAUGCAGUGCAGUUCUCAAUCGAGUGCCCCUUAGUCCCCACGUGAUACUCGCAUUGGGCAUUUGCGUCAUACCACUUAGAGUAUGGAGGUUGCAUAGGUUUUAGGUAAAAUGGAGAUACCACAUGUGCAUCGAAUAAGUUCUGGUACAAUUUCCUAUACAUCAUUGGGAUGGGUGUGAAUUGAUGUCUCUCUAUAUUUGGCCUUAGAUUGGAUUCCUAUUUCGAAGAACCUGCUGAUUAGCGGUUACUGCUCUUGGUUGUCCUACCGUGAUUGAUUUAAAAUGGUCUUUGUUAAACAUGAUUGUAUUGUUUGUCUCGUGCUCUUUUUUUGGUACUGUCCUUUUAGUGCUUUCUCCUGCUUCUAUCUUGCCACAUCUUAUGGCGUUCUCUAUCAUUUCUCCAGACAUCACUAUGUCUAAAAAGCUUUUAGUGGCAUUGCCCAACAUGUGAUUGAGAAAUGGAGCUUUCAAAGUAUUGAUAAAAAGCAUGGUUAUCUCUUUCUCUAAAAGUGGUGGUUGAACUUGCGCUGCCACCUCCCUCCAUCUCUAAGCAUACUGUCGGAAGCUCUCAUUAGGAUUCUUUUCCAUGUUUUGCAAUACAAUUCGAUCGGGUGCUAUAUCUAUCACAUUUCUGUACUAUUUUAUAAAGGCCUACGCUAAAUCUUUCCAUGAAUGGAUGUUAGCCCGACUCAAUUGAUUGUACCAUCUAGCCGCUGACCCGAUCAAACUGUCCUGAAAGCAUUGAAUCAAUAGUUGAUCAUUGUUGAUGUACCCGAUCAUUCUUCAGUAAAACAUAGUGAUAUGAGCUUCGGGGCAACUUGUCCAGUUAUACUUCUUAAACUCCGGUAUUUUAAAUUUGGGUGGGAAGACCAAAUCGGGUACCUCAAAUCCUUAGCGUCCAUUCCUCGAUGGUAAUCAGUAUUUUCCAUGGCUUUAAACUUCUCCUCUAGCCAUUUACACUGGUCCUCUAAUUGCUUUGACAGAUCCACUUCGCUUUCUCUACUUCUGCCACGUCAUCGAGAUCAGGAACUAUAAAAUUGAUAGGAUUCUCUCCGGGAUUAGUACUUAUUUCGAUUUGAAAGUUUAUUGGCACUAAAGGACUCGUUUGAGACUGCUGGGGUCUGAUUGUAACAGAGGAUUUAUGUGGGUACAGCUCAGCUUGAGUAUGCGCGUGCGGAGGGGUAAAGCCUGGAGGGUAAAGGGGUUCAUCAUUAUUUCCCUUUUCAACAUUAACCACAGGGUCCAUUCCCAUGUCAUUUCCUCCUUUCAACAACUGUGUUAACCGUGCCAUCGUGUAAUUCUAGGACUCCCGCAUCUUUUCUGUCAUCUCUAACUGAAUUUUUUCCAGCCGCUCUUGUAUUUGAUCUUGCAUAUCCUUUUGGAGUUGUUCAAGUUUUUUUAAUCUUUGAUCCAUGUUCUUUGACUUCGCUCGAGUUUCGUAGGGGUGUCGAUUUUUCAGGUUAAUUGAAAUAGUUUUAUUUAAUUAGGGUCCUUUAAUGGUCGUUAAUGCAUAUAAUGUGAUGCAAUGCAUGAAAUAAAUGUAAAAAGGCGUUAAUUCUAAUUCAAUUUCAUUUUGAAAACUUUACUAGAGAACACACUUCUUUACAUAAAGUGGAUUACAGAUAUGACUUAGCCCUAAUACUCAAAACUCUAAUCUUCCUAAGUACCGAGGCUAACUCCUGUCCUCGACUUGACUCUAAUUCGUACUUCACGCUCAACACAUCAGCUUGUACUGCUAACGUUUGCAGAUGAUCAGCUACCUCCCAGAUUUGAACCACGGCUUCUCCCAUAAUAUGAUCUCUAUCUCUAACUUGGUUCUGAAGGUAGUGCAACUGCUCGGUUUGACGAUCUUCAUUAGCAUCCAAGUACUCAAUCCGAAUCUCGUAACUUCGCAAUGCUGCUUCUAACUCUUCAAUUCUUUCUUUUAUUUCUUCAAUUUUAUUUAAGCUUGCCUUCAAUUCCAUUAUAGAAUUCCGAUUUCGAUGUCGAUGGAGAGAUCCUUCUAAUUCAGUCACUCUGUUUUCUAGUUCCCCUUUUUCCUUUUGGUUCUCUGAUAAACUUUUCUUUAGAGUCUCAUUAUGUGCUUGAACUUAUUGAAACCUCCUUUCCCAUCUAUCAGCCUUGUUUUUUUCUUCUUGAAUCUCCUCGCGCCACUGCUCUGAAGUCUUUCCCAACCCGGCAGUCCUUAUGGAUAAUCGUAACUUCUUGUAAUCUAUUUUUAAACUAUCUAGAUCUUUUUCAACUCUAGCUUUCCCUUUUCUUAAUCGCUCCGCCUCGAGCUUCUGAACAUCUGGAUCUAAUCUUAAGUUCAUCUUUUCUUCCUCCAUUUGCUCUAUCUGCUUUUCCAACUCUACAUUUCUCCUUUCAAAAUCUUGCUUUAAAUUUUCUAGUUCAUAAGGGACGACCCGUAAAUGCUCCUCUAUCGACUGACUGCCUUCGUGCCUUGAUUUGGGGAUAUUAUCAUUGACUCUUCUGACCCUCCAUUCAUCAUACUCAGGAGUCGUCAUUGGUCCUACAGUCAAUUUUUUCAUCCAACAAGUUUGCUUCCAAGCAUUGGUCAUCUCUCGAAUUUUCUUCUUGUAACCAUCUUCCCCGUACGAAAAUUCACACUCAGCUAGUCCCUCGGUUGCGGGUACAAACUGCAUUGACCUAUACUGUCUGAGCACUAACAACGGGGCAUAACCAAUAGCUCCCCAGAUUCUAAAUAGAGAGACCCAAUCAAAAUCACUACAUCGGUACAAAAUUUCAUCCGAAAGUAACCACGGAGCUUUCCACUCAAUGUCAUCCAUUUUUCGCAGACUCUGGAGAAUUGCCAUCCAUUUUUCCAUCGAAAUGUCAUCCCUUCUCGGUGUAACUACUACUUCUUUUAGUGGUGAAUAAUUUUCAGAGAAGACCCGAUAUGAAACCUUAUCAACUUUCCAAAAAUGACUAUGGAACCACACGAGCAAUAGCUGUGCACAUCCAAUGAAUUUACCUUCACUCGCUCUUCGACAGGCAUUUAGAGAUCUGAACGUUUCUGCUAAAAUUGCUGGAACCGGAGUAACUCUCUUAUCAAGACGGUCGAACAAAUCAGUGACUGCUUUAUCAACGUGUCCCAAAGCUCUGGGGAAGAUAACUAAGCCAUAUAUGCUCAAAGAGAAGACAUCUACCAUCUUUUUCACAUCUGAAUGCAUUAGGACCACAUCUUUCAAAUUCCUCCAAGAAAUGUACUUGUUAUCCCCUUUUUGUUUGAUUCAGGCUGUAACCCACUGCUCACUCAUACCUGUUAUGUUCAUCAACUUUUUCAGAAAGGUGGGUGGAUUUACAGCUCUCGAGUAAACUUUGUCGACUUGCAUCUUUGCACACCGAAGUAAAGCCAUAUAUUCUUCUACAAUAGGUACUAAGUCGACUAUUCCGAAUGUAAAACAACUGUAGGAGGGGUUCUAAAAUUGUGCGAGAGCCCGGAACAGGUACUUGUCUACCUUCAUAUCUAGCAAGUACAGCAAAUCCCCAUAAUUAGAAUAGAAAAGGUGUCUGACCUCCUCAUCCCAUUGGUCUCAAAUCUCCUUCAACUCUUGCAAACUGUUCUAGGUUACACUGAUACGGGUGAAGUCCCAUAACUUUGAUAUAUAUCAUUCAGCCAAACUAUCCCCUUUCUCCCGCUGCGUCAUUUUUGACCAAAUUCAGACCGCUAUAUUAUCUUCCACCUUAUCAAGAAACCCCCUUUUCAUGAUAAGCUUUCUUUCUAGAAACUGAAUAUAAACCAACGCCUUGAAAUAAUGAAAUGUCAUGCAGUUGAAAUGUCAUGCAUCCAAAGUAAAAUAGUAAAGAUCAGUAUCAGGUAUAAACAUACAAUCCAAGACAAUUCUGAAAGAAUAAAAGCACAUAUCAUGGUAUCUACUAGGGUUUGGUGUAGUUCUACCUAGGGUAAGUCCCUAAAGUUCAUUACAUGAGGUUUGGCUCUAAAGUAAAGGUACCCAAAGCAGCAGAUCCCUCGAUCUUCACCUAUUGUAGGCUCAUAUAGACCGAGUUCGGUACAGGGGAAUACAUUUUCCUAUGGCAGCACGGAGAUGAAAAUCUCACGAAGACAUAGGUACAAAUGUAUUCCAGAAGCGAUCCACUAUCCUGCACGGAGGUGAAAACCUCACGAAGGAGUAGUUUCACACUCCCACCUAGAAGGGCAUGACCAAAGGUCAUGCAAUGCAAUAUGCAGCAAGAUACCAAAAUUUAAGUCACCACAACAAUUACAACGAUGAGAAUUUUGAUAAAAUGAAUAAAAUGCAAUGAAAGGAUCGUAUAUUUAAAUCAAGUUUUCAAUUUUCAACAAAAAGACAAAAGGUAAUCAACUCGUGGCUUGACUCACUUAUUUUGGAAAAAUCAUACGUCCCCAGUGGAGUCGUCAAGCUGUUGAAACUAUUUUUUGAUGAAAAACGGGGUCAAUUUUGGUUUUAACGAAAACGAAAUUGAAUGUGGGAGUCGCCACCAACCCUUUUUGAUAAGGUGUGAUUGGGUCACCUUUAAAAGAUGGUUGUUUUUAAUAAAAAAUUUAAUUUUAUUAAAGCAACGAGUUUGGUCCACAAAAUUUAAAGAACGGGUUCAGGAGUCAGUUACGUACGAGGAAGGAUUAGCACCCUCAUAACGCCCAAAAAUUGGUACCUAGUUGAUUAGCUAAUGUCUUGAUGUCAAAAAUUGAAAACUUGAAAGAAUUAAAAAAAUACAAUCCUUCUUUUGAAAGAAAAUUUAUAAAAAUCGAGCUGCUCAUUAAGACUUUUUCAUUUCAGAAAGAGAAAAUGUCACACCCAAUGCGUUAGGGUACGAUAUAUUACCUCUUCAGAAAUGAGCAAGUCUAAACUUACAUAGAAAAAUUUAAAAGAGUGUUUGAUUGUUUAAGUCAUAUGAAAAAAUUACAACCCAAUACGUUAGGGUACAAUUUCUUCAAAUGUUAAACAUUGAAUAUUACAUUUAUUUUGAAAAAUCCUCGUCUCGAGAAAUCAACGUAUCAUGUCCAAGUUAGAGAUAGAGAUCAUAUUAUGGGAGAAGCCGUGGUUCAAAUCUGGGAGGUAGCUGAUCAUCUGCAAACAUUAGCAGUACAGGCCAAUGUGUUGAGUGUGAAGUACGAAUUAGAGUCAAGUUAAGGACAGGAGUUAGCCUCGUUACUUAGGAAGAUUAGAGUUUUGAGUAUUAAGGCUAAGUCGUAUCUGUAAUCCACCUUAUGUAAAGAAGUUUAUUUUCUAGUAAAGUUUUCAAAAUGAAAUUGAAUUAGAAUUAAUGCCUUUUUGCAUUCAUUUCAUGCAUUGCAUCACAUUAUAUACAUUAACGACCAUUAAAGGACCCUAAUUAAAUAAAAUUAUUUCAGUUAACCUGGAAAACCGACACCUCUACGGAACUCGAGCGAAAUCAAAGAACAUGGAUCAAAUAUUAGAAAAACUUGAACAGCUCAAAAAGGAUAUGCAAGAUCAAAUACAAUAGCGGCUGGAAAGAAUUCAGCAAGAGAUGAUAGAAAAGAUGCGGGAGUCCCAGAAUUACAUGAUGGCACGGUUAACACAACUGUUGAAAGGAGGAAAUGACAAGGGAAAGGACCCUGUGAUUAAUGAUUAACCCAUUUACCCUCCAAGCUUUACCCCUCCGCACGCACAUACUCAAGCUGAACUUUACCCACACAAAUCUUCUAUUACAAUCAGACCCCAGCAGUCUCAGACGGGUCCUUCAGUGCCAAUGAACUUUCAAAUCGGAGUAGGUACUAAUCCCGGAGAGAAUCCUACCAAUUUCAUGGUUCCUAAUCUCGAUGACGUGGCAAAAGUGGAGAAAGCGAAAGUGGAUCUGUCAAAGCAAUUAGAGGACCGGUGUAAAUGGCUAGAGGAGAAGUUUAAAGUCAUGGAAAAUGCUGAUUACCACCGAGGAAUGGACGCUAAGGAUUUGAGCUUGGUACCCGAUUUGGUCCUCCUUCUCAAAUUUAAAAUACCGGAGUUUGAAAAGUAUAAUGGGACAAGUUUUCCCGAACCUCAUAUCACUAUGUUUUGCCGAAGGAUGACCGGAUACAUCAACAAUGAUCAACUGUUGAUUCAUUACUUUCAAGACAGUUUGAUCGGGUCAGCGACUAGAUGGUACAAUCAAUUGAGUCGAGCCAACAUCUAUUAAUGGAAAGAUUUGGCGCAGGUUUUUAUAAAGCAGUACAGACAUGUGAUGAAUAUACCACCCGAUCGAAUUGUAUUGCAAAACAUAGAAAAGAAGCCUAAUGAGAGCUUCCGACAGUAUGCUCAGAGAUGGAAGGAGGUGGUAGCGCAAGUUCAACCACCACUUUUAGAGAAAAAGAUAAUCAUGCUUUUUAUCAAUACUUUGAAAGCUUCAUUCCUCAAUCACAUGUUGGGUAGUGGCACUAAAAGCUUUUCAGACAUAGUGAUGUCUGGAGAAAUGAUAGAGAACGCCAUAAGAUGUGGCAAGAUAGAAGCAGGAGAAAGCACUAAAAGGUCAGUACCAAGAAAGAAGGAGCACAAGAUAAACAAUGCAAGCAUAUUUAACAAAGACCAUUCUAAAUCAAUCACGGUGGGACAAGCAAGAGCAGUAACCGCUAAUCAGCAAGUUUCUUCGAAACAGGAAUCCAAUCCAAUGCCAAAUAUAGAGAGACCUCAAUUCACACCCAUCCCAAUGGCAUAUAGAGAAUUGUACCAGAACUUAUUCGAUGCAAAUAUGGUAUUUUCAUUUUACCUAAAACCUAUGCAACCUCCAUACCCUAAGUGGCAUGACGCAAACGCCCAAUGCGAGUAUCACGCGGGGACUAAGGGGCACUCGAUUGAGAACUGCACUGCAUUCAAGAAGUUAGUUGAAAAACUUAUCAAUUUGGAGAUCGUAAAGAUUAGCGACUCAUGAGGACCGAACGUAGCAGGGAAUCCGUUAUCCAAUCAUGAUAAUAAAGAGGUGAACGCGAUAAUUGAGAAUGGAGGAAGGAGAGUCAAAACCAACGUACCAGAGAUAAAGACCCCCUCGAGUGGGUUUGAAAACGAAUGAUGGAAGGAGGUCUCAUCAAGCAAGAUUCAAUAGAAAGGCCUGAAAGAGCAAGGAAGUUUUGUAAGUUCCACGUAGAAGAAGGCCACGACAUCCAAAAAUGCACCGAGUUCAGAACUAUAGUGCAAAACUUAAUGGAUAACAAAGAGUUGGAGUUUUAUGAAGAGAUUAAGGGACUAGAAGAGGGAGAAGUUUAUGCUUCAGAGGAAAGAUCUACGGGGAAAACCCAAAAGGCUAAUCACCCAGUGGUGAUUAUUUCAAAGCCAAUGAGCAGAGAAUCUGGAAUAUAAAUAGCGCCAAAGGUCAUAAUCCAAAAACCUUUAUCCUUUCCUUAUAAGGAUAGUAAAAAAGUUCCUUGGAAUUACAACUACAAUGUGACAAUCCCAGGAAAGGAGAGCUUGGUAAACACUUCAAAAGAGAAUGAAAGAUUCUAUACACGAAGUGGAAAACACUAUGAUCCGGCGAAUGCAAGAGUGGAAUUUGGAAAAGGAAAAGCCUUAACAGUUGAGCUGGGAAAAGUAAAAACAGACAAAAUUAAAUCGUAUGUCAAUCAGCCGGUAACUGAAAAUGAGGCUAGAGAAUUUUUGAAAUUCUUAAAAUAUAGCGAGUACAGCGUGGUAAAACAAUUACAUAAGCAAUCGGCUCGUAUCUCGGUACUUGAGUUACUUUUAAGUUCAGAGAUACAUCGUAAUGCGUUGAUUAAGGCGCUAAAUGAAAUUUAUGUCGCUAACGAUAUCUCAGUGAAUAAGUUGGACCGUUUGGUUAACAAUAUCAGUGCUAACAAUUUUAUUUUCUUUAAUGAUGAUGAAAUACCGCCGGGGAGAAGAAGAGCCACCAAAGCCUUACAUAUCAUUACUCGCUGCGGGGAAUAUAUGUUACCAGGUGUGCUAAUUGAUAAUAGAUUAACCUUGAAUGUUUUAUCCCUAUCCACCUUAAAUAGGUUACCAGUGGAUAGCACUCGCAUGAAAUCAUGCCAGAAUAUAGUGAGAGCAUUUGAUGGUACCGAAAGAAGGGUGAUGGGGAGAAUAGAAGUACCCCUCUUGGUUGGCUCGAAUACGUAUGAGGUGUAUUUCCUAGUGAUGGAUAUCAAGCCUUCGUAUAAUUGCUUGUUGGGAAGACCCUGGAUUUAUUCAGCAGGAGAGGUGCCUUCACCACUGCACCAAAAGUUGAAAUUGGUAACAGAAGGCCGGUUAAUUACGAUUAACGCUGAGAAAGACAUCAUUGCAUCGGUAACCAGCAACGCACCAUAUUUGGGAAUGGAUGAUGAGGCAAUCGAAUAUUUCUUUCGGUCCUUAGAAUUCGUAUAUACGACUUUUGUCGUUGAGGGAAAAAAGAUCCCGAUGCCCAGCAUAUCUAGAGCCACGAGGAUGGGACUGCAAAUGACAGUUGGGAAAGGAGUUGUGCCUGAAAGAGGAUUGGGAAGAUGCCUUCAAGGAAGGAUGGAGGCACCAAUGGUGAAGGAUAAACGAGACCGCUUUGGUUUAAGAUUUAAGCCAAAUGUUAAGCAAAGAAAAAAAGAGUCAGAGAAAAGAUAAGAGAGGAGGAAGGCGCGUUUGAAUAGAGAAGAAGUUGAUUAGGAACCUAUGACUUUCCCCACAUAUCCAGGGCCUUCGUAUCAGGGGGAACCAUGUAUUCUGGACUGAAGACUCCAAGAAAGAAUACCACGAAGGAAAUGUUAGGAACACUGAACAUCAAUGCCAUAUUGGAAGAAGAAUCUGAAGAAGGAAGCACAUCAGGCAUCUGUCACUUUGAACCUGGGAGUGUUCUAAAUAAUUGAACUGCUGAAGAAAUGCCUGAAGUUUUUAGAGCUUUAACAGAGUAAUAUUCAAAACAUACUAAUUGUUUUAAGCCUAGAGAAAAUGGAAACUUUUUGUGAAAUGAAAUGGGCUUAUAUUUGAACAUUUUGACUUUAAUGAAAUAUAUCUUUGCAAUUUCUUUUUGAGUAUAUAUUCUUUUAAUAUUCUUUUCAUUCUUUCAUACGAAUAGUCAUUUUGGAUGCUUUUAUUCCAAAUUAUUCAUUCAUCAAUUCAUGAUCAUACUAUAAAUAGGAAUUCUUAAAUUCAUACAUUCUUUUUAUAUUCUUUGGUACCUAUAACAGGAUCUACGGGGAAAUCCUAAAAAGCUAAUCACCUAGUGGUGAUUAUUUCAAAGCCAAUAAGCAGAGAAUCUAGAAUACAAAUAGCGUCAAAGGUCAUAAUCCAAAAACCUGUAUCCUUUCUUUAUAAGGAUAGCAAAAAGGUUCUUUGGAAUUACAACUACAAUGUGACAAUCCCAAGAAAGGAGAGCUUGGUAAACGCUUCAAAAGAGAAUGAAGGAUUCUAUACACGAAGUGGAAAACGCUAUGAUCCGGCAAAUGCAAAAGUGGAAUCUGGAAAAGGAAAAGCCUUAGCAGUCGAGCUGGGAAAAGCAAAAACAGACAAUUGAAUCGCAUGUCAAUCAGCCGGUAACUGAAAAUGAGGCUAGAGAAUUUCUGAUAUUCUUAAAACAUAGCAAGUACAGCGUGGUAGAACAAUUACAUAAGCAACCAGCUCGUAUCUCGGUACUUGAGUUGCUUCUAAGUUCAGAGAUACAUCGUAAUGCGUUGAUUAAGGCGGUAUAUGAAACUUAUGUCGCUAACGAUAUCUCAGUGAAUAAGUUGGACCGUUUUGUUAACAAUAUCAGUGCCGACAAUUUCAUUUUCUUUAAUGAUGAUAAAAUACCAUCGGGGGGAAGAGGAGUCGUCAAAGCCUUACAUAUCACUAUUCGCUGCGGGGAAUAUACGUUACCGGGUGUGCUAAUUGAUAAUGGGUCAGCCUUGAAUGUUUUACCCCUAUCCACCUGAAAUAGGUUAUCGGUGGAUAGCUCUCACACGAAAUCAUGCCAGAAUAUAGUGAGAGCAUUUGAUGGCACCGAAAGGAGGGUGAUUGAGAGAAUAAAAGUACCUCUCUUGAUUGGCUCGAAUACGUACGAGGUGGAUUUCCUAGUGAUGGAUAUCAUGCCUUCGUAUAAUUGCUUGUUGGGAAGACCCUAGAUUUAUUCAGCAGGAGAGGUGCCUUCAUCACUGCACCAGAAGUUGAAAUUGGUAACAGAAGGCUAGUUAAUUACGAUUAACGCUGAGGAAAACAUCAUUGCAUCGGUAACCAGUAACGCACCAUAUUUGGGAACGGAUAAUGAGGCAAUCGAAUGUUCCUUUCGGUCCUUAGAAUUCGUAAAUGUAACCUUUAUCGUUGAGGGAAAAACGAUCCCGACGCCCAGCAUAUCUAGAGCCACGAGGAUGGGACUGCAAAUGACAGUUGGGAAAGGAGCUGUGCCUAGAAGAGGACUGGGAAGAUGCCUUCAAGGAAGGAUAGAGGCACCAAUGGUGAAGGAUAAACGAGACCGCUGUGGUUUAGGAUUUAAGCCAAAUACUAAGCAAAAAAGGAAAGAGUCGGAGAAAAGACAAGAGAGGAGGAAGGCGCGUUUGAAUGGAGAAGAAGUUGAUUGGGAACCUAUGACUUUCCCUCACAUAUACAGGACCUUCGUAUUAGGGGGAACCAUGUAUUCUGGACUGAGGACUCCAAGAAAGAAGACCACGGAGGAAAUGUUAGGAAUACUGAACAUCAAUGCCAUAUUGGAAGAAGAAUCUGAAGAAGGAAGCACAUCAGACAUCUGUCCCUUUGAACCUGGGAGUGUUCUAAAUAAUUGGACUGCUGAAGAAAUGCCUGAAGUUUUUAGACCUUUUCCAGAGUAAUAUUCAAAACAUACUAAUUUUUUUAAGCUUAGAGAAAAUGGAAACUUUUUGUGAAAUGAAAUGGGCUUAUAUUUGAACAUUUUGACUUCAAUGAAAUAUAUCUUUCCAAUUUCUUUUUCAGCAUAUAUUCUUUUAAGAUUCUUUUCAUUCUUUCAUACGAAUAGUCAUUUUGGAUGCUUUUAUUCUAAAUUAUUCAUUCAUCAAUUCAUGAUCAUACUAUAAAUAGGAAUUCUUAAAUUCAUACGUUCAUUGUAUAUUCUUUGGUACCUAUAACAGGUCUCAAGAUAUCAAUGGCAUGAGUGACUCUAUUAUGGACUUAGAAAAUCCUUUUGAAAGAGAUAUGUGUUUAGAGGAAUCUCAAGAUUUUGAAGAUAACCUAGAUUGCAACCUAUCUCCGGACUUGUUGAGGAUGAUAGAGCAGGAAAAGAAACAAAUCAUACCUCACGAGGAGACGGUGGAGACGGUGAUCCUAGAAGAGGGAAAGGCGGUGAAGAUUGGCAAAUGCAUAGCUGAAGAAGUAAAACAAGAUCUUAUUGAGUUGCUUCGAGAGUUCAAAGAUGUCUUCGCAUGGUCAUAACAAGAUAUGUCUGGUUAAGUUCUGAUAUCGUAGUUCACCAUCUUCCUAUAAAGGAAGAUUGCAAGCCCGUUCAGCAAAAACUCCGAAGAAUGAGGCCUGAUGUUGUAUUCAAAAUAAAAGAGGAGGUACAAAAGCAAUUCGAUGUUGGAUUCCUGCAAGUAGUUAAAUACUCCGAAUGGGUAGCCAACAUCGUACCCGUCCCUAAGAAAGAUGGGAAAGUACGAAUGUGUAUAGAUUAUAAAGAUUUAAAUAAGGCUAGCCCAAAAGAUAAUUUUCCUUUGCCACACAUUGACGCCCUGGUAGAUGACACAGCAGGGCAUUUACUAUUUUCUUUUAUUGAUGGUUUCUCUGGAUAUAACCAAAUUAAGAUGCAUCCUGAAGAUAUGAAGAAAACUACAUUCAUAACCCUAUGAGGGACCUUUUAUUAUAAAGUGAUGCCAUUUGUGUUGAAAAAUGCAGGGCAACGUAUCAGAGGGCCAUGGUAACAUUGUUUCAUGACAUGAUGCAUAAGGAGUUAGAAGUCUAUGUUAAUAACACGACCGUAAAAUCCCGGACGGAAAUAGAACAUGUGCGAGUAUUAAGAAAGUUGUUCUUAAGGUUAAGAAAGUUUCAACUCAAACUUAAUCUAGCCAAAUGUAUCUUUGGAGCUAGGACAGGAAAUCUUCUGGGGUUUGUAAUCAGUGAAAAAGGGAUUGAAAUUGAUCCAGACAAAGUCAGGGCAAUUAGAGAUUUGCCUCCACCACGUACUCAGAAAGAAGUUCGAGGUUUCUUAGGAAGGCUGAAUUAUAUUGCUCGAUUUAUUUCCCAAUUGACUGAAAAAUGCGACCCCAUAUUUUGUCUUUUGAAAAAACACAAUCCAGAUGUGUGGAAUGAAGAAUGCCAGGAAGCUUUUGACAAGAUAAAACAGUACUUGUCCAAUACUCCAAUAUUGUCACCACCAAGGCCAAAUAAGUCAUUAAUCAUGUAUUUAGCAGUGUUCGAUAAUUCCAUGGGAUGUGUGCUUAGUCGACAUGAUUAGACGGGAAAGAAAGAGAAGGCGAUAUAUUAUCUUAGUAAAAAAUUUACUGACUGUGAAAUGAGGUAUUCGCCUAUUGAAAAAUUAUGUUGUGCUCUGGUCUGGACGACACGAAGAUUGAGACAAUACAUGCUCUAUCAUACGACUUGGUUAAUUUUAAAGUUAGACCCUUAAAGUAUAUGAUAGAGUUGACUGCGUUGAAUGGGAGGAUGGCUAGGUGGCAGACUCUACUCUCUGAAUUUGAUAUAGUCUAUGUAAAUCAGAAGGCCGUUAAAAGAAACGCGAUAGUAGAAUUUUUGGCCAGCAGAGCUUUAGAAGACUAUAAACAUCUGAAUUUUGAUUUCCCGAAUGAAAAUUUGAUGUAUGUUGCAAUUGCUGAAGAGGAUUCCCACGAAAAUCACCCUUGGAAGCUAAGCUUCGACGGAGCUUCAAAUGCUAUAGGCAAUGGAAUUGGGGCAGUCCUCGUGUCCCCUAGUGGAGAUCAUUAUCCUUUCACUAGCAAAUUGGACUUUGAUUGCACCAAUAACAUGGCUGAGUAUAAAGCUUGCAUUAUGGCCAUUCGGGCAGCCAUAAAGCGAGAAAUUAAUGUGCUAGAGAUAUACGGAGACUCUACAUUAGUAAUAUACCAGCUCAAAGGAGAAUGGAAAACAAGAUACCCAAAGUUAGUUCAAUAUCGGAAGUUGAUUCUAGAAUUGAUUGAGGUUAGUUCAAUAUCGGAAGUUGAUUCUAGAAUUGAUUGAGGAGUUUGAUAGCAUCACCUUUUGUUAUCUCCCACGAGACGAAAACCAGAUGGCAGAUGCUUUGGCCACUCUAGCCUCUAUGAUCAAGGUGAACAAAUCAGAAGAUAUGAAGCCUAUUCAGAUCAGUAUUUAUGAUGCUCCAGCCCAUUGUUACAACAUUGACGAUGAAGAGGAAAAGGAUGAUCACCCCUGGUAUCAUUACAUAUUGCGAUAUGUAAAGAGUCGUGAGUACUCCGCCCAUGCGACGGAAAAUGAUAAGAGAACAUUAAGGAGAUUAGCCAUUGAUUAUGUCCUAAAUUGGGAGAUUUUGUAUAAAAAGGGAAAAGAUCAAGUAUUGUUGAGAUAUGUGGAUGCUGUCGAGGCUAAGAAAAUUUUGGAAGAAAUGCAUGAAGGUAUCUGUAGAACGCAUGCCAACGACUUCACGAUAGCCAGACAAAUUUUGAGAUUUGGGUACUAUUGGUCCACAAUGGAAGGGGAUUGCAUUAGUUACGCCAAAAGGUGCCAUAAAUGCCAAAUUUAUGGUGACAAAAUGCAUACGCCACCUUCACCCCUUCACGUUAUGGUUUCUUCAUGGUCGUUCUCCAUGUGGAGAAUGGAUGCUAUCGGGCCAAUAUCUCCAAAGGCUUCUAAUAGGCAUCAUUUUAUCUUUGUGGUUAUUGAUUACUUCACUAAAUAAGUGGAAGUUGCUUCAUAUGCUAAUGUCACGAAGUCAGCAGCUAGCAGGUUUCUGAAAAAAAGAUUAUAUGUCGGUACGGGAUGCCUGAAAGGAUAAUAUCCGAAAAUGCACUGAACUCGAACAAAACUUAAUAACAGAAGUUUAUAGUCAGUUUAAGAUCAGAUACCAUAAUUCGUCACCGUACCGUCCAAAUAUGAAUGGUGCCGUGAAAGCAGCUAACAAAAAUAUUAAGAAAAUUGUAGGGAAAAUAACUGAAACCUACAAAGAUUGGCAUGAGAAAUUACCUUUCGCUCUCCUAGCAUAUCGUACCUCUGUUAGAACCUCUAAUGGGGCAACACCGUUUUCCUUAGUCUAUGGGAUGUAGGCAGUUUUACCCAUAGAAGUGGAAAUCUCUUCUCUCCGAGUAUUAGCUGAAUUAAAGUUAGAUAAGACCGAAUGGAUUCAAUCUCGAUAUGAUCAACUAAACUUGAUAGAAAAAAAUAGGUUAAAAGCUAUUCGUCACAAUCAAAUGUAUUUGAAACGAAUGAUGCGAGCCUAUAACAAGAAAGUUCGUCCUAGAGAAUUUCACGAGGGGGACCUAAUUUUGAAAAAGAUUCUUCUUCUACAAAAGGAUUUUAAAGGAAAAUAGAUGCCAAAUUGGGAAGGUCCUUAUGUGGUAAAGAAAGCGUUUUCUGGAAGAGUUUUAUUCUUGAGCGAGAUGGAUGGUAAAAGCCUGCCAAAUCCUGUAAAUUCAGAUUCAGUUAAGAAAUAUUUCACUUGAAGAAAGAGGAUCAAAGUGAAAACCUGUAAAUGGCACUAACAGUCAAAUAGAUUGAAGCUACAAUAGUGAAUCUCACCUCCCUGGCGAUACAGUGGAACAGAUUGAAGCUACGAUGGCGAAUCUUGCUUUUCCGACAUUGCAACUAAAAAAUUGAAGCCGCAACGGCGAAUCUUAUUUCCUCGAUGAAACUAGGCAAAAAUUGGUCUUUCUUAGUCUUUGCUCUGUUAUCGUUACACGACAACGAGCAAAAAGAGGCAGCUGUACAAGCCUAAUUUUAAACCCAAGCCCAAGAACCCAAAACAACCUAAACCUACCCAAGACCCAACUAACCCUUAACCCAAACAAAAACAAAACCCAAACCCAAGGCCCAAUUACAAACUCUACCCAGCUACUCAAACUCACCUAGACCUUAAGUCAAGAAUAUUAAUAUUCUUCCAUGGGAGUUUGCUCAACUUCUGUCAAUGAAUUGUGAGAUAAAUUUAAGUAACUCAAAGUGUCACACGUCACUUCUUACAGCCAUUGUGGAAUCUUCCCUUCAAUUCUAUUGUUAGAAAGGUCCAAAGUUUUCAACUUUUUUAACCCUUUCAAAAAUGGGGGAAUUGGCUGACAUUAUUUGAGCUUAAGGAUAGGCUGUUUAGUGAAAGGUCAAGAUAUUCGAGAUUUGGGAGAUUUGAGAACAUUCCAAACUCUAUAACACCACUGAGAUUAUUUGAGUAUAAAAAGAGCCAGGUAAGGUUGAGAAAUUGGAACAUUGAAGAUGGAAGAUGACCUUGGAGUUUAUUAUUCCCUAACACUAUCAUUCUAGUGAUUUAGAUUGGAAUUCUUUGAUGUGGUCACUGAAUUGAUUUUGAGAGAGAUAUACUUCCAUUAAGGAGGAAGCAUUAUACAACCAUGACAGAAGUUUUUCAUUGGGUAAAAUGUUAGAUAAGUCUAAAGAUAUUAGAUUAGGGAAAGCAGCUACCUCAUCUGGAAUGGGACCUUCUAAAGAAUUUUCAGCUAUUCUCAAGUGUUCAAGUUGUGUUAGGUUUACAAUUGACAAUGAAACUUGUCCACUCAAUUGGUUCCAUGACAAGUCUAAAUAUAUGAGCCACAAAAGGUUCCCCAAUGAUCUCGAAAUUGAUCCCUGUAAAUUGGAAUUAGAGAGACAAAUAUUUCAAAACAUGCAGGUUGUCAAUCAAAUCAAUCAAUUUCGUAAAGAAGGACAUCCAUGACAGAUCCAAAUGUUCAAGAUUACUGCUCUGAUAGAACUUCAGAAGAUCAAGACUAAGGUUUCGGUUGUAUCCUAAGUUGAGCAAAUUGAGGUUUGGUGAAUGAAGAAUAUUUCUUGAGAAUUUUCCUUGUAAAUCACAACCACCAAGACUAAGAGACUUUAUAGAAGAGGAUAGAUUCAUGAAAACAUUAGGAUUAAUAGAAGGCAUGAUAAUUCUAUCAAGAAAAAGAUGCCUCACCUCAGUUAGAUUGUGAACAAGUCCCUCAAAAGUAUUUUUGUCAGGUGUUAAUUGGUCAGAAAAAACAUUAUGAGAGAGAUCAAGUGAAACCAAUUUCAAAAUCCAUGCCGUCAUUCUUUUUCUUAGUUGUCAAUGCUUACUGCUACUGUGGUCCCAUUGAGGCAAAAUUCUGGGAAAUGUUUGAGCCUUUUACCACAUGUCCAUGCAGUGCCUACUCACACAAGAUCUGAACUUUGUUCAGACAAGUUCCUCAAAAGAUAGCCCUGUAAUAUGCAACAUAUGAAUCAGUGUCAGAAAAGGCCAAAGAAAGAGUACGGAACUGAACUAGUAGAAAAUCAAGAUAAUAUACCAUAUUAUCCAGUGCUGGGGCUUUCAGAGCACUAAUCUCACUCAUUGCACAAUCAGGAAACACAAAGCUAGCAGCAUGCCAUGUUUCAAUGACUCUGUCACUGAGUUUUAUUAAAAAAAUGUAAAUUUCAGAGAUAUUUUACAUGGUCUUUAUUUUCCAAGGAAACAUGAAUUCCAAAGAUCAACGACUCCACUGAGUUUGUCGCUUCAAUAAAAAAUGGUAAGAACAACAAGACCAGUUAACAAUAAUCAAUAAUAACAUUUUCUACAACACUAAAAAUGACUCAUAGGGAUUAUAAAUUUGAGGGGGAAAUGUAUGAACAAUGGGAUCAAUUACAACUUACAAGCAUGUGAUAACUAGCAGACAUAACUCAUACAAGACCUAGAUGUAUUAUUGAACUCUUAUAUAAAAGACAACUGAAGAUGCAAAGCUUAAUUGUUAAGCUUUUCUGAUGCUUGAUAAGUAUAGUUUUAGUUCAGUUCCGAGAUCAAUGCAUGCUAUUGCGAUUUAUUAUCUUUGAUGCCAAGGAAAUGACAGAAUUCAAAGACCAAAAGGUUCGAUUACAUACUAGAUCAUGGAUGUAAACCAAUCUACAACCUCUCUCCUCGACCUCCAUUUGAAACCAGCAUGAUUUGAAUUCUUAGCCGCAUAUACCCUCACAAACUCCUCAGCAACAACAUAAAACAUCUGCCUAAUACUCCUUUGAGAACCGAUAACUGCACAGACAGAUUCACUGGUGGAAUCCUUCAAGAAAUAUUGAACCACACAAUUACCACACUCCUGUGAAAUAAACUCCUCCUGCCACUCGAAACAAUGACCAUUUCCAGACAUUUUGAUAGACAAUACACAAUUUGCUUCACUACUUACUCACAUAGCUAAAAGAUGUCUAAUGAAACUGGCAAAGUGUUCUUCCAAAAUGGUACAUUAACUGCCAAAAAGACAACCACCAUACAUUCAUUCAUUCAGUAAACAGCUUCAAUAUGGCAAUAAGCUAUUAUCUUAAAAAUGUUUUUUCUACCACAGAAGAAUAAGAACUAGGCAUCACAGAAAAUUUGCUAAAUUAAUGACUUUGCUUCCUUCAAAAUAAACAAACGAUUAACUGCAUUAACCCCAAAGAGGUCACCAUCAACCUCCAGUUAAACUUUCAAGGAAUAAUAAUAAACAAUAGAAGGAAACAAGGGGGAAAAAAACUAACCAGAACUCGGUAAAAACUGAGCCUUGAAGAUCUGCAGGUAGUAAGAGAAAAACCCCAUGACGACUAAAGUCCAAGCUUGAAAGAACCAAAAGGGAGCAAACAUAUGGCUAUGACUCACUGGACCAAGAGAAUCACCAAUGAAUAAAGGAAAAUGGGUACUUUCCUUUAUACCUAAACAUGCAAUAUUUAGCUUUAAGAAAGAGGGUGAAAGUUAAAGAACUUGUCUUUGUUUUGAUGUGUGGAACACGAGAUAGUGAAGGAAAAUAGAGGCGAGGAAAUAAGAUGGAGUAAGUGGGGAAAAAGGAGAGCCUAAAAGAGACAUUUUUGAAGGGGAGUUUAGAAGCUGCAGAGGCUUUGGCAUACGGCAGCUAAUAAUGAGAGAAGACAAACCAGAAACGCAAGUACGACGACGACAAAAAUAAAGUUAAAAAAAUUUUAAGAGUUGAUGAAAUAACAUUUUGUAGCUUAGCUAAUUGGGACGGAGUCCACCAGUCUGAUGCCCAUAGAUCCAUACCUGGGAUUUUCUAUUUGGGCUAACUUUCUAACUUCUCCCACUAGUCUUGAAACUUUGCAGAUUUUUUCAAUUUGAUCUGUGUUAUGAGCAGAAAAGUUAGCAGGAGAUAUUUGUGAAGAUUAAGUGAAACGGGGAGUUUUGGGAAGGGGGUCUGUUAGUUUAAUUGAAACGGGGAGUUCAGAAGAUUAGUUAUACGGUGCGUUUAAUCACAACAGAAAUUGUCCACGUCACUUUGUUAGUUUUCCUUUAGAACUGCAUGUAAUGCAUGAGGUAUUCUUCAUGAAUGAAAACAGAAGAAAAUCCAGUAUUCUCAAUCUUCUCUCUAUUUUUCUUUCUCUCUUCCCCGAUUACUCUCUUUUCUACUUUCAAAUUCUGGUUCGUACCAAAGGUAUCAGAGCUAUCACGAUCCCUUUCGAUGGCUGGCGAAGGCGUAUCGACGAGGUUGCAAAAAGAGGUGAGCAAUAUGUAGCAGGAAAUCUCCAAAUUCCAAGAGAAAUUCGUGCAUCUGGAGGUCAAGAUGGAAUCCCGUCUAAAGGAGCUUCGAACGGAGUUACGAGGUGAUUUCCAGUCGUUGUUCGUUCAGUAUUUCGGGCCACCGCCAACUGGUUUAUCGGUAACUGCUGCAGCUGAUAAGGAUAAGGGGGUUUUGGGGGCUCCUCCUGGGUUCCUACCAAAAGAUUCUGAUCCACCUCAGGCGCAGAUGGAUCCAUCCAUUGCUGCAGGGGGCAGUGUGCAUUUGAGAGAGCAACCAAUUAUUUUGGGAGCUUCGGGGAAAGGCGCUUUAAACACGAGCAUUGGUGCAACAGCGAUCGUUUCAAGUGGAACGAGGUGUCUGGAUAUAGGGCAGUUCAUGUACCAGAAGGGCGCAACAUUCGAUGCCAAGGCAGAUGUAUUUCACAUGCUAUCUGGUAUGUGGAAAACACCUACAGAGAGGUGCUUUAUGUGGUUAGCAGGAUCUCGUUCAUCUGAACUUAUGAAACAGCAAGUUCAGGAUGGGGCUAGAGGUCAGAAACGUGAACCUUUUAACCGAGGGAAGAAAAAUAAGCAUUCUGGUCUCCAAAAUUUUGGGAAUUAUACUGGUACUGGUUGGGGGAAUCAAAGUAAUGGAGGUGGCCAAAAUAAUUGGGGAUCUAGGAGAACAACUUGGUUGAUGCUUAUUGACAAGCUUUCAAAGAAGUCACUAUUACAUGCAGUUUUAUUAGAUUUCUCAAAGAAUCAAUGUGAUAAAUCUGCUGACAAACGUCGAUCGGAGAGGAGUUUUCAAGUUGGGGGAUCUCCUAUGUACAGGAUAGAAAGAAAGCUUGGUAAAGGUGGAUUUGGUCAGGUGUUUGUUGGAAGACGUGUUAGUGAUGGAAAUGAACGUGCAACUGGUUCUACAGCCAUGGAGGUAGCUCUGAAAUUUAAGCAUAGAAACAGCAAAGGUUGUAGUUAUGGUCCUCCUUACGAAUGGCAAGUUUACAAUGCUCUAGAUGGUAGUCACGGAGUUCCAAAAGUGCACUACAAAGGAAAACAAUGAGACUAUUAUGUGAGGGUUAUGGACAUAUUAGGGCCCAGUUUAUGGGAUGUUUGGAAUCCUUCAGGUCAAACGAUGUCUGCAGAAAUGGUAGCUUGUAUAGCUGUUGAGUCACUAUCUUUACUAGAGAAGAUGCACUCCAAAGGUUAUGUGCAUGGGGAUGUUAAACCUGAGAACUUUUUACUUGGUCAACCAUCCACGCCACAAGAGAAGAAGUUGUUUCUUGUUGACCGUGGAUUAGCAACAAAAUGGAAAGAUAGCAGCAGUGAACUGCAUGUUGAUUAUGAUCAACGACCUGAUAUGUUUAGAGGAACUGUUCGAUAUGCAAGUGUCCAUGCGCAUUUGGGAAGCACUGUUAGCAGAAGAGAUGAUCCUGAGUCUCUUGCUUAUACGCUCAUAUUUUUACAUCAAGGGCCGGGCUACCAUGGUAGAAACAUGCAUUCCAAGUCAAAUUUCCUCAUUUUCAGCCUUGAGGACAAGGCUGUUUUCUGGGAAAGGAAUAUUGUUAUGAGCAGAAAAGUUAGCAGGAGAUAUUUGUGAAGAUUAAGUGAAACGGGGAGUUUUGGGAAGGGGGUCUGUUAGUUUAAUUGAAACGGGGAGUUUAGAAGAUUAGUUAUAUGGUGCGUUUAAUCACAACAGAAAUUGUCCACGUCACUUUGUUAGUUUUCCUUUAAAACUGCAUGUAAUGCAUGAGGUAUUCUUCAUGAAUGAAAACAGAAGAAAAUCCAGUAUUCUCAAUCUUCUCUCUAUUUUUCUCUCUCUUCUCCGAUUACUCUCUUUUCUACUUUCAAAUUCUGGUUCGUACCAAUCUGAAUUGUAUGAUAACAUAUAACUUUGAGAUUGGGAAAAAUAAUUUUUUUUUAAAUUAAAGAAAAAAAUAAAGAAACUAAAUUUCAAGCAUGAAAAGUACAAAAGAAAGAACUGUAUUUAUAAAAGAUGAGUUACUUCACUCAGAUUGGAGUACCCUUAAACAAGUUUAUGCUUGUAAAGAAAGAAACUGAAUUUUGAUUUCAUUUGCUGUGGCAAAAUUUUUAAUUUCAAAAACAGUAUAACAUAUUGAAAGCCUGCCUACAUCUCGGCAGAAAAAUUUACAAAUUCUUUCAUCAGACAAUUUAAAUGAUGCAAUGCAAAGAUUCAUCAAUGUAUGAUCUUUUUAUCAUAAAAUGGCUGUUUUACUGGAAAACUUGAUAUGUAUUGUCUUUCACAUUCUUCUGUGCUGAAUGGUCUCCGAAAACUGCAAUAAUCAACUAUAGAUAACCCUUUCCUCAGCGCCGCCAGAGCCGACCUUGUUGUUUCUGUUCUUGAACUCGCCUGUGUCAUCAAAGGCAGUAAGCGUUUAUCAAUGUUAUAAAAAUGGCAUAUCGAAGUCAGAUUUUACUUGACAAUACACAAAUAUAAGAAGAUAAUUCACCUUUGAUACUCUUUAGAACGCUCGAGAAACUCUUUCGCGAUAUCUUUUCUUUCAUAUGAUUGCAAUACUUGUCUGAUAUCAGCCGGACUAUUGCGGGCUACAUCUGUGAACAAAUCAAAACAAAUGGUACUAUAAUCAACAAAUGAAUAUAGGAAACAUAAAAUUUGAACAAAGGCGAUGUGCAGAGGAAAAAGCAACAACAUAAGACUUACAUUCAAGAAAUGGAAUAAGGUCUAAAAGUGCGGUAUCAUCAGUCUCGAGUUUAUAUGGCUUAAUAGGGACACAAUUUUCUGGUUGAAGGCUAGAAUCAAAUGCAUGAGCACUCACAUAUAAAAUCUUGGUUGGAUCCCUGUUUAGCUUUGAAAGAUCCUGCCAACAGGAACUAUUUGUUAACAAUAAGGCUUCUUUUUAAGUAGCAGCUUGUAAAGGCACUGUCUCAUAGAUCAAUACGCAUAGUAUUGUAGAAACUAAGGAGGCGAAAACCAAAAGCAAAAUGUUUUGAAGGGAAGAGAUUGACUAUGACAUGGUAAAAGUAUUAUGGAGGCCCCUGUGUUAGGAGUUAGAUUGCAUUUUGCCCCCUUUACUCAAAAACUGGAUAAAUUAAUCCCUGUAUGUUAGAUUAAAGAGUAAACUAAACUUUCUGUUAAAAACUUCAUCCAUUGCUAUUGUUAAAAACUGGUGCAGUUGAUAAAAUAACCAAACAGUUACACCUAAUCUGUCACGUGUACCUCAUGCUAAUGUACAAGGACCAAUUUUUAACAGUAGAAAUGGAUGGAACUUGCAACAGAAAGGCUGGUUUGCUUUUUAAUCUAAUGUACAGGGAUUAAUUUGCCCAUUUUUUUAGUAGAGGGGGUGAAAUGCAAUACGACUCCUAGUAUAAGGGCCUCCAUGGUACUUUUACCACUAUAACAUACUCUAUAAUGCUUGCCAUCCUGAUAUUUAGUAGCACCCCUUGAUAGCCUAUAUCGUAUACAAUGGUUAGUGUCCAACCUUUCACAAACAGGAUCAACAUACUGCAUAGCCAAAAACAAACUAAUUAUGAACUUGCAGGCAACAUCAGUUAUGAUAUACUUGUGUAUUUAAAAUGGUAGCCACAAUGAAAAAUAUCAAAUUACCAUAUUCAUCUGGUCAGAAUAGACAACAAUUUCAUAGAACUUUGCUAGAUGUUCCAGAAAGGCAUCAACACCAGGUCUUUUGAAGGUACGCCAGCCUCUCUCUCGCUUUGCCAACCAAAGAGGGAACGUGUUAGAUACCGUAAACGUGAAAUGGAAAAUAAUUUUAAGUCAAAUUCUUACCUUCCAGUCUGUAUAAAGUAAUGUCUCGUUCAGAUCUAGGACAAGAGUGAAAACAUGCUGUUCUAGAGGAUGCAAAUCAGGAAGAAGCUUAUCCGAAGUCGGUUCAGUAUAUUCCUGAAAAUACGAGAUAAAAUUAUGAGAACAAAACAAAAGAUAGGCCGACAAUAAUAGAAAACCGGAAACAAGAGAAAGAAGAACACUCCUCACCAGCAAAUGUUCUUCCACUAACCUCCUGAGAUCCAGAUAAGAUUCAAGUGCUUUAGCCGGAACUGAAAUGUUACAAGCAAAGAAACCAGGAAUAAAUUGAGUUCGAACCAGAGCAUGUAAACAAAUCAAUCAUUGACCAACAUGAUAGACAGCAACCAGCACCAACGGAAUUUUCUUUUCUGUCUCACCAAAUCCAUUUAUAAUAAAGCAGCCCGAAUUUCUAAAGGAAUAUUUUGGUAAAAGUACCAUGGAGGCCUCUAAGAGAUGAAUUGCAUUUUGACCCCUCUACUCAAAAAAUUGGCAAAUUAGUCCCUAUAUGUUGGAUCAAAAAGUAAAUUGGUCCUUCUAUUAAAAACUCUUCGGUUAUUCUGUCAACCAUGCUAGUUUUUAUCAGUAGAAAAAAAUAAUUUUUAACAGAAAGGACAAUUUUGCUCUUUGAUCUAAUGUACAAUGACUAAUUUGCCCAUUUUCUUAGUAGAGGGGGCAAAAUGCAAUCUAACACCUAAUACAGCAGCUUCCAAGGUAUUUUUACCGAAAUAUCUCCGGGCACUAGACAAUGCAAACUGAAUGCCCUGUUAUGCAAAUAUUGUGCUAGUAAUUAGGUUGACAUACAGAACAAAGACUUUAGAGAUAAUUGUAACCAUGAACAAACAAAGAAGCAAUAAGAGAGAGAAACACAAUAAGGUCCUCACCUGUCAUUGCAGCAGAGUAAAGCAAGCCUCCAUAUUUCUGAAAAAGAUAUGGGGAAAAAAAAAAAGAACUGUUACUUUCAUAUCUAAUUUCUUCAUAGUAUUAGGACAAACUAAACAAUGGAUAUAUCACAUUAUUAAGACUUAGCUAAGGUACCGCAGAUAUACAUUCAAAUGAUCAAUCAUAAAGAAUGAACUAGGAGGCCCAAUGAUCAAUCAAAAUUACACCUAAACCAGUUAUAUGUCUAAAGCCAAUUGCACAUUAUAUCAAUCAAACAACUAAAAUAAAUAGAGAAAAUCCUUUAAAAUAAUCAAUUUCUAAACAAAAUCAAACUCACAUCAAUAGCAGAAGCAUCUUCACUAGGAGCAUAACUCGCUGCAGCCCGCAAUGCCUUUGCUUUAUGAUCUACUUCCUCACAUGAACACUCUGCAAAUCAUAUUAAAUUCUUUUUUUUAAAACCACUUUUAAUCAUAUAAAAAAAAAACCAAAAUCACAAAUGAUCCGAUCUUUUUAAAAGGGGAAAAAGAAAACUUACUAUAAGAGAGAUAACCAGCAUAGCCAGUAGUUCCAGUAACACCUGCAAUGAGUCCGUACUUGACAAAGCUCCAAAUUUUCCCUCCCGAAACCUGUGGGGCAACUUUCGGCGCCGGAGGAGGAGGUGUCGACUGAUCGGAGAGAAUGGAUUGUGAAGAAGUUAUUGUUCCUUUAGAAGGAUCCGAAGAAGAAGAAACCACUCCUGAACAUAAACCCCUUUGAGAAAUACUCUUUGAACUGAAAUUAUUUGAAAUUGUUCGCGAUCUAAGAACAAUGGAAGACAUUUUUAUUAGAGUUUCUGAUUUGGCUUCUUUUUUUUUUAUUGAUGGAGAUUUUAAAUUAAUUAGGGUUUAGGGUUUUAGAAAUCGAAAGUGAGCGAUGAAAUCAAAAUGUUGAAUUUAAGGGGAGUGUUUGGAAGUUGGUGUUGAACUAUUCUAUUAGAGUCCAGAAUGGGGAUUGUGGAAUUCGUUCUUUGGUAUUUGACUUUGUUUUUCUUUUGGGUAAACUACAGAUUUAGUCACUUACAUGUAGUUAAAUUAUAGUUUGGUCACUAACUUUUAAAAGGUUUGAUAUGGUCACUAUAGUUAUCGAUUUGUUAUAUUUUGAUCAUUAAGCCAUUAACAGUGUAGUAAUAAGUUGACUUGGCACGUUAUAUCAUCAUUUCAAACAAAAAUUUUAAGUCAAAUUGCACAUAAGUAAUCCCUAUAUAUUUUAUUGUUGAACAUUUUAAUUUUUUUUCUUCUUUCUUUUAUUUCUUUAUUUCUUUUGUUACCUUGUUCUUCACUUCCAAAAUUAUUAGAGGAAACAUCAUAAAAGUAUGUUUGUGUGAACUUCUCAACUUCCUUUUACUAAAUUAUUACAAUACCUUAGUGUUUUAUAUUUAUGCCAUAUCUGAAGCUUCUUUUGGGAUCAUGAUAUCUUCCUUGUCCUAGCAAAGAAGAUACCGGAGGAAAGGAUACUCACUUCAUAUGUGCAUAUGAACAAGAAAUAGGUGUAGCAAAUAGAGUUGGUGGCUAGUUACUAUUAUUAGAAACUGAUGUCUAACUUUACAUUUGCUAUCCUAGAGGAGCUAAUCGACCCAACCACAUUCACAUAAAAAGCAACAAAUAUAAUCAAUAAUACCAACAGUACAAGCAUGGUGUUAUUGCAAGCAUAACGGUGUCAAAUUAUAACAUAGUAGUUUACAAUAAAACAUUUUAGCAAGUAUUCCAAGGAUCGUUCUUCCAUAAGGAUUCAUUAGGGAAAGCAUUAAUCGAUUACCUCAUGUAUAAGGUAAUUUACUAAUCUAAUUUACUCAAGUAUUAUUAGUGCAAGUCGAAUGAAAAGCAUAAAGAAAGUACACUAACUUAGCAAUCAAACAAAUUAACCUAAUUUCCUUUUUUCUUGUCUUAGACUAUGCAAAUAAUCAAGGUGAUGGUCGAUUAGUCAACUAACUACUUAUGAAGCUAAUGUGCAUAUCCUGGUUACAUUUAUUGUCACUCUUAAAUAGGAAUCUUCUCUCAGUCUCACCCUAACAUAAGAAUUACCUCCUAGGAUCUCCUCUCAGUCUCGCCUAGGUAACAGAUCACCUCUCGGUCUCAUCAUUUGGCGCAAUUGUAUCAAAAUUCUACAUGAUAUAAUCUCCUCUUGAUCUCAUCUAUCUAGAUCCUCCACUAGAGACGUUAAUUCUAAUGUACUAAACAAUUCGAUACAAUUGAACAAGCAAAUAAUCGAGAUCAACCAUAUCAACUUAGAUUAGCAAUUAGUAUCACAAUCAACCAUCAAGAAGGUUUAGAACAACAUAAAUUUCAAAAUGCAAGCAACCAUUCUAACAUUCAAUCGAUAAAAGAUGAAUAAGAACAAAAGAUAGAAAUGCUCAUUCAUGGAGAAGAAUCCAAUUCAGAGCUGAAACUUUCUUGAUCUCUAUUUACAUAGCCUUCAACAAGAAAAAAUGAAAAAGCUACAACAAAACUAACUCUCUCUAUUCUAUUCUCACAUAAUUUUAAUGUAACAUAAAAUGUGUAUUGCAUGAUGUGUGAAAAUAUGAUAGAGAAAUGGUUUAUAUAGUAAUGAACCAAAAGAUCUUUGUACCCUUACUAAAAAUCCACUUAAUAAAGGCUAAAAACACAAAAAUGCCAUUAGUAAUCGUUUCAAAUCUGGAUCUACAUAGCCAACGUCGUGACCUCCACUUUCACAAUGUUACGGCAUUGACAAACGUCUUCUCCCCAAGAAUGGCUCCAACGUCAUAAUCUCAUCACAAGUACGUUGUGACUUAGCAAACCGAUGUUACAACUUUGAGUCCUCUCUUCUGACAUGAUUAACUAUCGAGUCCUUCUCCCACGUUCAUGUUGCAUGAUAUCAUGACCCUAGAAAGCUCAAUCUCACGACGUGAUUCACUAUUCAGCCACUUCAAUCAUUUAAAAUUGAUUAAGCGUCAUUUGCUACUAAAACCCAAAAUGACAUGAGAACACUAGAUUAAGCACGAAAAUAUGAUAAAAUUUAAAUUCGAUGCACAAAGUAUUAAGUACAUAAAAAGACUCGAAAACACACUAUAUGAAACAAUCAUAUUGACAUACAUCAAAUUAUAACUCGACAUAAGCCUAAAGGUUUAAUUAACCCUACAAGAGUCUUUGAAAAAGUUCGCUCUAACACAAAGCCUAAAGGUUCCUCAAUAGCAUGCAUCAUAGCACUCAUAGACUAGGUAAGCCUUUUCUGGGCUUUUGUUUAUCAUGCUAAGUUUCACAGUCCAAUAUGGGUUGCUUUUUCCUACAAUAAUUAUUUGAACUUAAACCUACUCAUUUGUCACAUUUUUUUAAAGUUACUCUACCUUACUCUAUAGAAAAACUUUACCCUCUUUCCAAUAUUUUUUCCUUGGACUGCUCCACCUCUAGACUAAGGGUGGGUUUGGAUGAGCGAUUGAGUGCGGUGCAGUGUGUUUAGCUUACUUUUUGUCUCACGCUACAGUAUCGCUACGGUAUCUAAUCUCACCGCCACCGUUGUUUUUACACUAACCGCAGGUAAACGCACUGCCCAUCCAAACUCACUCUAAGAUUCACACCAUCCACCACCUUGGCCAUUUUCCAUAUUUCUUCAUUAACUUAUCAUUGGACUCUCUAACUUUUUUUUAAGAUUCCUCGAGGGGUUUAGCUUUUUUUUCUUCGAGUCUUUUAGUACAAUUAUAUACUAUUUGCCUACAACUAAAUGUUGUAGCUAAAAGGGCCAUUGCAAGCAACAUUUGAAGGGAUAUACUAAUUUCACUCGAAUAGCAAUUUCUCCAUUUCAAUCACUUUCUUACCCACAUUAAAUAAGGGUCCUUCAGUGUAAUAUGUCUAAAUUUUUCCGAUCCUGUAAAUCGCGUAAUUUUAGAAAAAUAUAAAAAAAAUUCUAAGAAUUUGUAUCGAGUUAAUUGUAUGAUAUUGUUGGAAUAAAAUAGAUAUAAAAAAAUUAAUAGUAAAGUUUAGCAUGAAAUGUUAAGAAUAGAGUAAGGACUAAAUUGCUAAGAAUUAAAAAAUUGAGGGACUAAAGUAUAAUUAUAGUAUUUAUAAAAAAUUAUUAGACCAUGAUUACAGUAUAAAAAAAGUGAUGAAUAUGUAGGACAAGUGGUCGAGUUUGGUUAUUGAGUUAACGAUUUCAAAGGGAAAAGAAAUGGAAAGGAAAUUUGGCCUUUCCAUGAGACAAACGGCUAAGUAGAAAGGAAAAGAAAAAACAAAAAGUUUCCUAAGAAAAUUUCACAUCUCUCGAGUUUAGAUUCCAAUCUUAACUUUGUAUUUGAUCUUUUUAAAUUUUAUAUGAACUUAUUUAACAUUAAUUUAUUAUAUUUAUACAUGUAAUUAGGAUUAUAUGAAAAUUAUUAUAAUUGAUUAUCGAAUUAUUUGAUAUCAUAAAAUGAAAUAAUCUACAUUACUCCAAUAAUAUAAUGUAAUGUUACGUAUUCGAAUUUAAUGACUAAAUUUUAGUAAAUAAUGAAAAAUAAAAAACAUUUGAGUAAAAUUAUAGAUUUAAAAAUGAGUUUAAAUAAAAGAUAAAGUCUAUUUUUUAAAUAGAUCGUGUUUCAUGUAUGAUUUUUUUUUAGUGAGGCCUGAUCUUAAUCUAUUUAAAUUUUUUCUCUCCUAUUGUUUAUUGUUGUUUUGUUGUUGUUUAGCUAUUAUUUUAUUAUUAUAUUGUUACUAUUUUAGAGACAUUUAUUUGUUAAGUUGUAACUAUUUUAAUGUUAUUUAAAUAUAAAAACUUUUUUUAAUGUAUUUUCAAUCUGUUGAGAAACAUUUGUUUUAAUAUUUUUAAUAUAUUUGAUGUGGGUCGAACUCAAUUUUAGUUUUUUUAUCUGGAACAAAAUUUUACACUCACUUUUUAAAAUUAAAUCAGACCCAAACUUAAAAAAUAAACCUAAAAUUUUAUACUAUCCCAACCCAUUAUAAUGCCUAAUAAAAAAAAUUUACUAAGCAUCACAAACUAUGCCAACACAUUAUGUCCCUCUCUUUAGACUAAAAGUUUACCUCCCAAAUUAAGAGUUCACCCUGGCUACAACACAUUGUCUUAAUCUGUCCUUGGGCUAAGGGAUAAUUAUUAUAUGCAUCCUUUAUCAACACCUCUCUCUUCUAAGCUUAGCAUAUGAAUCAUGGCUAAAUCACAUCAAGAUUUGUCACUAGGGCUCUAUAGCUAGGAUCACAAGUCCUUCAAUCUUAGCCAAUACACAUGCAGAUAGUUUAUCAUGAUUCAACCAUCAAUUUCCUUGGUAAAACAUCUAUUUAGGAGACUUGCAUCUGACUACAUACUUCUCCACCGUUGAACCACACCUCUUUUAGAACCUUUCAUUUCCUCUCCAAGCUCAUUAAAACCACCACAAGUGGCUUUAAAAUAGAGAUGGACUUAAAAAGGGAAGUCAAAAAAAAUUUAUUUAAGAAAUCAGAAUUAAAUUGUAUAUUUUUACGACGGUAAAAAUGUAAAUUUAUCAUCUUAAUAGUCUAUAUCUUUAUAACUUUUAAAGGAUUAAUUCAAAUUUUUAUCAUUUUUAGAAGAACCAAAAUGUGAUUUUAUUAUGAUCAUCUAUUUCUUUUCCUCAUAAUACACUUCAGCAUACUCAAAUCCACGUCUUUCUUUAUUAUCAAUAAUGUCCAUAUUAAUCCAAUCGGGACUAAUCCUCGAUAAAAAUCAAAAUUUUAAAUUUUUAAAUGUUGGAGGGAGGGUUUUAAAUUUUGUCCUUGAUCCAAUAUUGAUGAAGAUGAAAUGGAUGGGGAUGACUUAAUAAAUGUGUGUUUCAACCUCAUUCAUGAAUAAGAAUCAUAGCCACAAACUUUUUUCAAAGCAUUGAAUGCAGACCCAUCGAAUGUGGUGUUCAUGAUUCAUCCAUGCAACGCUUUAGAUGGUGACACGUCUUAUUUUAAUAUAAUUGUAAUAACUAAAUUUAUUUUUAUUGAUUAAGAAUUUUAACUAAAAAUAUUUUUUAAAAAUUAAAUUAAAUGAUAAAUGAUUGUGUGAAGUACAUCUUGUUUAAGGUUAAAUUGUAGUUACAAUACUUCUAUUAUGUUUAAAUUUUAGAGUAUAUAUACUUUAAUUUGACAUGAUUCGGUUCCUCUAAUCAGUGGCGAAGCUAAGGUCUGGCAGCCUCAAAUGAAAAAUUUUCCAUUUAAGCUUAUUUUUAAUUUAUAAAUUAGUAAUGGUAAAAUUACACUUUGACUCUCUAAUUGAUAAAAAUUUGAUUUAAUCCUUUAAAAAUUAUAAAGAUAUAAGGUAUUAAAAUGGUGAAAUUAAAUUUUUAGUAUACAAUUUAAUUCCGCCCCUACCUCUACUUUUAUAACAUCAUUAGUUAGGCCAAUAGUUGACACCCUUAAUUAUUUCGGUAUGCUUAAGCUAGACUUUUUCUUAAAAAUAUUACAACUUAUCAUGUCAAGUGUGUGUGUUAGAAAUGUGAUUUAAAUCAAAUUUCGCAUUAGCAUGUCAAUUAAAAUGGUUAGGGAUGUUAACUGUUUGGACUAACUAGUGUCAUUGUAAAAGUAGAAGACCAAAUUAUGUCAAAUUAAGACAUAAAAGACUAAAUCCCAAAUGUGAGCAUAAUAAGAUAUCAAAAUUAUAAUCUAUCCAUUAUCUUAUAAUGACCAAAAGAAAGGGAAAAAAAAGAUGGGUAUGUUCAUGAAGAGGUAAAAGUACUAUAGCAAUCAUUGUACUAUACCCCGGUUUGCAUUUUGUUUCUACUGAAAAUUUGGCAAAUUAGUCCUUAUAUGUAAAACAUCAAAAUAACCAUUUAUUGAUAAAAUUUUAAUAGAGAGACUAUUUUACUCAUUCAUCUAAUGUAUAAGAACCAAUUUGUCCAUUUUUUAGUAGAGUGAUCAAACCCAAUAUGAAGUACAGUACAAGGACUGCUAUGAUACUUCUACCGUCAUGAAUCUCUUUUAUAAUGAUUAAUCUAUACUAUUAUUUAAAGCUUCGACUUAACUAAGCUGAUGUCACCCUCAAUUGGUUUCCAACUCAAUUAUGAAAUUAAUAAAAACUCGAUAUUUUUAUAAAGCAACAAAUAAUUUAAGAGUAUUUUGUCUUUUUAGAUAAAGAUAAAUCUCAAAACUAUAUAUAAAGUAUGGUUUAAUGUGCAAUUGUAUACAUUAAAUUUUGAUUUGAUCCAGUUCUUGUAAAUUAUUAAUACAAUUAUUGAUAUAAACAUAAUUUUAUGUUUAUAUAUUGCAUACGUAAAUAAUUAUCUUUAUCCAAUAUAAAAAUAAAUUGAUGUGUUUAUUUCUUUAAAUGUAUAUGAUUAAAUUAAAAUUAAAGUUUCAAAUAUACAUUUGAACUACAAUUAGACUUUCACGUGUAUAAUUAUAUCAAAUUAAAAUUUAUGUAUAUAAUUACACAUUAAAUCAAAGUUCAUGUAUAAUUUUAAAAUUUAUCCCUUUUAAACACAAUUUAGAAAAACACAUUCACAUGACAGAAUUUAAACUAAAAACCUCAAAAUCUUUCUUACUCCAGUUUUACCAUUUCAACAUUAAAAGUUAUAAUUAAUUUUCAUAUAAAUUAUUUCUAUAAAUUUCCUAUAUAAUUUCUUUUACCCACGUCGUGAAUUUCGCAUAAUAUAAUAUACAUGGUAGGUACCUUUUAUGACAUUUAUUAGCAAUCUUUUUUUCUUUUUUAAUUUGUCAAGGUUAGAGGCGAGUAUUUAAUCGAGUUAAGUCGAAUCAAAUCGAGUAAAAAAAUUUUGAGUUAAUCGAGGUCUCGAGUCCUAUUUUAUCAUCCUAACUCAAUUUGAAUUUAUUUUUGAAUCAAGUCAAGUGAAAUGAAAUUCGAAUCGAAUCAUGUGAAAUUAUUCGAGUUAAAUUAAAAAAUUUAAACAUGUCAAAAAAUAUAUUAUUACAGUAUAAAUAAUUCCAUGUUAGAGCACAUAAAUUUGAAACCAUAUAUAUUUAAUUUUUUUUCGACAAAUAAAUUUGAAUCAUUAAUUAGAUCCCAAAAUUAUUAUUUUAGAAAAUUUUUAAAAUUUUAGAUUUUUUAUUUUUUUAGAAAAUUUUAAAAUUUUAAAAUAUAAAUUUUGACAUUUUUAUAAAUAUUUUAAAAUUUAAAAAUUAUUGUAAUUUUUAAAAAAUAUUUUGAAUUUUUUUUUGUUGAGCCAAUUUGCUUAUUUUCGAAGUUGGUAGGGACAAAAAGGGUAUUUGAAUUUUAAAAUUCGAAUAACUCAAAUAAUUUGCAUAACUGAAUAAUUCGAUUCGGUUAACUCGAAAUUCAAAAUUAUUUUCAAUUUUUUCGAAUCGAAUCGAGUUUUGCUCACCCCUACUCAAGGUAUUUAUUAAAGGGAACCCAGUAACUAAUCUUCAACAUUAUGUAGACCCAUUAAGGUUUAAAUGGUGACCACGAGUUUUAAAGCUGCUUCAUACCCAAUGUGAGGACCGAACUCUCAAUCACUGGUUAAAGUAGCAGAAACCCUUGCCAUCCAACCUAACUCUCGUGAUUGUUUAUUAGCAAUCCAUAAAUCUUAAAAUCAAAAUAAUAAUAAAAAACCCACUAAACCCUUUAAUUUAUCACAUAAAUUAUCAAUUAUUCAUUUAUUAAGUUUUAAUUUUCCAUUUAUAUAUUGAAGAAAUUAUAAUUACUCAUAUCUAAUUAUACUUUGAUACACUUAAUCUUACGCAAUUACUUUAUAAAGACAAAACCCUGAAUAGCAUUGAUUACUUAAAAUGCUAAAAUAAGGUGCACAUUUUUAAAGAUCAAAAGCGACAUAAAACUACCACAUUAAUGCAAACCAUGGACGUGGCCUUCAUAUCAGCCAAUACAUACAAUUUAUUAAGUUUUAAUUUUCCAUUUAUCACAUAUAUAUCUCUGCAGCUUGAUUGUCUUGUUAGCUAUAAACUUAACCUGUUAAUUAAACUUUAAUUCAUUUUUUUUUAAUUCCAUCAUUACUACCAUUAGAUAUAAUUUCAUGAAGGAGAUUUGCUUUUUCUUGAUUGCUUUAGGAGAGUUGUAAUAUGGAUUUUUUUGUAGGAAAACAAUUGAAGUCAUUCAAGAAGACAUAAACAGCUGCUACUGUGUAAGAGUUUAACAUUGAGAAUAGAUCCUUACACGUUAUUGAAAUACCAUACUAAAGAUAAAGACAUAUAGCUAAACAUUAGACACGCCAUAAAUAUAUAUAUAUAUAUAUAUAUAUAUAUAUAUGAAAAUACAACAGAAAUGCUUGAAAAUACAACAGAAAUGCUUGAACAUCAUUUGCUCUGCCUAGAUCCUUCUUCCCCCAUUGCUGCGAUUCCCUGUCAUUGGCUUUCUUCUCCGCCUCUUCUCAAUAUGAUCUUCAACCAAACUCACAAUCCACUUUGGCUUACCAGUUUGGAAAACAACAUAUCCCACGCCCAAUCCUAACACCACUCCACAUCCAUAACCCAACAACACUACUUUCCACCCAAAAUCAAUGUUUGAUUUUAAUCCACCUUCUUCUGAUAAGUUUGAAGGUGGUGGUUGCUCAUUAUUGUUGCAAUCACUUGACAAUGGAAAACCAUGUAAUCCUUUGUUCCCUUCAUAGGAAGUAUUUCCAAAGGUAUUGAAUUGUUUUCCUUGAGGGAUGCACCCAACCAAUUCAUUCAUUGAAAGGUUUAACAUAGAAAGAGCCGUUAAAUUUAGCAGUUCUCUUGGAAUCCAUCCAACCAGUUUGUUUGAAGAGAGGUCUAGCCAUUCAAGGUUGGUCAAACUCCCUAUUGAUGUGGGAAUGUAACCAUUAAGGUUAUUAUGAGAAAGGUUUAGCCCUUUGAGUGAUCUAAGCUUUCCAAUAACCUUGGGAAUCUCUCCAUCGAACUUAUUAUUUGAGAGAUCAAUGAUUGCCCACAUGACGAAAAUUUUAUUCAAUGCUAUAUCUUGUCCUUUCAUCACAAUUCCAAUGGAAUAGCUAUAAAAGCCACCACUACCAUUAACAUCUUGCACACCCAUGUAUGUCAUCGUACUUGCAUCCUUAGUGAGAUUUAUGAUAGCCUUGAAGCUGUUGAUGUAUCUCCCAGGUAGGGGUCCAGAAAAAUAAUUACUUGAAAGGUCAAAAAUUUGGAUUUUAGAGAAACAAGGGCUAGACUUGGAGCUAUGGUCAUGCAAGGAACCAUGCAUUUGAUUUGACUUUAGUACAAGAACUUGUAGCCGUGGAAGACUUCCCAACCAAUGAGGAAAUGUAUCAUUGAUCUUGUUGUUCCCAAGAUCUAGCACUUCCAAAGACCUACAAUUGAGGAUGGAUGGUGACAAAGGCCCUUCAAAUUGAUUUCCAUUUAAGUUGAGAUAACUCAAUUGACAUCCCUUUGCAAAUGUUGGAAGAAUCAUUCCAUAAAACUUGUUCUUCUUUAGAUUCAAAAAUUCAAGGGUGUUGCUCAAAUUUCCAAAACAUUGUGGAAUAGUUCCAAUCAAUUUAUUGUGGGACAAGUCAAGAACUUGGAGAGCACUCACAUUGCAUAUCAAAGAAGAUAUCUCUCCACCUAAACUAUUGUUUGAGAUCAAGAACACAUUGAUUGUCGAAGAUGGAAUUGGAAGAUUUCCAUGGAUCAAAUUGGAGCUUAAGUCAAGAAUAUUAAUAUUCUUCCAUGGCAGUUGCUCAACUUCUGUCAAUGAGUUGUGAGAUAAAUUUAAGUAACUCAAAGAGUCACAAGUCACCUCUUGCAGCCAUUGUGGAAUCUUUCCUUCAAUUCUAUUGUUAGAAAGGUCUAAAGCUUUCAACUUUUUUGACCCUUUCAAAAAUGGGGGGAAUUGGCUGACAUUAUUUGAGCUUAAGGAUAGGCUGUUUUGUGAAAGGUCAAGAUAUUCAAGAUUUGGGAGAUUUGAGAACAUGCUAAACUCUAUAACACCACUGAGAUUAUUUGAGUAUAAAAGGAGCCAGGUAAGAUUGAGAGAUUGGAAUAUUGAAGAUGGAAGAGGACCUUGGAGUUUAUUAUUCCCUAACACUAUCAUUUCUAGUGAUUUGGAUUGGAAUUCUUUGAUGUGUCCACUGAAUUGAUUUUGAGAGAGAUAUAUUUCCAUUAAGGAGGAAGCAGUAUACAACCAUGACGGAAGUUUUCCAUUUAGUAAAUUGUUAGAUAAGUCUAAAGAUAUUAGAUUAGGGAAAGCAGCUACCUCAUCUGGAAUGGGACCUUCUAAAGAAUUUUCAGCUAUUCUCAAGUGUUGAAGCUGUGUCAGGUUUAGAAUUGACAAUGGAACUUGUCCACUCAAUUGGUUCCAUGACAAGUCUAAAUAAGUGAGUUGCAAGAGGUUCCCCAAUGA
rnacentral:lncRNA from 1 species